UUGGUUAUGGUCCUCGGAUAUGCGUCGGACAAAAUUUUGCAAUGAUGGAAGCAAAAAUGGCUUUGGCAAUGAUCUUACAACGUUUCUCAUUUGAACUUUCCCCAUCCUAUGCUCAUGCACCUAUUAGUCUUCUAACUACGCACCCCCAGUAUGGUGCACACCUGAUUUUACAUGGACUUUAGCAUCAGAGUUCUUGUUAUCAGUGAGAGUUAGCAAGACCUUUAAACCUAGAUAGUGUUGAAUUUAAAAUGCCCACACUUCCUUUCACUUGAGUGCUCUUUAAAGUCAUUAUAUUAAUAAAAUUCUCUUUUGUAUGUUUGUAAGAGAUCAUAUAUAAAAAUGAUCACUUUACAAGGAGAUGCAUUUUUCUCUAUUCUUGUCCCCCCAAAAUGAAAAGAAAAGAAGAACUGCUGACAAUCUAUAUUUGGAGAAUGGACAUACAUUGAAAUUAUUUCUGAUGGGUGACCAUGCAUGUUGUGAUAUCUACAAGGAAACUACCAUUCCAAUAAUAGGAGAAAUAUUCUCAUUUGUUCUUAUCGUUAUAGAGUGGUGUCUCAUUCACUAUAAUUGGGUAGUAGACUCUUACGGAAUUUUAUGGCUAGGUAUCUGUAAAGAAGUUCGUACUAAAUUGGGUAGCAAGAUAAUACAAUUUUGGAGUUACUACCUCUAAGAAGUUGUCUGCGUACACUUGAUUCCGAUCCAUGUAAUGACAAAUUAUAAACCUCAGGGGCCCGGUCCACCCCCUAUUUUUACUGGAUCUACAAUUUUGCCAUUCUCCAAGAGUUUUAGACAACUUCACAAUGUUCCACAACCUUAACGAACCUUUUGGAUGAGCUUUCAUAUUCUUGGAGCAGCUUGAUGUGCUUGCAGUAGCUUUACAUGAUUGCUAUAAUCCCAUAUUGGAAGCUUAAGAAAGAGGAACCUCUCCUAGUACCUAUAACGACCAAUUGUUAUUUCACUUGAUUUCUUCAAGUGUUGUAUUCUUAUUUGCUUCUAGUUUCACUUCUGCAGCAAGCCAAACUCACUGGGAUGCUCAGAGUUUUUAGGUGCUCAAACACUACAUGGAUUUUUAGGAGAGAUCUUGGUCUACCAAAAGUGGUGGACGUGUUAGAAAGCACUAGCAAAAUAAAAAUAAAAAUAAAAAAAGAAAGAAAGAAAAGCCAAGAAAUCAUUGAUAAUAAAAUAUUCACAGUUGAUCUUGACAUGUGGAUAAAUUAUUUCAUAAUCAAGAAGUAUUCACAAUUGCAAAACCGCCCACAAGCUUACAUGCAUGCCCUUUUAGCUUUGUGCUAUAUAUUUAGAAUUUUGAGAGAAGCAAAGAAAGAAAAAUGAAGAAUAUUUUUUAACAAUUGAAUUUAAAAUCAUGAUGCACUUUCAUCUAUUUAUAGGCACGACAAUAAAUUAUAACAUUUUAUAUAUUUUAACUUUACAAAGUCUACCAAUGACUUUACACCUAUUCUAACAUUACAAUUUAUUUGUGAAUUUAUAAUGUAACUUCACAAUUAAUUUGUAACUUUACAACUUUUGUUUCUAACUUCAUAAUUGAUUCUAAAUUUACAACUUUUGUAAAUUCACAAGUUAUUGGUGCCUAUCUUCCACCUUUUGUAACUUUAUAAUUCAUUGUACAUGCAUUAUAAUAUUUUAAUUUCUAAAGUAAAUAUCUAUGAUUAAUUAACUUAUUUGUAUGUUAUGAACUCUUCAUAUUUCAAAGUUAAUUGUCUCUUAUCAAUAAGUUAAGGUGAGGACAUAUGGUAUGGGACCUUUGUGGGAUCUUUAAUUAAUUACAUCCUUAGUAAGUUUGUUAUGUUUGUUCCAAAUAAAUUUAUUAAUUAUAAUUAUAUUUAAAACGUAUUAUAAUUUCACCCUAAGAAUAGGAGAUAUAUAAGUCAACUUCCCACUUAUAUAUAUACAUAUUAAUCCUUCCAUGAAUUAAUAUUCAUAACAAAUUUAUUAGGUUGAACCAAGAUGACUGUCAUUACCAAAUUACAAGUGCAUCACCUCUUACAAUUAGAUCUUUAAGAAAAACAAUUUAAAAAUUCCUAGUAAACAACAUAUUAUAUUAUAGAUAUGUACACUUGAUAAAAUACUUAUUCCAAAUUGAACAACUAGUAUUUCAAUAUAUUUUGUAAGUGACACAAUAUUUAAUAUUCUCUCAUAAUACAGUCUGUUAUUAGACAUCAACGAUUAACUAUAUCAAAGCUACAUUUAUAUAACUUGAUGACAUCCUUAAGCCAAAGGACUUUAUGCAACACUAAACAAAACAAGUUUUUGUUGGAAUAUCUAGAUUACUCCAUUCCAAGCAUUGUUUCAUGGAGUGCAUACUACUACAAUCCUAAGGAUACUAGAUUUAAUGCAAUGGAAGCAACAAAAACAAAAAUGUUAGAUCUAGGUGCUCUAGAAAACAAUACUUAUUAUUUGAAUAGUCCUAGAUCAACUCUAGUUGGUCAAUAGUAUGAUUUAGAUCCUGAAAACAUUGCAAUUUGUUGUCUAAUGGCUCUCUCCUAAACCUUACAUGUGAAAAUGGUGGAAUCCUUUCUAUAGAGAUGGAGGCUAAGGCUCUAUCUUGUUUGAAGGUUGAAUAAUUGAAGUUAUAAGCCUUAAACCCUUAAUAAGAUUUAUAUAGUCUUUGCCUAUGGGAUUAAGUGACUUUUGCCCAUCUUGAGCUUAGGUCGGUUAAUCUAACCUAAUGGUUCCUAAUUAAUUAAUUAGUCAUAUUGGGAUACAAUUAAUUAAUUAGUCAAAUCCAGAAAGAUUGUUCAUAAGCUCUUAUGCAACUUUGUGUAUUUAUCAAAAUACCCUUAUACACACAUAUGAACAAAAAACCCUAAUAUCCUUCAAAUAAUUAAUGUGCCACCAAGGAAUAUGAACUUGAGUAGGGACUAUUAGGACCUAUAUAUAGGAAAAUAAAGGCCUCUUCAUAAUCUAAUUAUGAACUUAACUCAACACCAUCAUGCUUCCUUGCACCUUCUUAUACACACAAGGUUCAUUAUUGUUUUGACCAAAAUCAAGGGUCUUAAUUUCAUGUUCUAAACACUUGUUCCAUGAGCAAGAGGUGUGAAUUAAUCCAAAAUAGGCUUAUGCAACUUGCAUACUAGAUGCUCUCUACCCUUUGCCAUGAAAACAUCUGGUUGUAUCAUAUGAAUGCUCUCAUCAAGGUAGUCGUUUAAGAAUGUUGUCUUAACAUCCAUAUGACAUAUCUCAUAAUUGAGAUAAACUAUAAUGGAUAUGAGUACUUUGAUUGAUUUGAGUAUAGCUACCACAGAAAAAGUUUCCCACCGUCAAAACUGGGUUUCAAACUCUAAACCUUUAGCUAGAAGCCUAGCCACAAAAGUCUCAAUUGUUAGGAUAAAGGCUCAAAAGCAUGAGAAGAUGUCAUAAAAAAGUUUCCAUUAAUAAAGUUAUUUACUAUGAUUUCCAGAAUCCAUUUCUAUCAUUGAUUACAUUAAUUGUUACCCGAGCAUUCAAAGCUUGUAUCACUUACAUUGUACAUGACUUGAGUGCAUUAGGAGUUGCAUAAAGGAUCCACAACAAGGAUUCUUUGCAGGAUGAUAAGUAGUUCACUACCGGUUCAUGGAUUAGGGCAAUCCAUCAGAGACUAUAUCACACUACCUGACAAUUCGAGGGAUGAUACAAAUAGAAUUCAAGUACAAAUUGUAUGGCUUAUUGACAAAAAGGAAACUGCAUGUGUCAAAUGAAUUAAAGAAGGAAGGGUUCCCUUACAAACUAUUUUGUCUUGGUCAUUAGGAUGGUUUUCCCAUGGUGGGGCACUAUUAUGUAUGAUUACACAUUGGAUAAGACCUACAAUGAAUCAUGACAUUAGAUAUCGAGUAGUCAUGAUUCAUCAAGUUACUAUGUUGCAUGGGCUCUCAAUCUUAGAUAAUAUUGAGCUAGUAUUGAGGUCUUUAGUGACUUUAACCUAUGGGUGAGACCCUAAGGUGGUCAUAUAUUCUCUACAAAUUUGGUUACUAGUAAUUAAGGUAGGUGGGCAAUAGGUAUUCUCAAGAUAGGCACCAUUGAUAUCUUAUGGGUUUGAUAUAGUAUGUCUUUAUGGAUGAUCUUAAGGACAAGUGAUUAAGAAAUCUAUGGUCGUGGUAAUUCCUUAAUUGAAAAUUGACAUAUGCUCUUAGAAAGCUAGAGUAUGUCAAUUGAUCACACAAUAAGAGAAUUUGAAACUCAAGAAUUAGAGAGGUAAUCAUGAGUGGUUGAUAGCAAUCACCUUGUUAGAUUACAAACACCGAUUCAUAGGGACUCUCCAUUUAAUGGAUAGUAGGUCAUGGACCUAAGUUUAUACCUUAUUUUAAUAUCAUAGGAUACUAAAGUGUAGUUGGCCCUUUGAAGUGGAAUAUUAAGCUAUUUUUAGAAUUAGAUUAUAAGGGAGUCAAUAUUUUUCUAUGGAUCCAUGUAGUUCCCACUCAAGCUCAUAUUCCUUGGUGGCACAUUUAUUAAGAGAUAUUAAGGUUCCUUAUUCAUAUAUGUGCAUUAGGACAUUUUGGUAAAAAUAUAAGAUUACAUAAGAGCUUAUGAAUGAUUUUUUGGAUUGGCUAAUAAAUUAAAUUAGAGCCCAAUAAAACUAAUUAAUUCAUUAGGGCCUAAUGGGUUGGAUUAACUGACCUAAGCUUAAGGUGGGUUCAAGUCACUUAAGCCCACAAGAAAGCCUAUAUAAUACCCAAUAGGGGUUCAAGGCUCCAAACACUUGGCAUUCAAUCAUCUAAAGAAGAACCCUAGCCUCUACCCCUUCUAUAGAGGAUUCCACCUCCUUUCAGGCAAGAACCUAGGAAAGGAAGCAAUCAAGUGGAAGACUUAUUGGUUUUUAAGAUCUGCUAUGCCUCUUUAUCGAUUGCUAAUGAUAUAGGAAUAUCCAAAUCAUAGAUUUUACAUCUAAACUUAAUGUUCUAUUUGCUUCAAUUUCUUAGAUCUAGAGAUUCCUAGGAUAAAUUUUUCAUGAACCUAUGAUUUAAGGAUUGUCUCAACAUCAACCUUUCUAUUUACUCCUUUUUUUUUUUUUUUUUUUUUCUAGAUUGUUAAGACAUUGAGUCUUGUUUAUAUGUUGACAAUUUUGUUCCUUUUAAUGUUUGGCUAUAAAAGUCUUUUUAGAUUGUGACUUACUCUCUAUUGAAGAUUAAGAGUUCUUUUUCAUCCAACCGAGAAGUCAUACGUAUGUCUAAAAAGGUUUGGCUUGUGUCAAUUUAGGCUCCAUUGAGAUUUUAGGAGUAUCAACUUUGCUUUGAACUUAAAAUGAUUUAAAUUUGACCAUUGAAAAAGGGUAGGACUGUUCAAGUGGCCUGGAGAGCUCAAAUGCUCAAGAACGCUCAAAUGCUCAAGAACGCUCAAGUGAGCCUUACUGCUCAAGCACCCAAGGCACUCAAGUGGUGGGUGAGUUGGCUCAAGCGGUUAUGAAAAUUUUGCCAAGUUUUUUCACGCAAAAUUGGUUUGGAACUCUUCCAAAACAGAAAUUCUUUAGGCUUUUGCCUAUAAAUACCUCUCUUUUAACCCCUUAAGGGUUAAAGAUCAUUAAAAGAUUGUGGAGAAAUCACAUAGAGAUAAUAUAUUCUUUAGAGAGGAUCUCUUAGAAAGAAAGCCUAAUGUGACACACCAUUCUUAAUCUCUCAUUCAAGGAUUUGAUCUUUGAAUCUUAGGUUGAAGACCUUCAUCUCUUUGACAAGGGUGAAGUGAUCCAUUAGAGCAAUUGAAGGCUAUUGCAUCACAGGCAUAGAUUAAGUUGUAGGUAUUGGAGAGUAAGUCUUUAGGGUAAAGCAGUUAGGUAAAUUGGUGUAACUCGAUUUCUUAUAGUAGAUUUAGAUUAGUAGGUCUUAGACCUCGUGAUUUUUUAUCUCCACAAUAAGUGUGAGGGUUUUCGACAUUAAAAUAUCUAUGCCUUAUUGUUUAUAUCUUUUUAUUAUUUGAUAUAUUAUUUUAAUUGCCUAAAGGAAAGAUUUGAUAAUCCCUAACAACUCACAGGUUAAAAUAUGGGCAUAACAUAUAAAUAUUUAUUUAAAUUUUAAAAUCACCCAUUCACCCUUCUUCCCUUUGGGUGUUCUCUAUUGGACUUUCGGUUUUUCAAUUGGUAUCAAAGUGAGAUAAAAAUUUGAUUCUUUAUCUUAUAGAUUAAAAAUCAAAAUUUUAUUGAUCAUAUAGGGUAAAAAUCAAAUUUUUAUUGAUCUUGUAAGUCCGAUAUGGAAUAAUCUAAACGUGGUGCCCCUUUGAAUAGUGCACCCUACUUUGGUGGGAAUAACUAUUCCCAUUUGGAAAUCUCAUAUGAUGUUUUUCCUUAAAAUGCAAGGAGAAAUGGUAUGAAAUUCAGUAGAAUCUGGAUGAAGAACCCCAUUGAUCCUUGAUUCUGAAGGAAGAUCAACAGAAGAACUUAAACCUAAACACGAAUGGGACAAAGUUGACAAUGAAGAUAGUGAAGCCAAUGCUAGGGUUUUAUUUAGCAUUUUUAAUGAAGUUUGUCCAAAUGAGUUUCACAUGAUGGUAAAUUGUAAACGUUCAAAAGAAGCAUGGGGUAUUCUUCAAGUCACUCAUGAAGGUGCGUCUGCUUUAAAGAUUUCUAAAUUACAAAUGCUUUCCAUUAAAUUUGAGAAUAUUAGGAUGCAUGAAAAUUAGAACUUUUCUUCCUUUUAUUUUGAAUUAAGUGGUAUUGUUAAUUGUUUCUUUAACAUUGGAGAACCUAUUCUUGAUUCUAAGGUAGUAAGAAAAAUAUUAAGAUCUAUCUCUAAGAGAUUUAGACCUAAAGUUGCUACUAUAGAGCAAAGUAAGGACAUCGAUUCUGUGAGAGUUGAUGAACUUGUUGGCUCCAUUCAGACAUAUGAGAUGACCCUACUUAGUUCUCAAAAGCCUAAAGACUCUACCUUUAAGGCUUAUGAGAAUGAGGAAAAAGAUAUUGAAAUGCCAUAUAACAUAGCUAGGGAUGAAUUCACUCAAAUAGAUAAAAGAAUUAAAAAGGUCAUGAAAUUCAAUAAAAGAUUUUUAAAAAAAAUCAAGAAUCUGGAAAAAGCAAAGAGACAUAACAAACAAUAUCCAAAGAAAAGGAUAAAGAUUCCUUCAAAGGUAAGAAAGUUGAAUGCUUUAACUACGGAGGACUGGCACACUUUGCUACUAAUUGUCCCAUCUCCAAAGAUAUUGAAAAGUCUAUGUAGGCAACAUAGAGAAUGCUUCUAUAGCUUCUAAAGAUGCAAGGUAUGAUCCCAAUGACUUUUUAGCUUUUAUUGCAUCUAUGGAAUCUGAGCAUGAUAGUGAUAAUGAUAGUGAUGAUGAAUUUACUGAUGAUCAAAGAGCAUGAAAAGCUAAUUAAGAAUUAUUUAAAUGAUCAUGAUAUUCUUCAAACUCAUAAAACCAAGAUUGACAUGUUUAAUGUAGAAAAGAGUAAUUUUCUUGAAAAAAAAAAAUAGAUUUCUUGAGUUUGAACAUCAUUAUCUCAUUGAAAAGAAUAAUGCUCAAUCAAGAGAUAAAGAGCAAUAAGCCUUCUUCAUUUGUGAAUAAAGUUUUUCACCCUAGAACUUGAGUGCUUAAUGAAAUUCUUGAUAAAUGCAAAACCUAUUGUGAUAAAUGAGGUUUGGGAUAUGUUAAUAAAGAUGAAACUCCCUCUAGUGGAGAAACUAUAUUUGUCAAAGGUAAAAAUAUAACCCCUAAUUAAGCAAAAUCUCCUAAAAAGACAUCACAAUGCACACACUUUAAGAAAACUAGACACUUUCAGUUUAGAUGUUACCUAGAAAGGUUUGAAUCUCAAAUGAGUAGGCUAAUGAAUGAUUUUAUAACUCCCUUAAAAAUAACUUCUUGAAUAAUAGGAAAUGGGAUAAGCCUAAUCAAAAGCCUAGAAGCUAACAAAGCUCCUCUAAGUCACCACUUAGGACUAAGCAACUUUGGAUGAGAAAGGAUAGGAAUAAGUAUCAAGUUGUCUUCAAUGCUCUUAAAGCUAGAUCAUUCAAUGAGUGGUACCUUGAUAGUGGCUGCUCUAGACACACGAUAGGUGAUAAAUCUGAAGAGUAAGUCUUUAGGGUAAAACAACCAGGUAAAUUUGUGUAACUUCAUUUCGUAUAGUAGAUUUAGAUUAGUGGGCCUUGACCUCAUGUUUUUCUUUCUCCACAAUUAGUGUGAGGGUUUUCCAUGUAACUUAGUGUAGUUUUCCUUUUUUGUAGUCACUUAGUGUUAAGAUUCAAUAUUGUAUAAAUAUAAUUAGAAUUUGUGUAAAGAUGUAAUGCAAUGAAAUAGAAGAAAAUAAAAAAUAAAAAUCUCAAAUUUUGGGUUUAAUUUUAUCAUAUUUAUUUUUAAAAGGUUUUUAAAUGAACAAACCUUUAAUAAAUGUAUAAAUAAAUUGAACUAUAUUCAUAUAUUGAUUUAAUUACUGCUACAAUACAAUCUUGAUGCAAUUAAAAAGUUAAGGUUUCUGUUUUUCAGCAAAUGGUAGGGUUUACAAUCUUAAUGCAAUUAAAAAGUCUAGGUUUUUGUUUUUCAGUAAAUGAUAGCGUUUGGAAAAGUUGAGAGAUAUGGGAUUUCUAUUUUGAAGAACAUGAGUGGCAUGUAUUCUUACUCUAAUUGAAAUAUUUUUCUGGUAGAGCUCUAGAAACAGGGGGAUGUAGAAAGGAGAAGUUGGGAGACAAUGCAUAAUGCAAUAUAUUUCUAGAAAAAGGGGUAUAGUUUUUUUCUUGUAGAACUUGAAGAAAAUAAAGAUGAAACUAUUGUUUUGUUUUUUGAAAACAAGAGAGAAAGUGGACUUGGAUUUGUUUUACUAGAUGAAGGAAGUUGAGAUACAAUAUUUUGGAUUUUUUUUUUUGUCCAAAUUAUCUUAUCAUUCAUCAAGUAAUGCUCUAUAUAUCUGUUUAUUACAAGUGGAAUAUAUAUAUAUAUAUGUUGUCUUAGAAUUUUGAUUUUGUCAUAGUUGUUGUAUAUUCUAUAGAAUGUUAUCAUUUAGAGUACCAUGGAAUUAGAAAUUGAUCAACAAACCUAGUUUGAUAACUAAAAUAAACCACCAUUGUUUUAUCAUAGAAAACUGAAAGCUGGAGGCCUUUAAAGUAGCUGGAACAAUAAUAUGAAAGAUGCAAAAGUAUGCAUGGGAGUUACAAGGUACUUAAUGAUUGGUCUUUUUAAUUGCCCUGUGUUGUGAACAAGUAAUCAAAGUAAAUAGUGAAUAUGAGGGUUAGAGUUGAAGGUUCAUUUUGCAUAAACUUGUAGCUUAUCUAGUCUUGAAUUUCAAUUUAUCUUAAUAAACACAAAUUCUAGAACUUUUGAGUACACUAAAUACAAGAGAUGAACACUGUUAGAAUAGGAUAAAAUGGUGUACUUAUUGUCAAUACUUUUUCAUAAUUUUAUUUUGUUUAAAUGUAACAUAAAGGCACCAGUUCUAUGUGUGAAUCUAUCAAUUGUAAUUAAAUAAGUGAGAAUAUAGAAAUCAUAUGUUUUUUCAAUUUAUUUUUGUAUAUCAAAUUUUCUAAAUCGUACUCCGAUGUGUUAUUUUUUUGGUAGUUUAAACCAUGAGCCUCUUGUCAGCUAUCCAUCAAAAUUAGUCUAUUAAGUUUUUUUGAAUGUUGUUGAGGAUUAUUAUUAUUAGAGGAAUUCAUAGAAAUUAAUUUGAAAAAAAAAAGCUUGAAUUUUGUAUUUGAUAAUUCCAAAAAAAGGAUAAAAAAAAAAAACAAAUAAUAACUUAUAAAUGCCACCAAUUGAAAACUACAGUGCAUGCCUAUGCUUUAGCGGGGGUAAAAAAACAAAUGCAACUGCAUAUCUAUGGUAGGGGUCAAAAGUAGGAUUCAACUAUAAGAAUCAUUUAUUGCAUCCUAGUUGUGGCCACAGCUAAUGCUUGAGCAUGUACUCACAGUGAUAUUAACAACUGAAACUAUAAAAUAUAGUUACACCACCUAUGGCCACACUCAGUGGCAGUCAGUUUGGUGUGGUAAUAUGUUGCAAUCGCACCAUUUAUAAUCUUUAGUGAGGGUCACUGACUGCUACUAUAACCCAUUUUUCCUAUAGUACCAGUGUGUCCUAAAUGUAAGCUAAUUAUGAUCUAAUGUAUGAAUUGAAUUUGCAGUCAUAUGAGUGAUUAACCGUGACCUAUUUAAGUGUUAAAUCAAAUGCCAAAGGAACCUUAAGCAAGUACCUAAUUAAAUCUAAAAUGUAAUUAACCUUUUAAUUACUAUAUAUGUAUGUAAAUUAUGAAAAGUGAACUUGGAAGAGCACAAAAUCAAAGUAUUUAUUCAAAGCCAAUUAUUCAUCAAAUGGCCUAUUUAGGUUUAAAAAAAAAAUCCCUAGCAUCAAAUUAAGCCUAAAAUCAAUACUAAACCAUGAAAUAAUAAAAAUCAAUCACCUAAACAAUGAAUCUAUCAACACUCAUGUGUGUCCUAAUUUAUCCACACCCAAACAUGUUUAAAUUCAAAUCAAAAGAUACAAAAAAAAAAAAAAAAAAAAGUAAAAAAAGAAAGAUGAAGAAAUUAAAAAAAUGAAAAUUAAAGAAAACUAAUCAGGAAACUCUCUUAAAUUCGAUGAUAUAGAAUGUUCUUCAAAUUGUUUGAUGUCUUCAAUAUGCAGCCGAACACAUAUGUUUCUCCAAGCUAAUGAUUUCUUUCCUUCUAAGCCACUAAUGCGAACUCUAUGAGUUGAUGAUAUGUUAAUGAAAAUGAAGAUAUAUAUGGUGUGUUCUGAGGGAAAUGCAGAAGAUGAAUGAAGGAGCUUGCUAGUAUUGUAUGUUGUUGAUGUCACAAGUGUAAUAGUAGCAAAAAGGAUGUGCACUGCUAUGGAGAAGUGGAAGCUAGUGAUGUGACAAAGUGUUGUGAUCCAUUUCCACUCCACCCCAAUGGGCGGCUUAGUUUCUACCUCAACCUUUCUUUAGACUUACAACAAUAGGGUUUUGGUUGAGGAUAUGCCCAAGGAUUUACCUUUGGCAUUGUGCUUAUUUCAUGAAAAACUUUUUUACUACCAAGAACAUCAACAACCUCAAAAUCAUGCAUGUCAAUUAAAGCAUGUUCAUUCCAUGAAUGCAGGUAACAUGAUGCAGUGUGAUUGGUCAACAUUUGUUUAUUUCAUAGAGCCCUCCCUUAUGUCCUCUAAACUAGAAGCUUCUUUCCUAAUGUCUUUCUCUUCAUGUGUCUCAUAAGGGUAAGUUUCAACUAGCCCUUCUUGGUUUUGCUCAUUAGGUUGAGAAAAGGAGUAGAAUUCCCCUUGCUUUAGAGCUUUCAAAAUAGAAAUAAACCGACAUACAAAAUCUUUGAGUUCUUAUAAUGUUUGUGUAAGCUCACACAUGGAGUGUGAUUCUCCAUGAAGGGAUUAAUAGUUUCCUUAAACUUAAAAUUAGGAGUCGGCUUAUAGGAACAUAAACUUGGUUGAGGUUCUUGGUAGUAGGGAUGAAACUAUUGUUGAAAAUAUUGAGAGUGCUCACUAUAGAGGUGUUCAUUCAAGGCCUCUUUUAAUCUAGGAAUGGUAGGACAAUGGUGGGUCAUGUGUGUCUGUUAUCAUAAAUUGUACAAAGGACUUCAUUAGAGUUAGACACACUCUUAAACUCUAUUUUUUCUCCUCCAUUACCUCCACCCUUUUGGCUAAUGUAGCUAACCUAACACUAUCGUGCUUUUCACUUACAAUAUACUUCUCCCUACCCAUGGCACUUGUUCCUUCUUUUCCUCUAGUUAAAUUUUUCUUAAGCUCAGAAGAGUCCCAAGCUUGAGAACUUCUUACUAGUUGCUAUAAGAAAUCAUAGACUUCCUUGGGCUCUUUACUCAUGAAUUCCUUUUUGCACAUGGUUUCAACAAAUUGGUGAGAUUGAGUGGUUAACCCAUUGUAAAAUAGGCUAACUACUCUCCAUGGCUCAUAACCAUGAUGGAACAAAAGUUGAUUAAAUCUUGAUAUCUUUCCUAACACUCAUAGCAUGACUUCUUCUCAUUUUGUUUAAAAAGACUGAUUUUCCUUCUAAGAGUCAUUGUACGUUGAAGAGAGAAAUAUCAAUUAAUUAUAUUUUCAAACCAGGUACCGAUAAACCUUGGCCUUAAACCAUAGAACCACAAUUUAGCCUUCUCCUUUAAAGAGAAUGGAAACAAUUUAAGUCUUACAACAUCCAUAUUGCAAUUAGACUCUUAAAAUGUUCCAAAUAGUGCCUCAAAAUCUUUACGAUGGAGAUAAGGAUUUUCUUCAUCUCCCCAAAAAAAUGAGGUAGUAGUUAGAUCAUGGAUGGCACAAUGUUAAAUGAUUGGGCAUUGUAAGGAGCUAUUAUGCAAGAGGUGACACUUGCCAUGGGCGGUUGGAGCUAAUCUCUACGAGUUCAAAUUUGAGCCAUGUUGGUAGGAUUAGGAUUAAGUAAUAUGGGUCUAACUAAAUGGUCUUGACUGUCCCUAGUCUAAUUUACCAUAUACAACUUUAGCAACAAUCCUAAUAACCAAUUCCAAACAAAUGAAUUAAUAAAAAAUAAUAAAAUAAAAUAAAAAACAAGAAUAAUGCAAGUAGAUGAAAUAAAAGAAACGAGAGUGGAAAGAAUUCAUCGAGUUGUGAUGACAAUCACAACCAAAUAAACUCCCACAAAAUUUGUUGCAAACUUUAAGAACUUUCCUCAAUAUUGAUGCUAAAAACUUGACAGCACCAAAUGUGUGUGAAUAAUUUAUUGGUUCCCCAAGCAUAGGGGUGUGGUUGUAGCUUUAGAAAAAACUCGGGAAGUUGGGUAUCUAACCUCAAAGAAGGGAUCUUACAAUGUAGGUGAGGUGGAAAGAAUAAAAAAAUGAAUAAAAUUGAUGGUGAAAAAUAAUACUUUCUUGAAUUCUUGCUUGGGCAAAGAAGUGGUUGGAAAGUUGUGAAAAGUUGUAACUAAUAAUCAAGGAAGGGGGAAUCCCUAAGGUCCUUUCCCUACCUUAGAAUGAUCCUUGUCAUUCAUAUAUCAUUUGAAAGUGUUCACUCAUCAAUUAAAUCCCAAUGUAUAACCCUAAGUUUUCCUAAAAAAUCCAAAAUAUAAGUGAUUUGAAAAUUGUUGUCUUGGGCUUACAUAGGGUUGUUCCAAGUGAAAAUGGUUUUUCCCAUUAAAUGCUUGGCAUACCCUAUGGGAAGCCUAGGCUUCAAUAUCUAAUUAGGCAUAAACAUUUAGUGGUUUCAUGAACCCAAUAUAUCAACCAUUUUUCCAAUUAGGGUAUUUAAGGUUGUCCCAAGUCAAAAUGGCUUUUCCAUUAAGCACUUGGGAUACCUUAUUGAGACCUAUAAUUCCCAAUUAUUAAAUGUUGAAAUGAGGUGAUUUAUAUUGAACAAAUGAGAUUCUAUUGAUGAAUUAAAAACAAUUGUUAAUGAAAGGAUGCAUUCCAAUGGAAGAAUGGGAAGCCUAGGGCACCCUUUCCCCAACCUAAAGAAAAAUGCAAUAGAUAUUGAAUUGAAAUUAACUUGAAAGAAUAAAAGGGAAAGCAAUAAGUUAAACAUCAAACCUUAAAUCAAAUAUAAAAUUUCAAUGAUCAAUGAUAAUAAAAGGAUUCAAUUAUGCAUUAGAUAAAACCAAUUCAAAAUAAAGGAAAUAAAUGAAAGCAAGAACAAGAAACUAAAGAAAACUUAACAACAAAAAAGUGUAUCCAAGAUCUCCAAUUCCCAAGGUUGACUCCAAGAAGUAGCAAAAUAUGUAAGAACUCCCCCUUAAGGGAGAAGAUCUGAACCCUCCCAAUGAUUGCUCAUUGCCUCUUUAUAUCAUUCCUUAAAUCAUCCCUAUGUUCCUUCAAAUGAGAGCUUUUCCCAUGCAAGUCAAGGGCUCAAGAAUGGGUUGGAAUCAGCCCCCCUCUUUGGCCCAGCCCAUUCCUCAUUUUUAAGAAAAUUAAAACGCUUUUCUUGUGUUACAAUUAUAUGAGUUUUAAGGCCCAAAGGGCGAUUAUAGGUGGCGAAGCCGAUGUAAGGCCCUUGGUGGUGCCUUCAUGUGUUGAAACAUCACUUGUAUUUCUCAAAUUUAUUCCUCCAAACUUUUAGGCAUGUUUUGCAUCACGAGGAAUUGAUAUGGGAACAUCCAGAUCUAGGUAUGAGUAUUAUAUCUCUAGACCUAUCAUUAAUAAUAAUUUUUUAUUAUCAUUUUAUUCUAUUGUGAUAGAUUUAGAGAUGCAUAGGGAUAUAUGCAUGCACCCUACAAGAUCCAAGGCAUAGGAAUUGAGAGAUCCAGGGUUCCUAACAAAUACCAUAUACAUAUAAACAUGCAUUUUUUUCCUUUUUCUUUUCUUUUUUCUGCAUACUAUGAUCAACAAGGAACAAUCUCCAAUAAAGAUACAUAUAAUAAAGCUCUCCCCACAUAUUGUUAAAAUGUGAAUGCUCAUUAACAAGAUAACCCUCUCAAGCUAAUAUCUUUGGAUCGUUGCCCAUUGGGAGAAAUAGAGGAAGGAUAUGAUUGUCCUCCACAUAGUGAUAUAUGGAAAACCAUCUCUUAGGGUGAAACAAAGAGAAUGACAAUAAAAAAUGACAUGAGAAAAAGAAAGAAGGGAUGAACAUCACAAGUGAUGAUACAGGAUAUAGGAAAAAGUUGAUAAAGACAAACUAGAGAAAGCACAAUGAAAGGUGAGGAAUAAGACCCAAAUAUGUUUGUUAGGUCCAAAGCUGAUGAGAUCCCUAGUCAAAGCACGCAAGCACUAUAAGGUCCCUAACUCAAUGUAAAUAGUGAGUGAGGUGAUGAAAAGAAAAGGUUAUGAUGCUCGCAUGAGGCUCAAAGGGCUAUCAAUAGAUAACUCUAUAUUUAAAGGUGAUUGGGUAUAAAGGUUCAUGGAAUGAUGACCACCCAUCCUUUGACCAUAACAACAAACAUUUUUCUCACAAACUCUCACAUGGUUGGCACUACAACUUGGUGUUCAUCUAAUAUAGCUAUGCCACCCUCUGGAAUGAUGUGAAAUCUUACACCAGAUACUCCAUGUAACCUCUAUGUCUAUCUCAAUCUUAGAAUAGUCAAUAAUCUCAUCAAGCAACCAACCCACUCUCUCAUCAUAAGCCACAUGUCAUCAUCUCAUGAAACCAACCUCUAUAGACAUGCCAACUCACUGAAGUCAUGUGUAAGGGCCUAAUUUGGAUACUUUGCGACAACCUCAAAUAUUCUCUUCUCGACCACUAAGUAGUCAAUAAAUACGUAGAGUAAUCAACUAACUCCCUCAUCACAAACUAUCUCUCAUACUACAAAAGUCACCUUUGGUCCAAUCCUCUCAAACUUUACUUGGUUGAAUUGAAUAAGGGAUGUACAAGGAUAGAAUAUGCGAAAAAGUAAAGGUCAUGCAAUGGUGUUAAGGAGAAAUAUUUUGGACAAGGUAUUGCUUUAAUCGAAAGGCAAAAUAGGUCACAGUCUUGAACUCCCUAGGUUAAUCCUCUGUACCUAGGUCAAUUGACUCAAUAUCCUCCAUGAUGGGUUAAGUCUUAGUGGUCAUGAUAUGCAAAUGAUGAGAUGUCUCAUAUCAAAAGUCUAACAUAUAUCAAUGUGGGGAGGUGCAAAAUAAAAAACAUACUCAUAAGAAAAAAAAUUACAUAUACCUAUAAGAGAAAAAGAAAAACAUAUACUCAUAGAAAAAAGAAUAUAUCAUUGAAUGAAUUGAUGACUACAUCAUAUGUGAAAUAAAAAUGACUCCAAACAAUUGGACUCUCAACAUAGACUGUAAACUACAACUCUACUAAAACCAAACUCGACAAAAUGAAGAUGGCUCUAUCAACAACCAUAACCAAACCAAAAAAUGCUCUAAACUAAAAUGUUGUAAAGAGAUGUAACCACAUCAACUAAAGUAAAUUCUCAACCCAGAAGAACUUAAAGUGUUAGGUGAUCAUCAAUACCGCUAACAUCCAUAACGAUCUACUGAAUACUAAGAGGAUGAGGAACUACAUCACUAGGUAUAGGCAUAGGUGAUCAUCAAUACCGCUAACAUCCAUAACGAUCUAUUGAAUACUAAGAGGAUGAGGAACUACAUCACUAGAAUGUAUAGGCAGGGUGUUAGUGGUCACACUCAGGCCAAGAUAAGUUGACCAUCCAACACUAAUCAAAUCAUGUAUCACAUAGAAGAGGGUUGUGCAAUGCUCAAUAUCUUGAGUUUAAUGAUAUAAACAAUGCUUAUGUAGAUAGAAGUGGAGGAGAACAGGAUGUGGUAGGGGACAUGGUACAAAAUGGGUUAUUAAUCUAACAUCUUUGAACUUCUUAAAGCUCUAGUCAAAGUUAUACCAAUGGUGAAAACUAUCUCGCAUGCCUUUAAACAUAUGGUUUGGGUGGUUGAAGAGCACUGGCUCUCGAAUAUGGUAGUCGUGGUUGAAUAGUAGUCUAAGCAAUGAAAGGUUGUUGCAUAUAAAUUGACUAGUAUUGGCACUAUGGAGAAGGAAACCAGGCUCUAACUAUGGAUGGCCUAUGAUAUGAAUGAUGAGUAUUCCUCUAAUGUUGAUAAUUGAUGGUGCUAACCUCUCCAAACCUAUUGGGUGAUCUAAUAGGCUUCCUCCUCUUAUUUUUUAGGGAAGGAGUAGGGUCUGUCCACAAACCUCCGUCAAUGCCUUUCUCAACAUUGAUGUUAGCCUGAACUAAGCUCCUAAAAUCCUGGAAAGGAAUACCCAUGAGGUGUCUAGUAAACCUAGGUUGGAGGUUUCGAAGAACUAUGUCAAUAUGAUCUUGCUUAUUAGCUUGAUCUACCAUAUUGGCCACUUUUGCCCUCCAACGACUAAAAAAUGAAGAAAUGGUAUCAUCUAGCUUUUGCUUAGUAGUCUCUAACUCUCUAAUGGAAACAUCAAUAUCGACAUUGAAAGCAAACUAUGUUAGAAACUCAUUAUAAACCCUCCAUUUUGUUCCUUUAGUACAUGCCGCCCCAUUAGGUGUUCUUUCAGUACUCCAUAGCAAUUUCCCAUUGGCCCACUGCUACUCAUAUAGCUUACUUUUUUGAGCCACCUCAAUGACUAUAGUUAAAGGAUUUAUCUGACCCCUCAUUUUGACCCUUGGCAACCUUGAGUUAGAUCUAUGAUUUUCUUUUUUUCUUUUUAGGAUAGAUCAUUUAAGUACACUUUUAAAACACUUAAACAUGCCCUAACACACUUACACAUGCCUUAGCACACAUAGACACACCCUAGGUCAAUUAGGCACCUUUUCUAAUCACCUUAGGUCACUUAAGAACUUCUUUGAUCACCCUAGGUUACUUAAGCACCUUUUCUAAUCACCUUAGGUCACUUAAGAACUUCUUUGAUCACCCUAGGUCACUUAAGCGCCUUUCCUUAUUACCCUAGGUCACUUAGACACUUUUCUAAUCACCCUAGGUCACUUAAGUACUUUUCUGAUCACCCUAGGUCACUUAGACACUUUCCUAAUGACCCUAGGUCACUUAGCACUUUCUUGAUCACCCUAGGUCACUUAGACAUUUUUUUUAGGAUAGAUCACUUGGACAUUUCUUUCGUUUUGUUUCACUUUAGGUUAAGUUUUCGUUUUGGUUGCUUGGUUUUAGGUGAGUAUUUGGCUUGAUUUUGAUUUUUUGAUUGCAUGAGAUAUAGUUUUUUUAGUUGUGCUAGUUCGAUAUUCCAUUUUUCAUUAUUAUCAGUUGCAUUGAUAUUCAUUUUCAAAUUUCGAUUGCAUAUGUGAUAUUUAUUUUUUUUGUUUUAGAAAAUGGCUUAAGAUUGAGAAUUCUUUUUAUUUUUUAUUUUAAUUGGGUGAAUUAAUAUUUUGAUUUUCUUAUACAUAUAUUUUUUUGAUUCUUUAGUUUGUUUUUCUAUUCCAUGAUUUCUAAUUUUAAUUUAUUUCAUUUUUAUUUUGCAUGAACGUGACUUGCUAUUUUUUCUAAAUUGUAUGAUUUUAUAUUUUAUCUUUUAUUUUCAAAUAUGCAUCUUUCCUUUACUUUUUGUUUUACUUUUGCAUGAAUUCGGAGAUAAUGGGGAAUUUGUUUGACAAAGAAACAUGGGUUGCCAUCCACUUACCUUAAGGACCACACAAAGGAUAUCACUUAUUAUGGGAAGGAAGAGAUCUCCACGCAUGCACUUGGAAAGAAUGGUACAUAGCCAAGCAUCAAAAGGAAACUAGGGAUUCUGCCAGUUGACCGGAGAGUCCUCAUUGAAACACAACACCAUGGGAAAAAGAGGAAGAGAUUCAACUCGCGCGCACUAUCGAGAGAAUUUUCCAUAGGAGACCACGAUCAGUAACAUACAUCCAUUCGGGGGAUUCCCGAGGGCAGGAUAGCGUGCAUUCUCCAUAGCCAGCCACACCAUAGUGGAGAUAUCACAUAUGCACUAAAAGAAAAAAACUUGUUUCUCUCAAUAGAAGAACAAAUAACGCACCAUAGGAUUUUUAAUGGAAAAAUAGGAAGGGAUACACAGAUUUUUGGAGUGGAUUGCAUUGGGGAGGAGGACGUAAUCUUCAGUUUGGGGGAUAUCCACCGACACCAUGGGAAUGCAUAUAGAAAGCAACAAAGCACACACCAUGCGGAAUGGUUCCCAACAUGGCUGCAUAUUGUAGCACACUUGGAGAUCUUUUGGGAACACGCAUCAUUGGAGGAAGUCAGACCACACACAGCAGAUUGUCAUUCUCCAAGACUUACACGCACAUGCCAUGCCGCCUUGAAGGAUUUCCAUUGUGGGUGCCAUUCACGGCUGCACCUAUUUUAAAUAGAAACACCACACUGCAACAUGUAUUUUGGAGGCUACCUGGACGCACUUUCCAUGGGCUGCAACUUGCAAAAUUUGUUCACAACCACACUUAGGUACUCUCCAUCAGUUUCAGAGUGGUGUACAACAAUCAGAUAAGAGGGAAAUACAGAGUCCCGGGGAAUUGCAUUCCCACCUACACACAUUGUUUCGAAGAGGUAAGUUAGAUUCUUGUUUAUUAGUUUUGCUUUUUUUUUUUUAAUUAGGUUAAAGUUUUUUUUUAUUCAUUAGUCUUGAUCCUUACUAUUAGUCCGAAAAAGUUAUAUAUUAAUUUUGAUUCAUCUUCUCUAUUGGAAGCCUUUAUAUUUUUUUUUAGUUCGUUAGAUUAAAUGAUUCCAUGUGACAAAGUGUUUAUUUUUAAAUUUGUUUUUAUUUUAGUUUAGUUUAGAUGCACUAAUAUAUCUUUUGUUUGUUAGUCUAAUUCAUUCCAUAGGACAGAUUUCUUAUUUUCUAGUUUGUUUAGCUUUAAUUUGAUUCAUUUUAGUUGGAUUUAGAUGCUUCUAUAAUUUUAAUGGAUUCUAUGUGAUAAAUUCUUAUUUAAUUUUUUUUUUUCUGAUUUAGUUUGAUUCCUUUUAGUUAAUUCAAAAGUUAUUAUAAUUUUAUUUAUCUAGUUUGAUUGAUAUUUUAGUCUUAAAAUUACUAAAUUUAAAUUCAUGAUUCAUCUUAUAUUUAAUCUAAGUGUUUUACAGAAAUUCAACUACUUGGUUUAAUUGAUUCCCCAUUAUUUCCUUUAUGCUUUAAAAUUGAUAAUUUUAGUGCUUGAUUGAUUCUAUUUAAUUUAUGUUUUCUGAUAUCUUAAUUAAACAAUUGAUGUGUUCAAGAUUGAUAAUUUUUUAGCUUUUGAUCCAUCUUGUUUUAGUCUAUAUACUUAUAAAAUUCUAAUGGUGAAUUAUUGAUUGUUAUCAUGUUAUUCUAUUUUGUCAAAAAAAUGCUUUGCUUAUUGUUGUUAGGAUUGAGCCUUGGAAAGCAUGAUAUGAUGUAACAGAUUGAGAUUCAUUUAUAAAUUUAUUUAUUUAUUUUUCUUGGUUUCCCUUAAAUAUCUCAUUUGUAUUAAUUGGUUAUUUGAGCAUACACACCCCAUAUCACUUACAUUGCAUAUGACUUAGGUGCAUUAAGAAUUGCACAAAUGAUCCAAGUCAUGGGUUUCUUACAGGGUAAUAAGUUAUCCAUUGUUGGUUCAUGGAUUUGGGCUAUCCAUCUGAGAUUAUAGUACACUACCUCCUAAUUGGAGGGAUGACUUGUCUUGGCUGUCGGGAUGGUUUUCCCAUGGUGAGUGUAUCAGUACAUUUGAUGUGCAUUGAACAAGACCUACAAUGAAUCAUAAUACAAGGCUAUUAGUUGUCACAAUUCACCAAGCUGCUAUACUGCAUGGACUCUCAACCUUGAGAGGAUAUUAAGCUUGUGCCAAAGUUAACAUGAGGCUUUGACCAAUGGAUGAGACCCUAAAGUGGUCAUAUAUCCUUAUGGAUUGGGUCAUUGUUGAUGGAGGUUGGUGGCAAUAGGUAUUCUCAAUAAAGACACCAUGAUAUCUCAUGGAUUGAGACGGUGUGUCCCUUUGGGUGAUCCAAAAGACAUGUGAUCUAAAAGACUAUGGCUAUAGCAUUUCCUUUAGUGAAAAUUUGGCAUAUACUCCUUAGAGUUAGAGUAUGUCAAUCGAUCACAUAAUAAGUGGAAUCUGUAACUCAAGGAUUGAAGAGGUAAUCUUGAUAGGUGAGAGCACCGCCUUGUUAGAUUACAUACACCAGUUAUGGGGAGUAUGCAUUCAAUGGAUAGUAAGUCAUGGACCCCGAGCUUCGUCUCAUUGUUAUUUACAUGGGAUACUAGAGUACAAUUGAUUCUAUUUAGUGGAAUGUUGAAUCAACUUCAAACUUAGAUUCUAAGAGAGCCUGUACUCCUAUGGGUCUUAAUGGUUCCCACCUUGAGCUCAUAUACCAUGAUGACGUGUUUUAUAAGGGAUGAAUUAGCUUUUGGUUAAUUUUUGUGCAUAAGGGCAUUUUGGUAAUUAUGCAAGGUUGCACAAGGGAUAGUGAACAAGUUCUCUAGAUUAAGCUAAUUGAUUAAUGAGAAGGUCCUAUUGAUUAAUUAAUCAAUUAAGACCCAUUUUGGGCUAUAUUAAGUGACCCAAGCCUUGGUAGGCUUACUUAAGCCAAUAAGGGAACGCUAUAAAUCCCCCAUAAGGGUUAGGGUUUCCAUAAACUUGAGAGAGACUUUGUCUUCCACCUCCAGAAAAAUAGAGAGAUAGUGAGAGACAAGAGAUCCUCAUUUCCAAAGCCCACAUUUUGGAGUGUCAAAAUCGUGGUUUAAGUCAUCAGGUGAAAGAUCUUGGAUGUACAAGACUUUUAGAUUCAUUAUUCUUCAUCUUCACUGAGUGGAAUUGAUUUGGGAACAUCCAAAUCAAAGGUAAAGUUCUCUAAUGACUUUCCUCUUGAUCCUAGAAUUGUAAAAAUAUGAUUUUUGCUUCUAUGGCAUAGGAUCUGGAGGUUUAGAGUAGUUUUGCAUGCACCUAUAUGAUCCAAGGUAAGGGAAUGGAGAAAUUCAAGGUUCCCAACAAUUGCUCUGGUGAAACCCCUACAUAAAAAUCAUUUUUCAAAAACCUUUUAUUGUUAACUUGUUUAAUUUACUAUGUCUUUGAAAAGAAAAUUGGAUUUGAUCUAUUUUGAUGUUUUUAAUUCUUUUUUCCAAUGAUUGUAUGAUAUUGUAGACAUCUUGAACAUGAAUUUAGAACUUUGUUUGAGUUUUAAAAAAAAAAAAAAAAACAAUUUUGAAAUGGAAGAUAUAAACAAGACUUUUAAGGGUUUCGUUUUCACCUAAUUCUAAACACUCGAAAUGUUUUGUAAAAAAAAAAAUUAUUACAUGACUUUGUAAAUUCGAUUUAAUAUUUUUUUUCCUCAAUUUUAGACUUCUUGAAAUUGAUUUUAGACACAUAAAAUAUUGAAAAUAAUUUUCCUAAUUGAAAGAUAUAAUUUUCCUUUUCUGCACUAACUAUACUACCCAAAUUUUGAAUAGAGGGGUUGUUUGAUUGUUUUUAAAAUUGAUCUAUGUGCCUUUUGACCUUGUCUUUAUUUUUCUUAUAAAGUAGACAUUCUAAAUUUUUUUUCAUUAUUUUUAGACUUCUUGAAAUUGAUUUUGGACACAUAAAAUAUUUAAAAUACUUUUCCAAAGAUAUAAUUUUUCCUUUAUGCAUUCAUUGUACUACCCAAAUUUUGAAUAAAGGGGUUGUUUGAUUGUUUUUAAAAUUGAUCCAUGUGCCUUCUGACCUUACCUUUAUUUUUCUUGUAAAGUAGACAUUCUAAAAAUGUUUCAUGAUUUUUUAACACUUCUAUGUUAGUUUUAAAAAAUCAAUUUAUGCAUGUUAUUGAAUUUUGCCUUAGUUUGAACCUUUUAGGAUGUUUUUGUAAACUAGAAUUAAUUGGAGCUUUAUUAAAUUUUUUGGCCUUUUGGGUGAUAAUCUAGACAUAUAGAAGAGGUCCCUUGAAAAUAUUUGUAAUUAAAUCCACAUUCUAGAUAUAUUUUUUAGGAUUUAUUUUGCAAACCUUUUUGUUCUAACUACAUGCUGAAAUUUUAUACAAUGUUUAACUUAUAUUUUAAUCUGGCAUUAACUUUGACUUUUGUUCUAUAAUAUAGACAUAAUGAGGAUGUUGUGAGAUUUUUUUAAUGAUGAAAUAGUGUUUCUAGAUAUUUAGAUAGGAUUUUUCUUAUGGAUGUUAUCAUUUUAAUCCUUUGUUGUGUGGUUUUUCUUAAUCACUAAUUUUGGUAUUUUUGUUUUCACGUACACAGUUUAGCCUUAAUGAUAAGUUGUAUGCAUAACCUAUGCCAUUUAUAUUAGGGUCUUGAAUCCUAUUUAUUUGUUAUUGCAAUUGUUCUAACCCCUUCUAGCUAUGUGCAAGCACAUUGUAGGUUAUGCGUGUUAUCUAGGUCUGUCCCUUACAACCUUUAUCUCUUUAACUCUUUAAAUAUGCAAACUUUGUUUGUGAAUACUCUCGUGCUUAAUAUUAUCUUGAUUGUUCUAAUUUGUUGCUUGAUUCCUUGAACAAGAUGAAAUGCAUGUUGAGUGUUGUAUCAUUUGUUAAACUAACCUCUAAUGUUUCAUGAAAACACUUUAGGAUGCAGCUUAGGUAUGCUAAUCUUCUUUUCUUAUAUAACUAUGUUUUUGGUAUGAUUGUUUUGUUAUGAAUACCAUGUUUCUUAGCCUUAAAAAAAUCAUCUUUUCUUUUUCUUAGCAACCCUGAUCUAGUAAUUAAUUGUCAUGCUUCCUGGAACCUAGUCAAUAGAGACUUUUUUUUAAGACUUAAAGGGAUACUACCUUUUUAAGGUACCUUCUUGAUAGGUAACAUAAUCCCUAGACCUAGACUUGAUUUUUUCAAAUAUAUGCUUUCCAAAAGUUUAAGGAGUCAUUUUUCUUAGGGUUUUAGUUUAUCAUUUUAUUUCCCCUUUUAAAAAAAUUACAAAAAUAAGUGGUGACUCUAGUUUUUUUAUAAAAUAUAGUUUUUCACCUUUAAAAGUGAGUCUUGCCAACAAGUGGGGAUGCAUGUGAAAAGUGCAAGUCCACACUCAUAAGUUACAUCCUCCAAAGUACAAAGUCUUGAAGGCUCAAUAGAUGCAAACCACCUAUGUGUUGCUCCACUAAAUGACACGGGGAAUAAGGUAACUAAUUAUGCAUCAUCUAAUCCAUGUUCUCUCAUAAUUUUACUAUAGAGCCACAUGAAUCUUCAGGCAACCUACUCCAUUGUAACGCUCAAUAUCUAACAUACAAAAUUUGGCUGGUAGGCAAGUAAGCAGCUAGUAAACCAUCAUUGUCAUUCUAGGUCAUACCCUCUUCCUAUAGCAUCAUUUGUCACAUCUUGGUCUCAAGUGUCUCCAUUCUAGCUUCCUACUCCACCAAUAUUACAUCAUUCAUAACAUGAACAAUAGGAGGUGGUGCCAAAGUAGCAGGUGGUGGAAUAGUCUCAUAAUGGUUUGACAAGUGAAGUGGAGCACCAUGUGAAACCUAAGGUGGGGGAAUCUGUGGUGUUUGUGUAUAAGAAGAGUCAUCUCAACUAUAAUGCAAAUUAUACAACAAAACACAUGAAAGACACAAGAGAAGACACUAAAGAAAAUAAUACAACAAAAGGCAAACAAGAAGUACAUGGUCCUGAGAUGGCAAUGUAAAAGUUGGAUGUAUGAUAAAAAAUUUAUAGUCAUAGAGGAGUCCAUUAUGAGAUGGCUACAAAUGUGACAAGAGAAUUUUUAUCAAUAAUCCAAAAUGAAUGAGAUGUGAAAAAAGAAAUAUUAUCAUGAGAUUAAUACUCCAUCUCAAAUAAUAUGUCCUUGAAUCAACUUUUAACCCGAGCUCCAUAAAGGAAAAUGAUAAGGUGAUCAAGGUGAAAAAUGAUAAGGUGAUCAAGGUGAAUCUCUAAAAAAGGUGUAAAUGUGAAAAUAUUUCUUUCAUCUUUCUUUAAUGAACAUAAUGAGCAUAGAGGUGAAAAUGGAAUCAAGUGCAUUUAACUAGGAAUGGGGAAACAAACCCAUGAUAGGUAUAGAAUAUAAAAGGUAAGUGUGAUCAAUGAGCAUGUCUUAAAGCACCAAGCAAAGUGCAACAAUAAAUUGAUAAAGAAUGUGUUGACUUUAAAAAUAAAGAGUGAUAGAAGUCUUAAAGAAAACAUAAGCUAGACUUAGUGAACAAAAGUAAGAAGCCAACAUAAUGCAGCAAAGAGUGGGUUGACAAAUACCCAAACUUGCAUUGAUCUCUAAGCACACCAAAAAAGAUACCAAAAAAGGAGGAGUGUUGGAUCCAUGACAUGGCUAAAGUGGUACCACAAGCUUAAAUGCACCCACAUGUAGGAAGGAAUCCUAAUCAAAGGAUCUAAAGCUCAACCUACAAGGUUAAGGUGGCUUUAAAAUACGGUAGGCUAAAAAAAGAGUCCUUAGUAGAAGUAAUCAUACCCUCCCUUAGUGCUAACCUCCUACACACCUUCGAAAAGAUGGUGUGCGUCCAUGCAAGGUGGUCAUUAUCUCCACACAUGCACUACCUCACAUCCUAAGGGGCUUCCUAAUGGUUAAGACUCUACUAUUGGUUAGCACAUCUCACAACUUUCAACAAUCAACAAUGAUCUAAAGUGCACACUGGUCACACAAAUAUCCUAAAUCUAUCUCUAGGCUAUACAAGUCUUCAAAGAUCAGACUCCAAGCAACAUCAAUGUGACGACCUUUUUCAUAAUGCUCCCAAAUAUACAUAUAGCACAUCAUUAGACCCUACUAAUCACUAGCUUGAUUGGAAAACAAACAAACAUAAAAACCUCACAUAAAACAAUUGUGAGAGUAAUGAAAGAAGGAAUCAACCAAGACUAAGGAGUCAUAAAUAGGGGGAUAAAUGUGUGUUCCACUUGAAUAAGAAAAACAUAGAUCAUGCAAAAGCAAGACAGUCAUGUAACAAAUAGUCUUGUAAAGCAAAUAAAUCAUCCUUAUCUACACAUAAACUAAACAUGGAUAAGAUGAACAAGAUGAAUAUACAACAAGAAUAAUCAUGCCAAGAUGAGUGAGUUAGAACAAGGAUAAUCAAUAAUGUGAAGAUGACAAGAUAAGUGUACAACAAUGGUAAGAUGGGUAGGAUAACAAUGCAAUAAGAAUAAUGAACAUGCCAAGAUAAAUAAGACAUGUAUAUAAUAGAAAGAAACAAGUGAAAGCUCUUAAAUGAAUAAAAUACACAAGCAUGCAACAUAGAUAAUCACCAUGGAAAAGCUCUCAAUGUGCUAAUAACACAAGCAUACAAUACCAAAGCACAAAAAAAGGGUAUCCACUGAUCAACUAAUCAAACACCAUAUUUCUCUUAACUAGAGCUCUGACUUGACCCUCUUUAUUCCCUAGUGGAGUCGCCAUUUUAUGGACCCACAUUUUUCAUUUGCAUCCCCACUCAAUGGUGAAACUCGUUUUAUUAUUGUGAAAACUUGAUUUUUGAAAAAAAUUAGAGUUACAACAUUUUUUUAUUUUUUUUAUUUUUUAAAGGAAAAGAAAUAAAACCCUAACCGACUCCUUUUGAAAGGAAAAUCAUGUCUACAAAAAAUUGAAUUCAAGUAUGGGAGUCAAGUUACUUAUUGGGAAGGUACCAUAGGGUAGCACCUCUCUAAGCCUUAAAGAGGUAUUUACUAAACAAGUGGAGGGAGAUAAGGUAAUUGACAAAUAGACUAAUAGACUAAUAGAUAUUGAGAGACAACAAGAACAACAUACACCAAGGCAAUGACAAUAAUAGAUAAAAGGAUAGAACAACCAAAACAAGGCAUGAAUAUGAAACUAAUAAAUCAAGAAAGGAAGGAAACAUACUUCAAGAAGUGCGUAAAAUAGGGCAAUAUACUUACAUAGAAAAGAGGGUUCACUCACAAAAAAGAUAAGAGAUAUAAAAUCAAAAUAAGACUAUCAAUCAUGUACAAUAUAUAUAUAUAUAUACACAAUUAAAACUGAGAAGCAAGUGAUGCUUAAACAUAGAUCAAGGUGAACUAAAAUAUGCUAAACAUGUAUAGGUUUCAAAACUGGCAACCUCAAAAUAAAUGCCAAUAAAAUAGUAAAAGGGGAUAUAUCAUACAAAGGUGUGUUGAUCUAACAUGUACAAGAUGUCUAUUAUACAAAUUAAUGAUCAAAGAAGAUAAAAAACAUGCAGAAAGGAAUUGAAAUAAAACAAAUGUACAAAGUAUAGAACAAGAGGAUAGAACAUAGGUGCUUACAAAAUAAAUCAAAAAUAAAUAAUUAGAAAGAGGAUAAAAUCAUAAAAAAAAAUUGCACAACAUCCCUAGAGUGAAAACAAUAUAAUCCAAAAUUCCAUAGAGCCUAAUUAUACAACAAUUGUCUUAGAUUUAUAUGAAAAAAAAAUCAUAAUUGUAGAUUCAAAUAAGCACAACAAGCACAACAAGAUUAAAUUAAAUCUCAAGCUUGAGAAUUGAUUUUGGAGUGAAAACAAAGCUUAAUGGAUUAUUUAAGAAAUCUAGUAUAUUGGAAAAACAUAAAAGACAAUUUGAAAACCCAUGAGCUAAUUUAGAUUUACAAAAAUACUUCGGGUGUCAACAAUAGGGCAAAAUCUAGACCUUUUGAAAAACUAAUUUAAUAUAUAAGUUUGGAGAAGGAUUUUCGAUCAAAAAUAAAAAAUUGUUUGACACAUUUAAUAAUUUCAAAACAUCAUCCAGUCAUAGAAAAUAUUUUAGGGAAAACCAAAAUGGUCCAAAUUAAAUUAAACAUUUUAGGAGUCUAAAAUAGGGUAAUUGGUGGGUGGUUUUUAAGAAUCCAAAAGUAUAGGCCCUUUCCAAUACACAAAUUAAUUUUCAUGAAUUAAUCUACAUCUCUUACUCAUUGAUCAUCAUGAAGAGAAGCUUAUGAAUCCUAGAGGGUAUUAUAUUUAUUUUAGAAUUGUGAAAUUUAUCCAUGUUUACAAAAUUAAGAAAAUCUGAAAAUCAUUUGUUUAAAAAUGAGUGAUUUAGGUCAAAGAAAUGUGUCAUGGAUUAGUCCAUAGGGUGAACAUUCCUUCCUAACCCUUAAAUGAGUGUGAAAUCAGACCCAAAAAAGGCAUGGAGGGCCAAGGAACACUCAUGUAUGGAAAGGAAGGUUGGAUUUCACAAAGAAAUGGCCAUGGAUGUGGGUAUUCUUAUGUGAAAUCAUCCAUUAUGUGUGCUGAAAGAAUAAAAAUUAUUAACUAGAUGAAAAACAAUUUUCUUUGGCCUUAGACAACCAUGGGAAAGGUUUAUAGGUGUUGAGAAAGGCCUACGUAGAAAACCAUGUGAAAAUCCAUUUGAAAUUCAUGUAAAAAACACACAUUGCACACUUAAAAGGAGAGGAGUGUGUGUGUUGGAGAUCACAUAUUAAAACGAAAGGCUUUUUAGUAAGAAACAUAUGCAAUUUUCAAAUUUCACACUUAAAAGGUGUGCCCUUUAAGGAUUACAUAAAGAAAGAAUUACACUAGAAUUAGCACACUGAAAGGACACGCACAAUACUCAAAUUGCACAUUGAAGAGAAUACGUAAAACCAGAUUGUGCAUUGAAGGAAACACAUACUAGAAAUAACGCAUUGAAUGGUUACGUCCAAUACUCAAAUUGCGCAUUGAAGAGAAUGUGUAAAAUAAGAUUGUGUAUUGAUUACUACUCAAAAAGUGUUAUUUUGUAGCUUGUAAUUAACUCUUUUAAACACUUUUGAGUAGUAGUUAUUACCUUUUAACUCAAUUAACAUAUUAAGUACCUUUGCAAUCGUUUCUAAUCAAAUUGUGUUAAGUUUUGGUGUUUUUGAUAGUAAUUUGAUCACCAAAGCAAUCCAAGAUUGAGGAGAGUUCUAUGGAAUCCAUGGUAAAGCAAUUGGAAGCUCAUUUACAUGAAGAACCCAAGCUUUGAAGCUUUAUAGUCCUUUUCCAUAAGCAAAUCAUGAAUGCAAGGAGGGAAAGCAAAGAGAGAAAUCUAACAUGAAGAAUUCAAGAGGAAAGCAACUUUUGGAGCACUUCUUGGAGCUCAUUUCAUGCAUACUAAAUGUCAUUUCAAAGCUCGGGAAGUCAGCAAUCAAACGCUUCAAAUGGUACGCAAAUCAAAGUUGAAAUGAAGAAGUUAGAGCCAUUGGAAGCCAAUCACACCAAGCUAAAGGCCAAUUUCGCAGGCUGCGAAAUUACAAGGUGAUGGCUGCGAAAUCACAAGGUGAUGGCUGCGAAAUUAGCCUUUGGCUGCGAAAUGGAGACCUUCAGCUUGCGAAAUUUCGCAGCCAUCUUGCAUGCCUGCGAAAUCCUCUUGAGUGCUUCCAGAUAUUUGCGACCGACACUUUUAGAUUUUUUUCUUCAGAUAUUUGAUGUUUAAAUCCCCAUUUUCUCCUUGUAAUCAACCAAUCAUAGGAUUCCUUAGUUAUUAAGUAAGAACAAAGGGUGAAUAACCUCAUAUAUAUUUUUUGUAAUUUUCAUUACACACAUAUCUCGGGAGCUUGUUCUCAGAGACAAUUUUUUGUAUAGUUUUGAAGGAAGUAAAAUGUAGAGCUUUGCUCUACCUUACUUACUCAAUUUGAUUGUAUUUUUCUUACUAUCCAAACAAGCUCUGAGGAUGUUUCCUCAAAGAAUGAGUGGCUAGACUUUUUGUCUCUUGGAGCUAAGGUGGCUGGGUAAGGUCCCGAGUGCAAGAAUUGGUAGUUUUGUUGUUUCAGCUGUUAAUGAAGAGAAAGUGUGACCCGUUAAUGGUUUCUAUGUUUUUAGUUAACUUAAAACACCUUUAACUCACCUGGGCCAACACUUGGUAAGGCAAGUGAUCUUCGUUCAUUGAGAUGCACUAGUUUACCUCUUGCGAGCUUUUGGGAGGUGACUUGAAGGUAUGAUUUUCUAGAAUUGCCAACACUUGGUAAGAUUUUGGACUCUAAGGAGACAUCCAUUAGUUAUCUCUUGCGAGCUUGAGAAGGGAAGUCCAAGGUUAAUGAUCACCUUGAAUGGUAAAUGCUAGGUGAGAGGCACGAGCCAUUGCAAGUUACAUCAGUGAGAGAGAUUUAGCAUUUGAACUCAUUAAAGGGAAGUAUCUGUACCACACCGAUUAGAGAAUUAACUAUAUGUUAAUUCUCUAAUACGAGGAAAAGAUUCAAGUGACCGGAACUCUUUUUUUGCAUAAGGAGCCUGACCCCAGUGAUCCUAAAACUCUAAGAAACGCUUUUCUUUAUAAGUAAUUCCCAAUAUUUUAUUUUAUUUAGCUUAAAACCAAUCCUUUUUAAACCAAAGUUUAUGUUUUCUUUUGAAGCUAACCUUGAAAUGAAAAACCAUCAAUUCAACUUUGAAUUAGUAUCGGUUGUAAGUUAAAAACCCUUCCCAGUGAACGAUCCUGAGCCACUAUGCUAUAUUAGCUAAGGCUAUCCUAGUGCAUGGUGAAAUAGGUUAUAAAUUUUGUUGAUUACUCCUGUCUGAGGGCCAAACUCAAGGUACACCAGCUAGGCACGCAAUCAUGUAUAAAAGAGAAUGCAUAAAAGUAAGAUUGCACACUGAAAGGAACUAUGCAAAAUUAGAUUGUGCACUGAAGGGGGACUACACAUAAAGAGAGACUAGAAUUCACUAGUGUACAUUGAAAAAAUGGAAGAAAAUCAAAUUGUGUACUAAAGGGGUGCGCAAUUUGAAAUUGCAUACUUAAAGAGAACGUAAGAAGGCACUGAAUAAAGGAAUGCACAAUCUAAAACUACUCACUUAAAAGUGCACGGGAUACAAGUGCCAAAAAAAAAGGCACGCUUAAACAAUUGCUCAACUCAAACUAGCACACCUAAGAAGUGCACAAUUUGAAAUUGAAGGUUGGCCAUGAACAAGAAAACACGUGCACAAACUGAGUGACUCUUAGCACAUAAUGAAGGUGUGCAAUCUAGAUGAAAAACAUCAAAAAGCACACCAAAAUGCACAAUCUAAAGGCAAACACCAUAAUGUGCAUUGGAAGAUGCACAAACUAAGAAUAAGAACAUUAUAGCACACUAGCAAGUGUGCAAACUGAACGAAAAACACUCCAAUGCACAUUAAUUGGCAUGUAGACUGGAUAAAAGCCUUUGAAUGAUGCUUGAAAAACAAGUUUGAAGAAGAAUUUUAAAAUCAAAUUUGUAAAGAAAAUCAAAAUUAAAACCAUAUCGAAAUUUGUUAGGAACUCUGAAUUACUCCAUUCCCAUGCCCUAAAUCGUGUAGGGUGCAUGCAAAUCUAUCAUAGUCUCUCUAAAUGUAUUGUAAUAGAUAAAAAAAAUAUUCAAAAACAAUAUGGAUACCAUAGAAAACAUAGAUCUAGAGAAUAAAGUCAUAUACCUUUGAUUCGGAUGUUCCCGGAUCAAUUCCAAUCGAUGUAGAUAACACCAAAGUCAUAAUGGAUCUCAUAAACACCAUGAUCUUCUGCCCAAUGACUCUUCCUUGUGCCUAGGCACUAAGAUGGUGGAGACUAGGGUUCUCUCUCUAGACUGAUGGAGAGAAUGAAAAGACUUGGAAACCCUAACCCCUAAAAGGGUAUUUAUAGGCUUCUUAUUGGGCUUAAGAGACUUAAGCCCACCAUAGGCUUGGGUCACUUAAUCUAUCCUAAAAAUGUUGUUAAUUGAUUAAUUAACCAUACCAGGCCAUAAUUAAUCAAUUAGCCUAAUCUAGGCAUACCACUCACUUAUCCUCAUGCAACCUUGCAUAAUUACCAAAAUACCCUUAUGCACAAAAGUGAACUAAGAACCCAUCCAACCCUCAUAAACUGUGUCAUCAAGGAAUAUGAGCUCAAAUUGAGGACCACUAGGACCCAUAGGAGUAUUGGCUUCCUCGAAAUCAAAUUUUGAAAUGGACUCAACAUCCUACUACAAAAAGCCAAGUACACUCCAACACCCUAUGUAUAUUACAACGAGACACCAUGUGCUCAAGUCUAUGACCUACUAUCUACUACAUGCAGACUUCCCAUGAACCGGUGUUUGUAAUCUAAUAAGGUAGUGCUAUCACCUAUCAAGAUUACCUUUCCAAUCCUUAAGUUGGAUAUCUCACUUAUUAUGUGAUCAAUUGACAUACUCCAACUCCAAGGAGCAUAUGUCAAAUUCCACUAAAUGAAUUAUUAUGGCCAUAGAUUUCGUGAUCAUAUGUCCUUUGGAUCACUCAAGGGGACACACUGUCUCAAUCUUAUGAGAUAUCAUGCUGCCUCUAUUGAGAAUACCUGUUGCCACUAGCUUCCAUCAACAAGAACCCAGUCCAUAGGGAUAUAUGACCACUUUAGGGUCUCACCCAUAGGUUAAAGUCUUCUGUUGAUUUUGGCAUAAGCUCAAUAUCCUUUCAAGGUUAAGAGUCCAUGCACUAUAGUAGCAUGGUGAAUCAUGACAAUUGAUAACCUUGCAUCAUGAUUCACCGUAGGUCCUGUCUAGUGUGCAUCACAUACACUAGUGCACUCACCAUGGAAAGCAUAUCCCAAUGGCCAAGAUAAGCCAUCCCUCAAAUUAGGAGGUGGUGCACUACAGUCUUUACUGGAUUGCCCAAAUCCAUGGACCAACUAUGGACAGUUAUCUACUUACAAGGAACCCAUGACUUGUAUCUUUUGUGAAAUUCCUAAUGCACCCAAGUCAUUUACAAAGAAAAAGAUGUGGACUAAAUGCUCAAAUCAAUGUCAACACACCAACGGGAUAGUAAGGGGAUAGUUAAGUUUAACUUUGCUACAUGAUGUCUUAUUUUUAGGGGCUUAAUCGCAACAAAGUCACCAAAAUGAGAUUAAAGAAAAACAAAAUAGAAAACUAAAUCAAGCAAAGCCUUAUUUCAUAAAUCAUCAAUGGACUUGACAACAAGUGAAAAAUCCAAAAGAAUUUUAAACCAAGUCGAAAAAAACUUCUAGACCAUUACACAAUAAAGUGAAUCAUUAAUUAAAACAAUUUUUAAGUAAUCUCAUUGAAUCCAAAGAUGAACAACAAAAGAAAAAAACAUGUAUUACAAAUAAGAAUCAACAAUCUAAUGUGUGACCUCCAAUAUCCACACCCAACCAACAAACAAUCUCUAGAAUCAGCAUAAGGAAGGAGAAGAACAACAAAUGAUAAUGAAAACAUGAAAUCAAAGUGAUCUUACCAAGAAUUCUCUCCUUAAGCAAGUGUUGAUCAGCUUCUAGUAUUUUUUUUUUCUUAUCCUUUAAGCAAGAAGAUCUUCUAAAUUCAUUAAAGUUCUUUCUCCAUAUAAAAAGAAAAUGGUAGAGUAUUCCUCCCAAAUGUAAGAGAGUCCCCUUCCAUUUAUCCUUCCAUAAUCUUCUUUCUUGCCAAAUGAGUCUUCCAAGACUUCUUUUAUAGAGUAAGGGAUAGGGAAGGUUUGGCCACUUGUGCUCAUCUCCUUCUAUGGUCACACUCUUUUAAAACCCCUAAAAAAUACUUCCCUAAAUCAAUCUCAAACUCCUCUAAAAAGUAAAGCAAAAACUUGAGACUAAAGCCCACAAAAAAAAAAAAAAAAAAAAACACAUAAACCAAGCCUAGGGGCUACUAAAAUCUCAUUGCGAAUUUAGAAACUCCUUCUAAAAGGCCUUAAAAAGUCCCAAGAGUCAGUGACAAACUAAAUGGUGGGUGAACCACACCACAGGGCGCAAUGAAUGACUAAAUAAAAGAGAAUCCUAAGCGCAUACUAGAAGGGAGUGGAAGACGGGGGAAACAAGUAUGAAAUAACAUGUGCUAUGAGGACAAAAUUGAGGGUCUACAACCAAAAGUAGACUAGCAUUACAAAAAGAAUCAACUUAAUUGGUUGGGAAUAGGUUCAACUAGUCACCCUUUCCUAGUCGCGGUCCAAUCUAGUUUGCAUAAAACUUUAUUAUUAUUUUUUAGAUAUCAUGUGUUCUCGGUUAAGGCAAACCCAUACCUAGUCAAGGCCUAAUCGAACCUCAAAAAGAACAAAAGUCACUUGUUAUAAAUUUAUUACCUAACGACUAGUUAACCGAUAAAAAAGAAGCUCAACUAAGAAAGGUUAGCUUUCUGCUUUUUGGGUGUUUGAGGUUGAAAACCUAUAAAAAAAGAGCUUUCAUUCAUUUGUACCAAGAUAAUUAUUGCAUUGAAUUCCCUAUCUACCAUUUUCUUUCAUUCAAAGUUCUCAACUCCUUAUGCAUUAUUCUUUCACUUGCAAAUCAUCCUUAGUGCAGCUUCUAUGUUCAUCCUAACUUUUUGUGUAUUCAAGCAUUUAUUGUGCUAGAUGGAGUGUUAUUAAACCUUCAUAUAUUUGAGUAAGGUUGACCAUUGAAGUUUCAAGUUGGUGUUAAACUGAAGGAGAUUUGUGUACAUGCCCAUUAGAACCCUCACUUGGAAAGGGGUUGAGGAGAAGUGAAUUGAAGCGAAAAUUGCCUAAUAACUAUAAAAGCUGAGUUUGUAUCACUUUAACUCUAUCUUCUUCCAUUCAUUGAACUAUUAUUUGUGUAAUUAAAGGUUUUCUUUCUUUAAUGUUUUUUAAACCCAAUUUGCCUCACCCGCCCCCCCUUCUCUUGGGUAUUUUACUUAAUUGUUUCAUAGAAUGCCCUUGAAAAUGCCUAGAACAAGGGCAACAAGCUUACAUAAGAAAAAAUUAAUUAAUUUAUUAAUAAAAGAAGAUAUUUAUCAUGAAAUCAAGGAUCGCCCAACAUGUACAAGAAGUUUGUAACUUAAAUCAAAUGUCAAAAGUAGCUUAGCUAGCAUCAAAUGGGACUAAUUCAACAAGAUAUACAAAGUGUGAAAAACCAAGACAACAUGCUAAUGUGUGAAAGCUUGUAUUUAAGAAGAUUCAAGAUGAAAUAAAAAUCAAGGCAAAAAUUAUCUAACAUAUAAAAGAUUGUUAGGACAUUGAGUCUUGUUUAUAUGUUAGCAAUUUUGAAUAAAUUUAUGUUUAACCAUGGAAGUUUUUUUAAAUAGUGACUUACUUUCCAUUGAAAAUCAAGGGUUGUUAUUCGUUCAACUUGGAAGUCACAGGUAUGUCUAAAAAGGUUUGGCUUGUGGCAUAUAAAGGCUUAUUUGAGGUAUAAAAUGCUCAGUAUCAUUUUUUAGCUUAAAAUGUUUUAAAAUUGAUUUCUCAAAAAACAAGGGACACUCAAGCAGUUCAUCCCACUCAAGUGGUUAGAGCGUUGAAGCGGUCUAAGUUUGCUCAAACAGUCAUGAUAGUCCCACCAAGUUUAGAAACAUAUUUUGAAUGAAUUUCAAUCCAACUGUAAUUUGGAAACUUGUGAUAGUAAAAUCCUUAUGGCUUUUGCCUAUAAAUACCAGCCUUGUAACCCUUUGAGGGUUAGAGAAUCAGGUUAAGAGAUUAGAGAUUGUAGAGAUCUAAUUUUUAGAGACCUCUCAUUCUUUAGAGGUACUCUUUGAGAGGAAAGAAUAAUUAACCUAAUAUCUUGCAAGGCUAUUCUAAAAGGUUUAUAUUUAUAUUUGUUCCUGCAUAUAUUCUGGUUGAAGAUAGUGAAUAAAUUUGAUUGAUUGGUUAAUUGGUUAUUAAGUUUGUUGAUUUGGUAAUCUUGUGGUGGUUAUACCUAGAAUCAAUUAUUGAUUUGUUGGGAUUAUUUUUGAGUUUGUUAGGUUGGUUAUUCUUGUGGUUAUUAUCCCUAACAUUCUUCAACCAAUAUUGUUAAUAUUUGGAUAUCAAUUAACCAUAAAAAUCAUAUUUUUAUUUUUAAUAUCCAAGUUAUCCUUAUAAUAUCUUGGAUAAGAAAAGCGAUCAUAAUUUACAAAUAUUGAUUUAAAAAUUUAAAAUCACUCAUUCAUCUCUCCUUUAGGUGUUCCUUAUUGGACUUUUGAUUAUUCAAAGUGUAUUCAGAGCAAUACCCAUAUUUUUUCAAAGAUGUCUUAAAAAAUUUCAAAAGUCAAAGGAACCCAAAUAAACACUAACUAAUACAAAUUUCAAUAAACAUUUCAUAACUCAAAAAUAGGACAAUAUACAAACACAUAAAAGAUUGAUUUAUUCCAUAAGCAUAACAAAUAAUUUUUUAACAAGGCCAAAUGUCUAGAUAAAAUUACAAGUCUUAAAAAAAAAAAAAAAAUGAAUGAAUUGGGAUUGAUUCACAAAAGCAUUUAGUUGCUCCAAAAUAGGGCAACAAACAAGCAAUUGAGAGAAAUGAAUUAUUUAAAAAGCUUGGGAAAGAGUUUUCCAAUAAGGCAAAAAAUCUUUAACACAUUCAAGAUUUCAAAAUCCAUUUGAAGCUUCAAAAAUAAUUUAGAGCAUGUCAAAUGGCCUAGAUUUACAAAUAUAUUUUGGGACUAAAAAAUAGGGCAACAAGUAAUCGACACUUACAAACAAUAUAUGCAAGCUUAAACAUAAACCUAAAUUUUUAUGCAUAGACAAUCCAACAUUUCAACCCCUUAAUAAGCAUGACAAGAGCUUAUAAGGGCUAAUAAUAAUCUUAUUCAUCUUAGGUUUCAUGGAUAGUUCAUGUCUCCAAAAUAAAGAAAAAUUGAAAAUCAAAUGUUUAGAAAAUUGAGUGAUGUUGGCCAAGGGCAUAGGUCAUAGUUCAACUAUAAGGCUCUCUCACAUUCUCAGCCCCCAAAUGAACAUGAAAUUAAGUUCAUAAAAGGCAUGGAAUGCCAAAUUAUACUCAGAUUUGGAAAAAAAAAAAUUGUUGAAAUGCACAUAAAAGUAGAUUAUAAGGGUAUGUGUUUUCAUGUAAAUUCAAGUUAUUUAUGUCAAGGAACGUGGCUGUCAUUAAUAACCAUAAAUUAGCCACAAAUUCAAGUCCCUAAUGAUCAUAGAAGUAUAUUCACAAGGGUUGAAAAAUGACUUUCAGUGCUCCACAAUAGUUCCUUGGUGGCCCAUUGCUACUCACACUAUUUACCUUUUUUUUAGCCACCUUAGAGACUCUGGUUGAGGGAUUUAUCUAACCCCAUUGUGACUUUUAGCAACCCUAAUUUAGACUUAGGCUUUUCCUUCCUUUUUAGGAUAGCUUUUAGGUGCACUAUUAAGAUAGUACACUUAGGCAUGUUUAGGUCACUUAGACAAUGUCCUGAUCACUAUAGGUCACUUAGACACUAUCCUAAACCACCUAGGCCCAUUAAGACACAUUAGGCUUACCUAGGUCACUUAGGCUCACUUAGGCACACUUGGCCCAUUAGACAUUUUUAGCAUGACUUGUAUGAGUUGCAUGGUUGCAUGGCUUGUGUGGCUCAGUUAUUUAUUUAUUUAUUUUUAUUUUUAUUUUUAUUUUUAUUUUUAUUUUUAUCAUUAUCAAUCACUUGUUUAUUUUUAUUUGUUAACUUCCUUUUUAUAUUAUUUUUCUUAUUUUUUUAAUUAACUUAUUUAUUUAUUAUUGUUUUAUCGUUUUCUAACUUAUUUACUUAUUUAUUCAUUCAUUCAAUUAUUUAAUUUAAUAAAUUUCAUGCUUUUGCAAGGAAACUUACCAUUGGAGUUUAAGAAAUGUGGGACUCUCCUUGGAAGACGUUUUAGGGGAGUUUUAAAUUUUGAGGAUUUGUUUUGGUGCGGAAGAUAUGGAGAUGGCAUGGGAGUCUAAGGAAAGUGAGACUCUCCUUGGAAGGCAUUUUUGGAAAGUUUGAAAUUCUAAGGAUUUGUUUUGGUAAGGAAGAUAUGGAUAUCGGGAGUUUAAUUAGACUCCUUGAGAAUAAUUGAGAGUCCACAACUACAUGUAUUUUUUAAUAUAAAAAGGAGAAUUUGAACUGAAAUGGGAUUUUUGGAUGGGAAGAUUGGAAAAAAAAGAAAAGAAAAACGGGAGACUAUUAUUGGAGAAUGGAUUCACGGAUGAGAGGAAUUCUUUUAGACAUCAUGUCAUUAAUGGAAUUAUGUGCGCCGCCUUCAAAAGGGAGAACCACCCUUGGAAAGGAGAGGUUGCCACUUAAAAUCCACAAGACGUUUACAUUGAAGGAACACGUACAGCCCACAUAAAAGAACACGCACCAUAAGUUUACAAAAUCGACCACACUGCCAAAUUUUUGGAGCAAACAACCAGCAGGCAUUCUGGACAUGUUCCAUGGAGAUUGGGGAAGAAACAGCUGCACCAUCAAUAUAGAGAAGAGGGCUACCACUUUGAGUCUUCAUUACGCAUCAGAUUUUGAUCCAAAGAGAAUCAUUCACAACCCGGAAAGAAUAUACGGACACAUGAUAUGUGUGGGAUUUUCCAUAGGUUGCAGGCACCAUCUUGGGGAGAGCUUUUUUUCUGGAGAGAACAUGCCUACAUAGCCCAUGCACAGCCUGCACCUCUUCACAACUGUCAUCCAUGAUCAAAGUCACAGCCGGCUCCAAGCACCAUUGCUCCAUACAGACGCAGCCGUCAUGCUCCGUCCAUUGAGUGGCGAUCACUCCACCACGCACCAUGAGAGGCAUCAAUUGAUGGGGCAUCAAAGCUGAUCCCUUAGGAGUCACUAGAUUUUAUUAAGACUUUGUUGGCUGCGGUUUUGGAGAUCACAUAGCUGCAUAUUUAGAAGAUGCAACAGACUGCCGUGGCAAGACGCAUAGGAAGGAAAGGUGAUGUCCAGAGAAUGAGGAGAAUAAUCACACUACCAACAAUGCAUUACUGUCAUUUGGUGCAUUCCUCGAACCCAAAACCCUCUCUCAAUUCCAAACGCGUUUGGGAUUCACUGUUUCUGCAAGUCUCGAUGCAUUUCGGUUUAUUAAAGGUCAUCCUUCCGUCCAAUUGCACCCCGAGAUUGACCGACAGUGGAGUGCACGUUUUGGAGCCCUUGUAAUCAGAAGAUAGAUGGGACCCCUGCCACUUAAUGAUGACGCACUCCGGAUUGGACCCCAAGCCCACUCUCGCAUGGCUUGCAUGGCCACCCCUUUUGUACAUUAUUUUAAAGCCCGCAUGACUCAGUCCUUAAUUCUUCUUGCAUGUUUUCCAAAAUGGAUUUUCAAAGAUCCAUUCUUUUUCAAUUUUCUGGUGAAAUAUUAGACAGUUGUAGUGAGGACUAUCUCCCAAAUUUUUACCAAGUUAGUGAAAGAUCUCCUGGAAAUGAUUGUAUACCAGUCGGCCGGGUUGGAAUUUUUGAAUUCAUCUAGACAGUACAAACUGAUUCUGGCUAGCCCAUGCAGCCUUUUGAGUUUGUGGAAAUGGCAGCGUACAUGAAGAACAGAUGGCAACAUGCUUGCCUCUCGCAUUGAAGCUUUCACCAUCUAUUGCAGCGACGGAGCACAUAUCCUCAAAGCAUUCACUUGGGAAAAGCUAUUGGAUUCCAUAAUCCCUCUAGAUCGUUCUCUCUUCUAGCCGACUUUAGCCAGAACCAAAUGCAAUCUGGUUAUCUUUUCCAGAGCCAUCAUGAGGGAACUGGCUUCAGAGUUUCUGGAACUCUUCAUCCCUCACCGGAAAUCACCAAAACUUUGAACAACAGGGAGUCCCGGAAAGUGCCAAAAGAGAGCAGAAUGUAGUUAGGAAUUCAACACCAGCAAGACAGUCUCAGUCAGGUCUCCAGGCUCCACCCAUACAGUUGCCAACUUGGUGCACACCAUCCUCCUCUUAUUACUUCUUUUCUUUCCUGUGAACUUACACAUUUUUAAUCUGGAUUUCAAAAUCUUUCCCAUUAAAUAACUCCAGUUUUCUUUAAAAUUCCAUCCGUAGGAGUUCAUAGAUAUUGAAAUCCAGAUUUCAACAAAUCAUUGUUGCCACCUUCCUUCAAGCAUGCAUUUUCACUAUUUUCUUUGAUUUUUAAUUAUUUUCAUAAUUUUGUUGAUUUUUAACCAGCAUGAACAAACUUCAUGGUGCCAAAUAAUGGAAUUCAUUGAACCAACUCAUGCAAAAUUAAUUUGGGGAAUUGGUGGAACCCCUACAUAAAAUCAAUUUUUUCAAAACUCUUCCUUGCUGCAUGUUUUCACUCAACCACUGACCCUUUAUCUUUAAAAUUCGUUUUAGCAACUUCAGAAUAUUUUUAAAAAAUUUAUAAAACUUGUAUGAUUUUCUUCACUUCUUGAACUUGAAUUUAAAAUUUUGUUUGAGUUAGAAAGCAAUUUUGGAAUAGAAUAUAUAAAUGAGUUUUUAGGAGAGCUCUGUUUUCACCCAAUUCUGGACACAUGAAAUAUUUUUGUAACAAUAAAAUAAUAGAUGAAUUUUUAAAUUUGAUUCAAUAUUUUUUCUUAAUUCUAGAAUUCCUUAAAUUGAUCUCAGGCAUAUAAAAUAUUAAAAAAUAUGCAUUUUUGGGACAGAUAUGAUUUUUCAAAAUCAUACCUACUAUGCAUGAUGGAAUUUAGACAUCUGAUUAGUUAGAGUGUUUUAAAAAUAUUUUUAAGUACUCCCCGACCCUGGAUUUAUUUUUCCUAUGAUAUAGACACUUUGAACGAUGUGUGUGAUUUUUUGUACAACUUUAUGUCAUCUCUUAUUAUUUUUAAGAAUUUUUUUUAUGCAUGCUACCCUUUUUUUACCUAAUAUGGACUUUGUAGAAAUUUUGGGGUGUCUUUGCUGCAAUUUGUCCUUUGAAUGAGUGUUCGGUUUUUAGUAUGUUGAUUUAGAUUUGUAGGAUUUGUUUCCUGAAAUUUUUUGUAAUUAAAUUCCACUCCAAGAUAUUUUUUUAUAAAUUGUUUUGUGAUGCUCCCUUUUCUAAUUGCAUGAUGAUGACCUUGUACUUUGCUUGAAUUUGUUAUCUGUUUUUGGAGUUAUUUGACUUAUCUUGGCUCAAUUUUGACUUUGAUACUGUAUAUUAGACAUAAUGAAUAUGUUAUAGGAUUUAUACUUGUCCUAACCACUCUAGCAAUUUUGGGGAAUCUUAUAAAUUAUGCAUGCUAUCCAGGUACACUCUCUAUCACUUACUUUUCGGAAUUUUAUGAACAUGCAUGUUGUUGUGAGCCUUAUCCAUGUUUGAUUCCAUCUUUAGGUGCCUAGAUGUCUGUUCGAUUGGCUCUGAUUAAAUACAUGUCGUGUAUUAUAUUUUUGUGCUAACUUUAAUGUCUUAUGAUAGCGCUUGAGAGGCAGUCCAAGUACAUAUCCUAACAUUUCUUUGUGAUUGUGAUUUGAUCUCUUUUUUGGCAUGCUAGUUUUGAAAUCACCUUAGUCUACUAGGUACCUUCAAUCAAUUGAUUAAUUGCCACUUUUCCCUCAACUUAGUCAUUAUAGACCUCUUUAGGGCUUAGAGGGGUGCUACCUCUUAGAGGUACCUUCCCAAUAGGUAACCUGAUCCUCGGACCAAGACUCGGGUUUUUCAAGCCUUGUUUUCCAAAAACUAUUGAGUCACUUCUUUAGGGUUUUCUUUCUUGUUUUAUUUUCCAUUUUAAAAUAAAAUAAAAUAAGUGGCGACUCCAACUUUUCCAAAACUAAUUUUUCACCAAUAAAAAUAAGUCUCACUGAUUGAGUGAGAACACACAUGAAAAAUGCGGGUCCACAAAUUGGUUUUAAAAAUACUUGAAAAAUUAUAAAAUUGAGAGAAACUACUUAUAUUUUCAAGCAAAAUAGUAAGACUAAAGUCCAUGUCUAUGGACCUAAACUUUGGCCAUGAGAUUGACCAUCAAGGUGAGUUUGAAAUUCCAUUAAAAAAAUUAUUGAAAUAAGAGUUAAUAAUCAAUUUUGAGAAGAAAACAAAAAACCAAAAGCAACUUUAUAGAUUUUUUUCUAGGAAGAAAAUAUUUUGGCAAAACAUCAAACACAUGUGGUUCUCUAUUUUUCUUUUCAAAAUUAGUAAAAACUACUUCCAAAAGUAUUAAAACAAAGGAAAAUCAAAAUCCCCAAAGGAUGAACAAAAGAAAACCCAUAGGUUACAAAGUAAGACACCCAUAUCAUGUUCUGAAAAUCAAUAAGCUCCAAAAAGAAAAUAUGCCCAAGAAAUGAAUAAAUUAAAGCUAGUCAAGGUAUAAAGAAUAUCCAAACAUCAAUUAAAGUAAAUAAACAAGCAUCUAAUAAGCAUCUAGACUAAAAAAAAAAUGAAGAAAAUCAUAUUAGACACAAAAAAUGAAGAAAAAAAUACCCAAAAUCAUUCAUAUGAUCUUCCAAUAUUCACAACCCAUAUGACCAUCAUCUAAAGAAUCAAUAAAAAAAUAAAAUAAAAACUAAAACAAAAAAAAAAAUCAAAAUUAAGAACUUACGAAAGAAACUCCUCCUAAGUCUAAUACUUGGCUUCUAGUAUGGAUAAAUCUUCUUCCCCAAGCCAAUUUCACCUCCAAACUUCCAAUAUUAUUUUUUACCUUUUUUAUUUUUUAUUUUCUCAAAUUAGAUAGAGUUUUCCCUUAGAUAUCAAAGAUAUACCCUAAAAGUGUGCUCCAAGGCUCAUAUUUAUAAGUUAAGGGAGGGUAGAGAUUUUAACUCAUGUCAUCAUCUCCACUAAAACCAUGAAAGAUUUUUUUUUUUUUUUUGGAGAAACUUAUAUUUUAUUGCUCUAAUCUUUAGAACAUGGGCUACAUCUAUUUAAAUAACUAGCAAUUAGAUAAUUCCUAUGCUAAAAACAAGGACACAGAAAAAUAAAUUUGAUUAUAAUCUUAAUCUGAAUAAAAAUUUGACUAUGUACAAAAAAACUAGAAUUCAAAUAAUUCCUCAAAUCAAGGAAUCUAUCCAUUCUAAAAUUCUGAGUCCAAUUUGAACCGGUCUAAUCAAACUAACUUUCCAACACUCCCCCUCAAGUAAGGGCAUAAAUGUCUAUCAUACCCAACUUAUCCACAUUAUCUUUAAAGUCUUAUCUCAUAAUCCUUUUAGUUAAAACAAUUGCAAUUUGGCUUUUGGACGACAAAUAUGCAUAUUUCCCCUUGCUCAAAUUUUUCCCUAAUGAAAUGUCAGUCCACCUCCACAUGUUUUGUUCGAUCAUGGUGGACUAGAUUGUGGAAGAUGCUUAUAGCUGCCUUGUUGCCAGAAUACAUCAUAGUUUGAGGAUGAAUUGUAAUCUUUAGUUCUUCUAAUACUCUCUUGAUCCAUAAGACUUCACAAAUUCCAUGAGCUAUUGAUCUAAACUUAGCUUCAACACUACUUCUUGCCACCAUAUUUUGUUUUUUGCAUCUCCACUUGAUGAGAUUUCCAAACACAAAUGUACAAUAGCCAGAUGUUGACCUCUUAUCUUCUAUAGACCCUGCCCUAUCUACAUCCAUGAAGACUUCUUUCUUUAAUUGAUCAUGCUUUCCAAAGUGAAGUUCUUUUCCUAAGGUUCCUUUGAGAUAAUGUAGUAUUUUUAUAGACAACAUUCAUGUGUGUUUCAUAUGUAGAAUACAUGUACUAACUAAUUAUACUUACUUCAAAACCAAUAUUUGACUAAGUGUGAGGAAGGCAGAUGAGUUUACCAACUAGUCGUUGGUAUCUUCCUUUGUCAAUUGGAUCCUCUUUUUUUAACUGAAUCUAUCUUGUGUCUUGAAUCAAUCGGAAUGUCAUCAGGCUUGCAACCAAGCUUCCCUGUUUCAUUGAGUAACUCUAAAGUGUACUUUAUUAAUAAAUAGAGAUUCAAUUUUUAUUUAUGACAAUCUCCAUCCCUAGAAAAUACUUUAGUGUGCCAAGGUCUUUCACCUCAAUUCCUUAACUAGGAUCUUCUCAAAGCGUCAAUUUCUACAUGAUCAUUACUUGUUAAAAUCUUAUCAUCAACAUAAACUAUGAUAAAAAUUACUUUACCCUCAUUAGUAGAUUAGUAAAACAUGGUAUGAUAUGAAUGUCCAUGAAGAUAGCCAUAAUGUUUUACUACUCUAGAGAGUCUUUCAAACCAUAAACUUUAUUGGAACUUCUUUUUUCAAGUCCUGGUGGUACAUCCAUGUAAAACACCUCUUCUAAUUCCCAAUUAAAAAAAGAAUUUUUUAUGUCCAAGUGUUGAAUGGGCCAAUCAUAGUUUGUAGCUAGAGAGAAGAAUUCAGAUUAUGUUUGGUUUUUCCACCGGUGCAAAAGUCUCUUGGUAAUCUAUCUCGUAAGUCUGAGUAAAUCCUUUAGUAAACAAUCUUGCCUUAUAUCGUUCCAGCAGGCUAUUAGAUUUUUAUUUUAUUGAAAAUACCUAUUUACAUGCCACAAUUCUUUUAGCUUUUAGUUGGGUAACAAGUUCCCAUGUUCCAUUUUUUUUUUCAAAGCUUUGACUUCCUCCACAACUAGUGUUAUCCAUUUUGGAUCACCAAAUGCCUAUGCAUUUUUUGGAACUUCUAUGGAAGAAAUGUGAGAGACAAAAACAGAAAAAAUAUGAGGAUAAUCUAUGAUAAGAGACAAAAUUAGAUAUGAGAUGAAUGGUACAACAUCUAACACCUUUCCUAAGUGCUAUCUAGAUAUCUAAGCCACUAAGCACUAGGUCUACAAAAAGUGAAGAAUGUGAGGAGGAUGACGAAUUGUCCAAACCUGAUUCAAGAAUUAUCUCUCGUGUGGUUUCACGGCAAGGCGUGAGUAUAUUAGGUGCUAUACACUUCCUUGAGUAGACUUUGAACUAUGGUGUAGACUGGGUUGUUGGUGGCAAUGCUUUAUCUCCCCCUACAUUUGGCAAUUUGUCAUGUAUUGGAAAUAUUGUUGGGUUGAACUAAAUGGAAAAAAUGGAUGGAGAGAUUUAAGUGGACAUCUGAAUAGUUGAUAGGAGUCUGGAUUGGUUGCUAGUAGUGUAAGAACUAGAAAAGAAGAUUGUGGAAUUUCCCAUGACGAAGCUUCACUAGAAUUUUCCCUCUAAAGCGAAGUGUAAUAGGGUUGUUGUUCAAAGAAGGUUACAUCUUUAGAGAUGUACAUUUUUCAAUUAACAUGAUCAAAACAUCUAUAUCUUUUUUUAGUUGUUGCAUAUCCUAAAAAUAAUCAUUUUAUAACCCUAAGAUCAAGUUUACCACGAUUAUGUUAAUGAACAUGUAAAAAAGUAGUACAUUCAAAAAUUUUAAUUGGUAAAUCUUGGAAAAUUUGAGAAUAUGGGAAUGAAGCAAGCAAAACAACACUGCUAGUUUUAAAAUUAAGAACUUUCGAGGACAUCCUAUUGAUCAAAUAUGAUGUUGUAAGAAUGGUGUCCCCCUAGUGUAUUUUUCUAACAUUCAUUAAAAAUAAUAAGGAUCGAGCAACUUCUAAGAGGUGCUUAUUCUUCCUUUCGGAAACUCCAUUUUAUUGUAGAGUAUCUACACAUGAAUUUUGAUGAAUAAUCCCAAUAGUUGAUAAAAAAUCUUCAAGAACAACAUUUAUAUAUUCACUACCAUUGUCGGUUUUAAGAAUUUUAAUGAACGUUUGAAAUUGGUUUUAUAUCACUAAGUAGAAAUUUUUGAAGGUUUGAAAGACUUCGAAUUUUUCUUUAAGACGGUAAACCUAGCAAAUUCUUGAAUAAUCAUCGAUGAAGGUAAGGAACCAUUUUCUACUAGUUAGAUUUGUUGCUCAAGAUGGUCCCUAAAGAUCAUUAUGUAUGAGAAUAAAAGAUUUAAAGGGCCUAUAAGGUUUAGUAGGAAAUACUAAUACUGUAUGCUUUACCAUUUGAUACACUUCACAUUGAAAAUGGGACAACCUUUUAUUUUUAAAGAGUUUGGAAACAAGAACCAAAGAUACAGAAAGCUAGGGUGCCCUAAUCUAUAGUGCCAUGACAUUAUUUCAUGAUAUAAAAGAAAAUGUAAAACAUUUUUACCAACAAUAGCAUCUUAUCCUUUCACAACUUCACGGUCAUCAAAGUGGUAUAAACCUUCACACUCACAUGCAUUGCCAAUCGUCCUCCCCGAAGCUAAGUCCUGAAAAACAAUAACAAUAGAAGAAACUUUAGAUACACAAUUGAGAUCUUUAGUGAGUUUACUAAUGGACAAUAAAUUACAUGAUAAAUUUAGGAUAUGUAAGACUGAUUCAAGAAAAAUAGUUUUUGUUAGGGAGAUGGUUCCUUUUCUAGCAACUGGGGUAUACAACUCAUUCACAAUUUGGAAUUUCAUAUUAUCGACACGUGGUACAUAUGUUGUAAAGGAAGUGAAUGACCUUGUCAUGUGAUCUGUAGCUUUGGAAUCGAUGAUAUAAGGUUUAUAAGAAUUGGCUAACACACUAAAUGGGUAUUGAGUUCUACUUGAUAGUGUUAGAGAGCAAGAUGGCAAGGGAUUGACAUUUGGUGAACCUAAGAUAGAAGUGGAUGCGGUUUGUGGAUUAAUGAGAUGUUGCAAGACCUUUAACUACUCCUUGGUGAAUGGUGAAGUGGUUGUUUGGCUGUGAGGGUUCUCAUAUUCACUAUAGUAGGCUUUAGAAUUGUGGUUGGGUCUUAGGUUUCUCCUAGUAGGCAACUUCUUGUGGAUCUUCCAGGAUGUAUAUCUUAUGUGGCCUUGUUUUUUAUAGUAGUCACACUAAGAACAAUCACCAUUUUUUCCUGGUCAUUGGUCGUUUGGUUGAAAAGUCUCCCCACCAUGAAUAACCAGGGCAAAGUCUCAAAUUGGCUAGAUUGUUGUUUUCCCAACAUUACUUUGUACCUACUCUCUUCCCAUCGUACCUUAAAGAAAGAUCUCCCUUAUAGAUGGAAAUGACUAUUUUCCUAGGCUUCAACCUCAAACCUCAUCAAAUUCCUUGUUGCGUCUUACCAAAAAGUCAAAUGCCCUUUCUUUUAUGAGAAUCUUGCAAUAAUGGGCAUUGUCUUCACAAUAUUUCCAUUCCAUAUUAGAGAAUAAAUCAUGGUCUUGCCAUGCAUUUUAAAGGAUAUUAUAGUAUUGUGUAACAUUAUAACUACUUUAUUUGAUAUCUUCAACUUAGUUUAAAUUUCAAACAUUUGAGUAGCAUUACCUAAAUCUAAAUAAUUCUCUUGGACUGCAUCCUAAAGGUCCUUGGCGGGUAGAAAGAAAGAGGUAAGUAUGCCCAAUAGCUACCUCCAUGGAGUUGAUUAACCAGGCCAUUACCAUGUAGUUCUUAGAAUCCUAGGUUUGGUACGCAUGAUCUUCCAACUUAGGUGCUUUGUUGGCACUUGUGAGAUAGCCUAACUUUCCUUUUCCUCAUAUGAACAGUUUCACCAAUUGCGAUCAUUGGAGAAAAUUACAUUCAUUUAAUUUAUGUAUCGUAAUUUACAGGGUUGGAUUUUCUAUACCGCUUGGAUUUGUUGUUGGAAUUUGUAUUGUGAAGUCCCAGGUGAGGCAUUAGAUUCCUCCCUGUGAGUUGCACUAGUCAUAGCAGUCUUCACUAUCCUUCUACUUUUUUUUUUUCUUCUCUGGCUCUAAUACCAUGAAACCAUGAUAGGGUUUUUUUUUUUUUGGAUAAAGUUAUAUUUAUUGCUCUAAUCUUCAAAACAUGGGCUACAUCCUUUUAGAUAACAAGAAAAUAGAUAAUUCCUAUGCUAAAAAAAAAGAGAUGGAAAAAAAAAUCUGAUUCAAAUAAUUCCUCAAAUCAAGGAACCUAUCCAUUAUAAAAUUUUGAGUCCAAUUUGAACUAGUCUAACCAAACUAACUUUCCAACAUCCAACUAAGUUGAAAUUAUCUUUAAAACCCUUGAAAAUUAAAACCCAAAUAAAUAGACUCAAAACCUUAGGUUUUUAGGCCCACAAACCCCCUAAAACCAGCCUAAGAGCUAAAAAAAGGGUAAAAAAGUUUGACAAAGAAAUAAGAAUAAAAAAGGAUCAAAAUAAGGAACUUUUUAGCAAUUGGUUGAGCUGGUACCUCAAUCUACUAAAUUAGUUCCCUAGACUGGUUGAACUUACUAAACCAGUUUCCUAAACUAUUUGAAUCGAUGAAACUAAUUAAGGCAAAAAAGGGCUCGAUUCUUACUGAUGAAGCUCUAUUUGAACUCCAAACAUACUGAAACUUUAGAGACUCCUAGGGUGACACUAAAGUCAUAUUGUGGAUCCAAAACUAUAUCUAAAAAGUCUUUCAAAGUGGCUCAAAAGUCAAUGCUAAAGACGAGUAUUGAACAUCCCACCAAGGAGUAUAGGAACAAUCACACAAAGGGGGUCUAGAUGUGCUACACAAGGGCACAAAGUGAAGGACACCAAGUAUGAUCUACAACAUGUGCUAUAAAGACAAUAUGGAGAGUCUAGAUGCACUUUUUGAGAAGACCUGAUUAGCCUUCUUGUAUCCCAAACUCUUGAAAACAUUUUAUCUUCUCAUUUGUUAGGUUAGAAAAGAGAUUCCAUAAGGCACAAAAGUAAAAUACACUAGGAGUACACAUGGUGUUUCACCAUGGAUGUGAAGUUCAAUGGACGUGUUGGGGAGUAAGACUUAGGGAUAGCAUCGAUCAAGUAAAUCUAUCUAUUGUCCUUUCGAAUAGUUGAUUUGUGAUUAGAGGUCUCUAACCACAUGAUGUUUAUAUCUAAAUGGUCUCGAGAAUACUGUGUGGAUUUUCACGUAAAAAAAUAUUUGUCUUUCACAUUGACUUAUUUAUUCUUGCCCUUAUAACAAAUGGGAAAGUUAAAAAAUGAAAAAUAAUUAACUUUUGGAUUAAAAAAAUUAUCUAUGUGCCUUUUGUAAUAAUUUAUUUCUUUUUUCAAAGAAGUUAAAAAAAUAAAAAAUAAUUAAUUUUUGGACUAAAAAUUUUGUGAAGACUAUAUACCCAUGUUAAUGGCCUCAUGUGGCAUAAGAGAAUCACAAGAAUGACGAAUAAAAACAUGUGGUAUAUAUUAUUUGUCAUUGCCAUUAUUCAUUUGUUGGUGGUAAAAAGUAAGAAGUGUAGCUAUCAAAAAGAUUUUUCUUGUACCUUUUUUCUUUGUUAGAGGUGAAAAAACAUGAUUUUAACAUGACGAGCUAGGCUUAUUGAUUUAUGUUUUCGUUUUAUUUUUUUAUUUUUAUUUCUGAUUUUAUUUUCCUAGUUUGUGUUUCACAUGCCACCUUGAGGAGGGAUAUUGGAGAUAUAAAGAUAUUUGACUCUGCCUAAAUUGAAAUAAGGAGAUAUUUGACUUUUCCUAAACAAUAUAGAGGAUGGAGAUCUUUCUUGGUAGAAUCUGAUUUAUUACUUUUUAUUGUAUAUAAGAUUAUUUCUAUUUUUGUAUAUAAGGCUAAGUAUCUUUUAAAAAUAUAUAAAAAAAAGUAUUUUCUCAAUUCUUGUCAAAACUCAAAAAACAUGAUUUUAAGGUCACGGGCUAGGUUUAUUGAUCUAUAUUUUGGUUUUGUUUUAUAUUUUUAUUUCUGAUUUUUUUUUUUUUUCCAGUUUGUGGUUCAAAAUAGCCUUUGUGGCACAAUUGCUAAUAAGCAAUGACGUUAGCAAAGAUGGUGAUACUUUGAAAAAGUUUGGAAUAUUAUGAACUAUUGAGAAGUUGAAAAGCUAAUUACAUUAAUUGAUAGGAACGAUUGAAGAUUUUAAAAUGAUAAAACGUGAGUCUAACACUUGUUCUCAGUGAAAUAUUAUAAAUCACUGAGAAGUUGAAAAGCUAACAUCGAUAGGGACUUUAAAACGAUUGAAGACUUUAAAACGAUCACACUUGUUCUUAUCUUGAGGAAAAAAUAGUGUCUUAUAUACUUUAAUUCCUGGCCAAUGAAUCCGAUAGGAUAAGAAGUGAUAGGGGUAUUAAUCUAAAUUGAUUUUCUCAACUGUGAAGCAAUUCACAGAUCGCUCCUGGAAAUGAAGCUUAGCUCAGUUGCAGUUUCCUUUGCUUUUAUUACUCUCCUCAUAUUUGCAUGGAGGUUAUUGAAUUGGGUGUGGUUGAGACCAAAGAAGCUAGAGAGAUGCCUUAGGAAGCAAGGUCUGACUGGAAAUUCCUACAGGUUGUUGCAUGGGGAUUUUAGAGAGAUGUCGAGGAUGAAUAACGAAGCAAAUUCCGGACCCAUCAGCUUCUCUGAUGAUAUUGUGAAGCGAGUUCUACCAUUUUUUAAUCAUUCCAUCCAGAAAUAUGGUAUGAAAAUUAACUUCUCUUUAUCAUUGCACUAAAAUAUUUGUGGAAUUUUCCCCAAUGGAUGUUGGUUUUCUGGUCUUUUUUUUUUAUUAGUUGUUUUUCCUGUCCUUUCUUUUUCUUCUCUAAGAAGUUAUAGCCAAAUGGAAUUUCAAUGGUACUUCAAAUUUCCUUUUUCUACUUAGGAGUGUAACUUUUAAGGUUUAUUUGAUUAAAAAUAAUCAAGUAAUCCCAAAUUUAUAAAAAAAGUCCUCAUUUAAAAAAGACUCAUUUUAUAUAUAUAUAUAUAUAAAAUACUUACUAUUUUUCUUUUCAGUCUAAAAAAUGACUCAUUUUUUUAUAAAAAUAUACUCGGGAAAAACCUGUUUUUAUACACUCCUAAAAAAUUAUAAAAUACAAAUUUCAAACAGUUAUUUAAAAAUAAUUAACAUUUCAUGUACUUUUUUUUAUAUAUCAAAUUUACUACCUUUUAACGAUAUAAGUAUUAUCUUUUAUCAUUUUAGGUACUAUCUUUGACUAAUAUAAAAAAAAAUUAUUUUAUAAUUAUUUUUAUAUAGUGUGAAAACUCACUUUUUUAAAUAUACUUGUUGUUUUUCUUAUAAAAAUAACAUUCUUUUUUUUUUCUUUUAAAUUUACCAAAAAAAAUUAUAAAAAUAUUAAGAGAUGUUUAUAUAAAAAAAUAACUAAUUUUUUAGUUGAAAUAUGAAAGGGGCUAGAUUUACAAAUUUAGGAUUAUUUUAUUCUUUUUAAUUGUGCCAUUCAAUUUUUUUAUAAGCUAUAUGUAGGUAUAUAUUGGAUUAUUUACUUUGUAAGUUGUUUAAUCGUUGGGAAUUGUGAAUAGCUUUUAAAUUUUUAUGCUAAUUGUUUCUCAUCUUUUCAAAUUUUGCAUGAACUUUUGACUUUUGAUAAUUAAUCAAAUCAUUAUAAUUUUCUUUAGAUAUUUGAGCUUCUUCAAUUAGAUAGCCUUGCAUUUGCCUGCUUGACUACCCAGGUCCUUUAGAUCCUUUCUAACCAUUAUCCAACAAUGGGCAUUAAAAAUGCAGGUAAAAAUAGUUUUACAUGGUUGGGCCCAAAACCAGUAGUAAAUAUUAUGGAGCCUGAGCUGAUAAGGGAUGUUCUCUUAAAGCACAAUGUCUUUCAAAAACCACCGCCGCACCCUCUCGGCAAGCUGCUGGCUACUGGUGUUGUUGCAUUGGAAGGUGAACAAUGGACUAAACGUAGAAAGAUCAUAAACCCAGCUUUCCAUCUAGAGAAGUUGAAGGUAAUUUUAUCAUGCUUAUUUUCCCAUUCUUUCUUUAUGUUUAAUUUUAGAAAUUGUGAGAGCAGAAUAAAUACAUUAAAGGAUGGAUAUGGUUAACUUUUUGAGGCAAUAUUUAUUUGGUUAUGCAGCCAGACCCCAACUUGUUGCCUGGUUUCUCUGCAUAGCCCUCUUCUUAUAGGAAAGAAAAUAAAUUUCCGAAUGUUCCAUAAUUUAGUAGACAUAUUCACAAUUUUACUGCCUCUUGUAAUCUUUUUUCUUAUGCAUGAUAAAUUUUUUCUAAAUUUAUUAAUUGUGUUUGAAUUUGUAUAGCACAUGGUAUCGGCAUUCCAAUUGAGUUGUAGUGAUAUGGUCAAUAAAUGGGAGAAGAAGCUCUCCAUGGACGACUCAUGUGAAUUGGACAUUUGGCCCUAUCUUCAAAUUUUGACGGGAGAUGUUAUUUCAAGAACAGCAUUUGGUAGUAGCUACGAGGAAGGAAGAAGGAUAUUCCAACUCCAGAAAGAGCAAGCACAUCUUGUAGCCCAGGUUACUCAGUCAGUUUAUGUUCCAGGAUGGAGGUAGGCAAAAAAUAUUUCAAGGAAUUAAUCUGAACCUCAGUACUAAUACCCAUAUGCUAUAUCUUUCACAGUAUCACCAACAACAACAACAACAACAAUAAUAAUAAUAAUAAUAAAAAUAAAAAUGAAGAAGAAGAACAAGGGUUUGAUCCAGCAUGGGACAAAAGCAAGAAUAAAAUUAACAACUGUUAUAACAUUUAAGAACUAUAAAAUGUUUCAUUUAUUUUGUUAAUAUGGCUCUCAACUAAUAUUUGUUUAUCUUCUAAAAUGGAAGUUUUCCAAUUUUUGGCUUUCUAUUUUAAGAAAUUUCAUUUUGUUCAAAUUAAAGAAUGUAGCUGUCUUGAAAACAAAAAUCAACUUCAAGUAUCCCCUUUUCUUUUAUUGGCAGAACAUCUUAGCAAGAUGAAUGGUGAAAUACUACUAUAAAAUAUAUGUAGACCAAAUGGACAAUUAAUGUCUGGAUAGUCUCAUCUUUGGAACACCAUGGAUAUUCCGAGAAAUUGAUCAAGUACAAAGUCAUGGAUGAAAUUGCAUUAGUUGCUUCCUGUAUUUUAUUGAUCUUCAUUUACUUGGAUUACUUCCAAGCAGGUUUUUCCCAACAAAGAUAAACAGGAGAAUGAGGCAAAUUAGAAAUGAAGUCAAUGCAUUGUUGAAGGGUAUCAUUGAGAAAAGAGAGAAGGCAAUGAAAGUUGGCGAAACUGCUAAUCAUGAUUUAUUAGGUCUGCUAAUGGAAUCCAACUACAGAGAAAUGCAAGAAAAUGAUGAGAGGAAGAAUGUUGGAAUGAGCAUCAAAGAUGUCAUUGAGGAGUGUAAGCUAUUCUACUUUGCCGGCCAAGAGACUACCUCAGUUUUACUUCUGUGGACAAUGGUUCUAUUAAGCAAGCAUUCAAACUGGCAAGCUCGUGCAAGGGAAGAGGUUUUACAAGUUUUUGGUAAUAAAAAACCAGAUGGCGAUGGCUUAAAUCACCUCAAAAUUGUGAGUACCAAUCCAAUAUAUAUUCAAUAUAGUAACUAUCUCUUCUUGAAAAUAAUAUAUUACUCUUUUUCUUUUUUUCAAUCUUAAGACAAAAUAUGUUUUGUUUCUGUAUCCUUUUUUCUUUAAUUGAAAGCUAUAUGCAGAUACUUGGUAGCCCCAAUGGAAUUUUUCUUUCCUCAUCUACAUGCACAACGCAUCAGCAGUGGCCACUUGACUUUAAUGAAGAAGGGGGGACAGACUAUUCUUUUCUUUGUGUGAAUUUUUUAUUUGCUUGUUAGGUUGUUAUAAGUGUGGUGAAAACUUUAUGCAAAUACUUAGUAUCAAUCAUUUACAAGACCGAAGAUAAUCUUGAUAUUAAACUCAAGGCUACAAUAUAUAUUCAAGGGGUUCUUAGUUUGUAUUGACCAGUUACUGUAUGGUCCUAUGUACAUGAAAGUAUCUGUCAUGAAAAAAGUCAAACAAUCUCUUUCAUGACUAUAUUAAAAAAAUUCCUUCAUAGUUUGAUGUAUGCUUAUUAGUGAUCUAGUGUAUUUCAAUAAUGAAUUCUCAUGAUAAAAAUAUUUUCUAUAUUGCAGGUUACAAUGAUUUUUCAUGAGGUCCUUAGGUUAUAUCCACCAGCAUCCAUGCUCAUACGAACUGUUUUUGCCGACAGCCAAGUGGGAGGAUUGUAUUUAUCAGAUGGAGUGCUGAUCGCUUUGCCAAUCCUCCUAAUUCACCACAAUCAUGAAAUUUGGGGAGAGGAUGCAAAGGAAUUCAACCCGGGAAGAUUUUCAGAAGGAGUUUCUAAGGCAGCAAAGACCCAAGUUUCAUUUUUUCCAUUUGGUUAUGGUCCUCGGAUAUGCGUUGGACAAAAUUUUGCAAUGAUGGAAGCGAAAAUGGCUUUGGCAAUGAUCUUACAACGUUUCUCAUUUGACCUUUCCCCAUCCUAUGCUCAUGCACCUAGUAGCCUUUUAAUGCAACCCCAACAUGGUGCACACCUGAUUUUACAUGGACUUUAGCAUCAGAGUUCUUGUUAUCAGUAACAGUUAGCAAGAGCUUUAAACCUAGAUAAUGUUGAAUUUAAAAUGCCCACACUCCCUUUCACUUGAAAUAUGUGCUCUAUAAAGUCAAUAUAUUAAUAAGAUUCUCUUUUUGUAUAUAUGUCAUUGUGGGUUUGCUUUCUGAUAUUGAUGAAAGCUUUGUUUAUUAUGUUCUAUAUAUAAAUGAUCAUUUUAUAAGGAGAUGAAUUUGGAGAAUGGACAUGCUUUAAAAUUAGUUGUGAUGGGUUACUAUGCAUGUUGUGAUAUCUACAAAGAAACUACCAUUCCAAUAAUAAAAGAAAUAUUCUCAUUUGUUCUUAUCUUGAUAGAGUGGUGUCUCAUUCACUAAAAUUGAAUGGUAGAGUACUCUUACGGAAUUUUAUAGGUAUUUGUAAAGAAGUUCGUACUAAAUUGGGUCACAAGGUAAUACAAUUUUGGAGUUACUGCCACUAAGAAGUUAUCUGCUUAAACUUGAUUCAAAUCCAUGUCAUGACAAAUUAUAAAUGUCAGGGGCCCGGUCCACCCCCUAUUUUUAUUGGAUCUACAAUUUUAUCAUUCUCCUAGAGUUUUAGACAACUUCAGAAUGUUAAACACAACCUUAAAGAACCCUUUGGGUGAGCUUUCAUAUUCUUGGAGCAGCUUGAUGUGCUUGCAGUAGCUUGACAUGCUUGAGCAGUUUGACAUGAUUACUAUGAUCCCAUAUUGGAACCUUAUAAAGAGAGGAACCGCUCCUAGUACCUAUAAAAAGAGGGCCUUGUAAUUUAUUGUUGAUAAGUGAUUGUAUAGAGAAGUUUCUAUUGUUAUUUCACUUGAUUUCUUCAAGUGUUGUAUUCUUAUUAGCUUCUAGUUUCACUUCUGCAGCCAGCCAAACUCACUGGGAUGCUCAGAGUUUUGAGGUACCCAAGCACUACAUGGAUUUUUAUGAGACAUCUUGGUCUAUCAUAAGUGCUGGACGUGUUAGAAAAACUUGAAAAAAAAAAUCAUUGAUAAUAAAGUGUUCACUAUUGAUCUUGACGUGUGGAUAAAUGAUUUCAUAAUCAAGAAGUAUUCACAUUUGCAAAACUCUCCACAAGCUUACAUGCAUGCCCUUUUAGCUUUGUGCUACAGAUUUAGAAUUUUGAGAGAAGCAAAGAAAGAGAAAUGAAGAAUAUCUUUUAACAAUUGAAGUUAAAAUCAUGAUGCACUUUCAUCUAUUUAUAGGAAUAACAAUAAAUUAUAACAUUUUAUCAACUUUUGUAACUUUACAAAGGCUAUUGAUGACUUUACACAUAUUCUAACAUUACAAUUUGUUUGUGAAUUUAUAACCUUUAUAACUUCACAAUUUAUUUGUAACUUUACAACUUUUGUUUCUAUCUUCAUAAUUGAUUGUAAAUUUAAAACUUUUGUAAAUUCACAUGUUAUUGGUGUCCUUACAUCUAUCUUUGUUACCUUACAUUAAUUCAUAUUGUUGAUUUACUACCUUUUAUAAUGUUAUAAUUCAUUAUUCAUUACAAUAUUUUAAUUUCUAAAGUAAAUGUCUAUGAUUAAUUAACUUAUUUGUAUGUUAUGAACUCUUUAUAUUUCAAAGUUAAUUAUCUCUUCUCAAUAAGUUAAGGUGAGGACAUAUGAUAUGGGACCUUUGUGGGAUCUUUACACCCUUAGUAAGUUUGUUAUGUUUGUUUCAAAUAAAUUUAUUAAUUAUAAUUAUAUUUAAAACAUAUUAUAAUUUCACCCAAAUCAUAGGAGAUAUAUAAGUCAACUCCCUAGUUUUGAAUUUACAUCCUAAGGUUUUGAAUGUUAGGAUAGAGCCCUUAAAAACUUGACAUGAUAUAAUAAAUUUGGAAUUCAUUACUUAUUUAAUGAUGUUCCAAUUUCACUUUUAUCUAUCCUUAUUCCAUGUAUUAUACUUUUCUUACCUACAUAUUUUGCAUUGUAUGUGACUUAGGUGCAUUAGGAGUUACAUAGAAGAUCUAAGUCAUGGGUUCCCUGCAAAUAGAUGAAUUGUUCAGAGUCGAUUCAUGGGCUUAGGUAACCCAUUAGAGGUUAUAGUGCACCACCUCCUAAUUAGAGAGAUGACUGGUCUUGGCUAUUGGGAUGGGUUUCUCAUGGUGAGUGCACUAGUGUGUAUUGUUGCAUAUUGGACAGGACUUAUGGUGAGUUAUAACUUAAGGUUAUUGAGAAAAUAAAGGUUAAUCUUAAAUGAGAAAAACACCAAAGAGGGGGUUGAAUUGGGUUUUUUUUUUAAAUCUUUUUAAACACAACAAGUUUAAGCACAAGAGAGGCAAAUAUAAAGAGAUAGAGUUAGAUAAAUCAAACUCAUAUUUUAUAGUGGUUCAACACUCCCUUGUCCACAUCCACUCUCCUCAAGCUCCUAACCGAGUGAGGGUUCUACUAACUUGAAGUUCCAACCAAGCUUCUAAUCACCCUUACACUUAGAUUUCGGUUCCAAUGGGCUCUUACACAAUCUCUUCAAGUUUCAACUCACUUGAAGGCUUUAACACUCAAUCAACAAGAAUAAAUCUCUCAACCUAGGUCAACAAUAGCUCAAAUACAACUUAAGGCUAGGAUGAAUCACAAAGGUGCUCUAAAGGAUAUGCAAAUGGGAAUUUAAUGCACCAAGAAAAGAAAUGAGAACUUUUAGGCAAGAACAACUAGGUAGACAAAUAAAUGCAGGUGUACUCUUGCUCAUAAAUGAAGUGGAGCUCUCUAUUUAUAGGUUUCUAACCUCGGGAGCCAAGAAAACCAAAAAAUCAGCCUCAAUCGGUCGAGUUAGAGGUCGAUCGAUUCACUAGCCUUUAGAGCACUUAAUGCUUGGCAGGUGACCUUUACCUUCAACCAGACCUCGAUUGGAGGUCGACCAGGAAGGCAAUAUACCUCGACCAAGAAGGAAAGUCUAUUGGAAGGGAGAGAGUGCUUUUUGCACUCCUUGACUGGACCUUGAUCGGGAAGAGGUAACCGAUCAACCGGUACCCCUAGCCGGUUGGCCAAUGUCUUGACCGGUUCACAAUUUUUGGCCCGAAAACCUAUCUUUUGUUGGUUUUUUCUCUUCUAACACUUAGGCAAGGUCUUUAUGUAAAGUUAUAUGUCAAUUUUGAAGUAAUUUACCUAAGGUUCAUUUGAUAAAACUCGAUUUUGAUGAAACUGUAACCUUAAAGAAUAAACCAAGUUUUUAAAAGAUGCAUGAAAUUAUAUGUAAAACCUAAGUGCACCCAUGCAUUCAUUUUACAUAUGUUUUCUAUGAUUAAAAGUCUUCCAAAGGUCUUGAUUUUGCAUCCAUUUGGUUCUUUGAUGAAUUUCCAAAUUAAUACCUGAAAUUCUUUAUAAUUCAAAUCAAUUUGUAACUUAACCAUGAUUUGUUAUCAUCAAAACCUGGUUAGGAGAACCCUUGGGCUAACAAUCUCCCCCUUUUUUUUUAUGAUGAUAAACCUUGGUUAUCUAGGAGAAAAAGAAUCUCCCCAUCAAACCAAUCAUGGGUCAACAAUCAAAAUUUACGAAGUUAAAAACUAAGAUGAUCAAAACAUGCUAGAGAAAAUUUGCAAUAAGAAACAAUGUAAGUCAUGAAACAUAUAGGCAUAUCAUAUAUAAGUCAAAUGUAUCACAAUCCAAUACGUACGAUCCAAGUGAUGAUAUGACAAUGUAAGUACAAUGAUAUGCAUGUAAGUCUCCUAUAGUCUCCUAGAUCCUAAAAUAUCUCUCCCUUUUGGUAAUAUAAAAAAGGAACAAAGGGGGUCUCUACGAAAUCAAGGCUAAGGAGGUGGAAGUGGAAACACAGAGUGCAGGUAAACCAUCAUCUCCUCAUGCUGACUCUCCAGGCGAUCUUCAAUGCGCUCAAUCCUCUACUAGAGAUGCUCAAAUUGUGAGGUGAAGCCAGCCUGGUGUUGAUCCAUGCGAUCCUCAAACCUCUAUUGGAAAUGCUCAAACUGAGAAGUGAAGUCAGCUUGAUACUGAUCCAUGCGAUCCUCCAUGGAGUAGAACCGAGUAUCAUUGACUAUAGCAAACUCCUCCAUGCAAGUGUUUAGAGAGCUAAUAUAAGCAGAUAAAUCUAUCCAAGGAGCAUGGUCAGGACCGAGAGGUGCCUGAGGAGGUGGUAUCUCAAUGUGAGGAGGCUCAAUAAAUGACGGAUGAGUAGAUGGUCCCACUGUAUAAGUUGGCUCAAACAUCAUCAACUUAGAGAAGGCAGCCUCAAACCGAACACCCUCUGAUUGAAGUGCAGGAAUGUUAAGCUUGGGAUCCCUCUGCUAAAAGCCACUCUAAGGGUCUACUCCACCCUCCAUGUCUCAUAUCUCAACCUUCUCCUCAACUUUAGGAUGUGCUUGUCCUUGUCCCCGAGCUUGUGUAGGUGAUCUAUCUGCUUUCCUAACCCAAGAACCAUUGGGGGCCUUCUCCAACUUCAUCUAUCCCAUGGACUGAUCAUCAUAAGUAUCAAGCGUUGGGGGCCUCAAAGUCUAUCUCUUUACUUAAGUCAAUGCCAGCAUCCUUAAACACUUUGGUGAGGAAGUGGCCAUAGGGGAGUACGCGGGCCAUGCUCUUGCAACAUGAGAUCAUGUGCAUCAUCAUCAAGUACCCCAAGUGGAUCCGUCUACCAAUCAGAAUAGAGUCAGUGAGAAAUGCUUCAUAAUAAGAGACCUUAUCUUGGUGCCGCCCCAUGGUAGAAUGAUAGAAUAUAUCAUAUGGUGCAACACUCUACUGAUUACGGUCAAGCUGUGAGCCUAGGGUUUGCCCAUCCCUUAGGCAUUUGGAAGGCCACAAAUCCUCUUAAUGGCCUCUCUAGGCUCAAAUCCUGGUACAAUGGGCCAAAUCUUGGACUUGUACACUCUGAGUCCAAUCGGAGCAAUAUUGAAAAUGCGGUAGAUACUCUCCGGGUAUAGACGAAUAUUGACUCCUCUGACGGUAGAUAUGAUAGGGGGCACCCAAACCAUAAGUCGCCCUUGAAUAAAAUGCUCACACCAAAGUAGGAAAAAUUGGCUCCAAGACAAUCACCACGGGCAACCAACCCAUCCUAGUGAAAAUGGCCUCGAAUCCAAAAUGUUAAAGUUGGAGAAAAUUAAUAUUUCUUCCUGGAACUAUUUGUCUCUGAGCAAAGUGUUGCUUGUACCGUUGGUAGUCCUCCAUGGAACAGAACAAGGCGGUGUCAAACCUAGCCUUUUGGUGUGCCUUGGUUGAGACGACUCAACUGGGUGCUUGCCCUAUGCCUUAGAGGCAGCCAACUCUCGUCUCUCAGCCAUGAUAAAGAGUGAAACAAUGAAGAAGGGGCUGGUAGAGAGAGAAAUGCUCACAACUAAAACCUUAGGCAUGCAAAAAUGGAGAGGAAUUUGACUAUGAUGCACGGGAAGAAGAUAAGGUGGCCCAAAUCCGAAACCCUAACCUCCAAACUUCCCAAAAAUCCAAUCCAAAGCCUUCAAUAUGUUGCAAUGACCUCAAAAAUCACUCAUUGAAACGGUAGAGCUCUUAAAGAAUUAUAGGAAACUAGUGAGAAAAUGAACUGUGGGAGUCCCUUUAAAACCCUAAUCCCGACGAACCGGUCGAUCGUCUGGUCAACGCGGUCAACAUUUGACUUUUCAAUUUUUACGUAUUUUCUCAUUUUGUGAUCCUUCUCUUGCCCUUUUUAGUUGAAAUCCACAAAUUUUUAUGCCCAAUGCCAAAGGAAUUUUGAUUUUUGGUCGAAAUUUGACCAUUGUCUAAGUAUAUAUCUAUAUGAUGCAUAUGACAUGGAAUUCAUGCAAUCAAAAGGUAUAUUCAUCAAGAAUUCAGUAAUUCAUCAUUAGAUCAUAAAGAAAUCACCCCUAGCUAUCUUCUAAUAUCAACAAAUUGUUCUUCACUUAGAGGUUUUGUAAAGAUAUUGGCAAGUUGAUCUUUUGUACUUACAAAUUCAAGUGUUAUGUCACCCUUUUGUGUAUGAUCUCUAAGAAAAUGAUGUCUAAUAUCUAUACUCUUAGUCCUAGAGUGUUGCACGAGAUUUUUUUAUAUACUUAUGGCACUAGUAUUAUCACAUUUAAUAGGAACAUGUUCAAAAGAUAAAUCAAAAUCACUAAGUGUUUGUUUCAUCCAAAGGAUUUGUGUACAACAAAAAUCGGUUGCUUUGUAUUCGGCUUCCGCUGUUGAUAAAACUACCUAAUUUUGCUUCUUACUAUGCCAUGAGACAAGUGAGCGUCCUAAGAAAUGACAAGUGCCACUGGUGCUUUUUCUUUCAACCCUACAACCGACAAAAUUGACAUCCGAAAAUCCAAUUAAUUCAAAAUUAUCACUCUUAGGAUACCAUAAGCCUAUGUCCAUUAUCCCUUUCAAAUAUUUAAGGAUUCUUUUUACGACACUUAAGUGAGAUUCUUUAGGACAAGAUUGAAAUCUAGUACACAAGCAUACACUAUACAUAAUGUUGGGUCUACUAACGGUUAAAUAUAGAACAGAACCUAUCAGGCCUCUAUACAUAGUAGAGUCAAUGGAUUUACCUUUCUCAUCCUUAUCAAGCUUGAUGGAUGAGCUCAUUGGAGUCUUCAUUGUUUUGGCUUCUUCCAUGUUGAACCUUUUGAGAAGAUCUCUUAUAUAAUUUGCUUGAUUGAUGAAGUUUCCUUCCUUUAGUUGCUUGAUUUGAAGUCCAAGGAAGAAGUUGAGCUAUCCCAUCAUGCUCAUUUCAAACUCACUAUGCAUGCACUUAGAAAAUUCUCCACAAAGAGAGACAUUAAUAGCACCAAAAAUGAUAUCAUCAACAUAUAUUUGAACUAAGAGCAUAUCUUUUUUUUUUUUGGUUUUUAUGAAAAGAAUUGUGUCAAUUUUUCCCAUUUUAAAACCUUUUUUAAAAGAAAUUUACUCAAUCUUUCAUACCAUGCUCUAGGUGUUAUUUCAAACCAUAAAGUGCCUUUUUAAGUUUAAAAACAUGGUUAGGAAAGUUAAAACUUUGAAAAUCGGGCGGUUGUUCAUCAUUUACUUCUUUAUAUAUAAAACCAUUUAAAAAAACACUUGUUACAUUCAUUUGAUAUAAAACAAAGUCUUUAAAACAUGCAAAGGCAAGUAACAUCCUAAUGGCUUCCAACCUAGCUACAGGGGCAAAGGUUUCUUUAUAAUUUAUCCCUUCUUCUUGAUUAAAACCUUGGGCUACCAAUCUUUCUUUAUUUCUAACAAUUAUGCCAUUUUCAUCCAUUUUAUUUCUAAAGACCUAUCUAGUUCCAAUAACACUUUGAUUUGAAGGUCUUGGUACUAAUUCCCAUACUUCACUUCUUUCAAAUUGAUUUAACUCUUCUUGCAUAGCAAUCAUCCAAUUUUCAUCAUCUAAAGCAUCAUUUAUAUUUUUAGGCUCAAUUUGAGAGAUAAAAGCUAGAUUAUUGCAAAUGUUUCUAAGAGAGGAUCUAUUUCUUACCCCACUAGAUGGACUACCUAUAAUUUGAUCUUGUGGGUGAUUGAUGAAAAACUUCCAUUCUUUAGGAAGGUCUUGGCUUGAUUCACCUUUCACUUGUUGAGAAGGGGGUAGUGCCAAUGGUGAUUCUUCUUUCUUGGGAUCCUCUCCAUUUUCUUCUUGUUACCUUCUAUCUUCAAUUUGUAAUCUUCCCAUGAAGGUUUCCAAACCUAAAUCAUCAUCAAAACUCUCUCUUUCUUGGUGAGAAUUGUUAGAUUCAUAAAAAAUAACAUGGAUGGACUCCUCUACAACCAUGGUUCUUCUGUUAAAAACUCUAAAAGCUUUACUUGAAGUUGAGUAACCAAGGAAAAUUCUAACAUCCAAUUUUGCAUCAAAUUUUCCAAGAUUGUCUUUGGUGUUUAAUAUAAAACAUUUGCAUCCAAAGACUUUGAAAUAACUAAUGUUGGGUUUCUUGUUUUUACAAAGCUCAUAGGAGUUUUCUUAAGAAUGGGCCUCAAUAAUAUUCUAUUUAAAACAUAACAAGAAGUGUUAACCGCUUCAGCCCAAAAAUAUUUUGGUAAGUUGUUUUCAUUUAGCAUGGUUCUUGCCAUCUCUUAAAGAGUUCUAUUUUUCCUUUCAACUACCCCAUUUUGUUGAGGAGUUCUAGGAGCUGAAAAAUUGUGGUCAAUUCUAUGCUCAUUGUAAUAUUCUUUAAAAUUAAUCUUUUUGAAUUCUCUCCCAUGAUCACUUCCUAUACAAGUAAUUGCAAAACCUUUUUCAUUUUGAACCUUGUUGCAAAACUUUGAAAACUCAUAAAAGACUUCAUUCUUUUGAAUUAAAAACAUGACCCAUGUGUAUCUAGAGAAGUCAUCCACAAUAACAUAUGCAUAAGAUUUUCCUCUAAGACUUCGUGUCCUAGAGGGACCAAUAAAUCCAUAUGCAACAACUCAAGUGGCCUAGAUGUGGAAACGAAGUUUUUGUUUUUAAAAGAGUUUUUGAUUUUUUUUCCCACUUGACACACUUCACAAACUUUAUCGUUUUGAAAAUUUAUUUUGGGAAGGCCUCUAACAAGUUCAUCUUUGUUGAGUUGGAAAAUGAACUCCAUAUUAGCAUGUCCCAACCUCCUAUGCCACAACCAACUUUUAAUCAUGCAUGCUUGAAAAUCAUCUAUCAUGGCCAUCAUAUUUUGACAUAUUUAUAGCAUAAACAUUAUCACUAUGGACCCUCACCCGAUCCACCAACCGGCGCGACUCAUUAUUUUAAAGGUGAAAGGGAAAGUUGGUUUUCGAGUUUUGAAAAAUUUGUCCUAGUGAGGAACAGUUUUUUUUGGAGUCUCCACUUACUUUUUAUUUUUAUUUUUAAAUGGGGAAAAUUUAAGUAAGAACAAAAACCCCAGCAUGACUCCAGUAAGGAAAAAGUGGUCUGCGAAAACUAGAUUCUGGGUCCGGGGAUCAGGUUACCUAUCGAGAUGUACCUCAUGCGAGGUAGCACCCCUCUAGGCUCGGAACUCGGUCUCUACUAAUGAACUGGUAUAUGGGAGCAUAUGGGUCAAAGAUCAAACAAACCUUGGGCUAAACAAAUGACAUGAAUCACAUAGACCCGCCUAGUAUUUAGCAUGCACAUACACUCAAAAAGUCAAAGUCAGAGUGCAUACCUGAGGUCCCUAGCCAAGCGCUACAUAAGAGGUCAGUUAAUAAGCUCAAAUUCACAACAAAUAUACAUAGCAAUCAUGCACCAAGCAUUCAUGUGAAUUUCAUUAUCCAAAGCCAAAGUGCAUACCUGUGGUCCCCAGCCAUGCGUUGCAAGGAAAAGGUGAGGCAAGUAAUACAAGCAUACAACAUGAACUCUCGAUCAAACAUCAAAUAUCAUACCCACAAGGGAGGGAAGUAGGUUGAAAUGAAAUAAAUGGUUUGCUUUCUUUUGCACACAUCCCUCUAAAUUCCAUCAAACCAAACCAUGCUCGCUUAACCCACAUUCUUCCCAUCCACGAAUUGGGCUCACAUGACAUCUAGCCAAACUGAAAUCUGACCCUAAAGGUGGCCUACAAGUGCCUUGGAGCCUAAGGGCUCAAGCCACAACAAAAAUGGGAGUCAAAGCAUGCUAAAACUGGGGUUACCCAGUAGAACCUGUUGAACCGGUUCCCAAAUGGUUCAACUGAUUGAGAAAAAUUCUGAAACUUUACCAACAAAUUUCUCAGAGAAUAAGGAAUCCAAAAAAAAAAAAAACGGCGCUCAAUUCCGAGCCUAGAUGAGGGAGAAAUGGCCAAAACAAUGCAACGUGUUUAUUAAACAAGGCUGCCUAGCUGGACCUGUUGAACCGGUUCCCAGCUAGUUCAACUGAUUGAGAAAAAUUCUGAAACUUUAACAGCAGAUUCCUCAAAGAAUAAGGAAUCCAAAAAAAAAAAACAACGCUUAAUUCCGAGCCCAAAUGAGGGAGAAACGACCAAAACAAUGCAACGUGUUUAUUAAACGGGCCUGCCUAGGGGGACCUGUUGAACCGAUUCCCCUCUGGUCCAACCGAUUGAUAAAAAUUUUGAAACUUUAACAGCAGAUUCCUCAAAGAAUAAGGAAUAAAAAAAAAUGGCUCUCAAUUCUGAGCUUGGAUGAGGGAGAACUGGCCAAAACAAUGCAACGUGUUUAUUAAAUGGGGCUGUCUAGCUGGACCUGUUGAACCGGUUCCCAACUGGUUAAAAAUCUUUGUGCUAGCUCAGGGGUUGUGAACGUAGAUCGAUCAAAGGUGGACUUCUUACGAACCUCAGUACUUGCUUCGACGAUCGGUUGUUUCCCUUUGUUGUCGGUGCAUGGUGCUCCCUCCGAGGUCUUCUGUUUGUUGUCACUAGGUCGUUGUGGGUCGGAGCUCUUUCCUUUGGUCUCAUGCAUCUUUGCUACCUCCAUUCUCCUCCAUUUGCUAUUGGUGGAGGAUGGUUCGGCCUGUGCUCAUUUUGGAGCCAUGAAUAUUUGGAUUGGGCUUCAGGUAUUGUGUGAGGAUGAAGAAGAAGAAGGAAGUGGAAGACAGACGGGUUAAGGGUUAGAAGUUGGGUUUGAAUAUUGGUCGACCUUCCUAUUAUAUGGAAAAACAUCUAGUUUAUCAACUCAUAAAAUUUAAUUAAAUUAAUGUCUUACAUAGAUGAAACAUUAUAUUUGCUACAAUAUUAAUUUAAUAUUUUCCAUAUGAACUCAUUUAACUUAUAAUGGAUUAUAUGAAUAAAUCUUUUGAUAUACCUUAAUUAAAUUAAUUGAGGUUAUUUGUACAAAAUUUAUAUUAAAGACAAUAAAAUAUGAGAACUUAAUUUAAUUAAAUCGGAUUAAUUAACUAACCUUUCUGAUAUGUAGGAUAUAGUAUGAUGAUUUUAAUAAUAUAUAGUGAACUUAAUAUAUUAAAAUUUAAAUUAACUAACAUAUACUAUAAUAGGGGCUUUAAAAUUAAUUAUGGUUGUAUGACAAACAGUUUGAAUAAGUAGGAUAUAGCAUGAUAAGUGAAAUAAAUUAAUGAAACUGAAUUUAUUUAAAAUUGCCAUAAGUAGGAUAUCGUAACAUAGCUCAUUUAAGUAAUUAAAUUUAAUUAACUAACCUUUCUCAUAUCUACGAUAUAUUAUGAAGCCUUAAUUACAAAUAAAGCACGUUAAUUGAUGAAAAUCUAUACUAAGUAGGAAAUGGUAUGAAAACAUGCUUACAACAAAUAGGGUAAACAACAUUAAGAAAUGUCAAUAUUAUCAAUUAAGUCCAUAUCUCCACUUUAUAUUUUGUAAAGUUAUACAUAUAUCCAUUUGAAAUGGGUCUAAACAAUAUCCACAUUAGGUCGACUUUCCCUCUUGCUUAUAAAUGUUAUAUUUAAUGGCACCUAAAAAAUGAUGCAGAAAAGGUGACUUUCAACCACCAAGUGUACCAUUGUGGUGGUUGGUUUUCUACAUGUGGCAACCUAUUAAAAUAUGUAAUAAACUCCAUGAACCAACCACAUAGAUAUGUUAGUAUAUAUUUGGAAGGGAACAUAUUCUAAGGAGGUUGGAGAGUGAACGAGGUCUGCUAUAUGUUGGAGCAUAGGUUACAAAAAACAUUUAGAAGACAAAUCUUCAGGUCAAGCUGCAUCACACUUGCACUUUCCAUUUUCACGGUACGAUCCUUAACUCAAUAAAGAUUUGCUAAACAAAUCCAUAAUAUAUUUUUUAAGCUGAAUGCCCUCAACUUUCAAAUGGAUGGGGAAAAUAUUCCCAAAACCUAAUGCUGAUUUUUAAAUGGUAUCUAAUGAUGUUAAAAAGUUUGGAUUUUGAUUGUCUAUAGUAAUAUGCAUCAGUUAACUGUUUAAUAAGUGUAUAAUGGUUGAAUAAUUUCUCUACCGGUUGAUUUUUUUCUCAACCAGCCUAAUUGUUUCUUCAACCAAUAAACAUUGCAAAGUGGUCACAUGUUGAAAAUAAAGACCAAUAGGUCGACCAUAUUGAAAACGAUCGAAUUGUUGAUGGCAACCUGUACUAACAAAUUCGAGAAUGGAUGUCAUUAAGCCCAAAGAUAACCUUCGACAAAGUGUUUUCAUCAAUCGGGUUUAGUAGACAUAAUUUAACAAUUAGGAUUCUGAUCAACUAAGAAAAGGUACAACUAUAUAUUUGACAAUAUUGAGCUCCCAUACAGCUAAACAAGGUGAGAGAAACAAGCUGAAAAUCUACAAGGACGGGCAAGUUCAAUUUGAAAGGAUUGGAUGGAUUUUAAUGAGAUUGGAUUUAGGAAAUGCAUCUGGUUGACUUUAGAUGUAUAGAAAGUUAAUGUAGAGGCUUUUCAGAUGAAGGCAAGAAUACCAAAAGGGAGCUCUCAAUAAUGUUCCUAUGGGCUUUCCCCAAUCAAACAUGAUUCCAACACAAUGGCAUUAUUAUCUCAUAUUGAAUAAAAGUUGACAUUGAUUUUUUUAUAUAUAUAAAUGAUUGAUAUUGUCUUUAAAAAUCACACUAUCAUCAAAAUUAGAGUGUAAUACCUAUUCAACUGACUUAAAAGGAGAGAAUCUACCUUAAGAAAUGUGUGUGAUUGACUCCCAAAAUGGGGUAAUUUUUGAAUAAUUUUGGAAGCGUACCCAAAAUCCUCCAUGCUUUUAGAUAGUAUUAUAUAAAGAUGAUUUUUCAAGUUUUUAAAGAAUGUGCAUGACUGCUAUUAAUUAUUGUGCCUGCCAAACUCCUUGAAUAUGGCAACUAAGCUUAAUGAUGAAAAACUUUUUAACAUAGUAUGGCUAAGGUUACAGAUUUACUUGAUGGUUCCCAAACAAAAAAUGGUAGAGCUCACAUGUUGGCUAAACUAGGAAACACAAAUGUACCUUCAUCUUCAGACUUGUAACAUUCCCAAAUUACUUAUUAUGAAAAAUUAAUAGGAUAUAUAAUAAUAUAACAAAUGUCUUUAUAGAAACUCCACACCGGCAUCUCCACUAUAAAUUUUGAAUGAUCACUUAUCAGGCUUCUCUAAAAAUAUUCAACAAUGACAACAAUCACUAUUAAGUUUCCCUAAAAAUUAACAAGAAUCAAAACAGUGUACAAGCAUUAAAAGUAGGACAACAUUCUAACGUCCUGAUAAGGAAUGAAGGCCUUAAUUAAACGAACAACGAAAACAUAAAAUUAGCUUUAUCCAUGUUAAAUGGGACCGGUUGAUACAUUUUCUCAAUCGGUAGACAUUGCCAAUUUUUUUUAUGCAGCACCAAAAUCGCUAGUGUCUACCGGUAGGAAAAAAAGUGCAUUUAGUUAAUUUGUAGGUCGACCACUUUCUUCCACAUUAUACUAGCUUAGAGCAAGGCAAGAGAAUAUAUUCCUUUUACGAGGAACAAUACAAUUGAACCUCUUUUCUUUUUAGCUACUCAAGAGCAACAACACAGUCCCCUUCCACCAAAAAGUUGGACAAUCCCAAAUCUUGUUCUUUGCACAAGGACCUCCAAAAGCACUACAACCUUAGCCUCAACAUCAAAACCAUCACUUGCAAGUUUAAAAUAUGUUGUAAUAUGCUAUCAUUACUAAAUCUUGAUGAUCUUGAAUCACUCCAUCAAUCCUAAGUUACCCUAAAAAUAUCCAUCAAAGUUCAAUUUAACUAUUCCUUCACUUGGUCAUCAAAGUUCAAUUUAAAUUCUGUUGCAUUUGUCCAGAGAUGUCAAAUGUCGAUCAUUGGGUAACGCCAUCUUUUGAUGGUAUUGGUGUCACAUUUGCAUUUUCAGAAGUUCUUCCCCUUACAUAAUGAUUUUUAAUUGAUAUAUAAUGAUUUUAAAAAGUUUGGCUUUUGAUUGUCUAUAGCACAUUGUUACUAUUUUGCAAAAGAUGACUUUUUAAAUUUGAAAUCAUGGGGAAAUUAACACGUGUGCAGUGUACACCGAUUGAAUAAUUUCUCAUCGGGUUGAAUUUUUUCCAAAGUCAAGAAUGGAUGACGAAGUCGAAUUUGGUUUAUCUUCAAGUAUGCAAUCAAUUGAUAUGAAAGUGAUAGGAUAAUUUGUUAAGGCAUUAUUGGAACAAUUUUUUUUACGUUAUUUAUGAAAUGUAGCUAAUGCAAUCUGUGAAGGAGAAAACAAUCAAGCGGGAGUUUGAAGUGAAAGAGGAGGACGUUGUCAAUUACGAUGCAUAUACUAGUGGCACUUACCAGCUGGGUGGAAACGUUUUGAAAGAGAAGGUGUUGAAGGGUAUUUCAGUUGAAGAAGUAUACAAAUUGCAAUUCGAUUGCAUAGAUGAGGCUGAAACAUUUUACAACAUAUUAGCAAAAGUAACCGGAUUUAGUAUUCGAAAAGAUGAUUGAAGCGAGAUAAGAAUGGAGAUAUAAUAUCUCGAAAAUGGGUGUGUUCUAGAGAAGGACAUCGAGUGACAAAGUUUAUUGAAAAUGACAAGCGACGGCGUGAGCUAUGAUCAUUGACUAGAGUUAGAUGUGAAGCUGCAUUUCGAUAGGCUUGAAUAGAAAAGAUGGAAAGUGGAUUGUAAAGGAAUUUAUAGGAGAACAUAAUCAUAAUUUGGUCAAUGCUAUCAGCACACAAUUCCUUCGGUCUCAUCGAACAGAAAGUAAUCCAGAUAAGGCACAAGUUGAUGUUUUGCGUAAAGUAGGUGUUAAAACCACACAAAUUAUGGAAUAUAUGGUCAAACAAUCAGGGGAAAAUCAGCACGUUGGUUUCACACAAAAAGAUAUGUACAAUCACAUUGAUACAGAGCGUAGAAUUGAAAUUAAAGACGGUGAUGCGGAAGCCGUGUUAGCUUACUUGUGUGGAAAGGCAUUAAUCGAUUCUUCAUUUUUUUUUAUAAAUUCGACGUCGAUGAAGAAAGUCGACUAGCAAACUUGUUUAAGGCUAAUUCAACUACUCAAAUGGAUUGUGCGUGUUUUGGAGAUGUCCUAGCAUUUGAUACAAUGUAUAGGGAAAAUGCCUAUAAAAGGCCUCUAGUAGUGUUGGUUGGUGUUAAUCAUCACCACCAAUGUGGUAUUUUGUAGUGUGUUAUUGAUAGAUGAAAGUGUUGGUACAUAUUAAUGGGUGUUGGAGACAUUUCUUAUUGCAAUGAUGAAUAAGAAACCCAUAUCCGUAGUAACUGAAUGGAUAAAUCUAUGCGUAAGGCAAUUAAAAAAGUAUUACCCGAUGCGUGUCAUCGUCUGUGUUCAUGGCAUUUGCAACGAAAUGCAUUCACGAAUGUGCAUAUUAAGGACUUCACAAGCAUCUUUGCAAGGUGCAUGUUCAUGCGUGGGAAUGCGGAAGAAUUUGAAAAGGUUUGGCAUGAAAUGAUUGAAAAUUUGGGUCUUAAUGAGAAUCGUUGGGUCACCGAGAUUUAUGGGAAACGUAAAAGAUGGGCUGAGGCGUAUUUAUGUGGAAAUUUCUUUGCAGGGAUGAGAAACACAUAAAGGUGUGAGAUUUUGAAUGCAUAUUUAAAUAGAUUCUUAAAAAUUCGUUUGCGACUUUAUGAGUUUGUACAACAAUUUGAUAGGGCGAUAUUGAGAAUAUGGCAAAAUGAGGCAAAGACGGAGUUUGAGUUGAACAAUUCUUCACCCGUGCUUUCAACCAAGCUAUCCAUACUUGAAAAUCAUGCCACGAAAGAAUCCUUCCUUAAAUUUCGGGAGGAGAUGAAAAAUGUAGAGUUAUUCUUUGUGGUAGGCCUUGUAAGUGAUGAUUCAAUGCGGGCAUACACAUUAUCUAAGUUUAGACACCUGAACUUAAAAUGGGAAAUCCAAUUUUGCCCAAAUAUUGUAACAUUAAAAUGCUCAUGCAUGAUGUUUGAGUCAAUUGGCAUCCCUUGUUGCCACAUGGUUAUUGUUAUGAAGGUGGAGCAUUUGGAAGAGAUUCCUCAUUCAUGUAUUUUGAAGAGGUGGACAAAGUUAGCAAAGAUGUAUACAAGAUCAACACCAACGAAUGAGACGGAUAAAGACAUGGAUCGGUUUGUACGAUAUGGUUCAUUGAGUUUGAUGUGCAACAAGCUCUCCUACUAUGCAUCUGAUACGUCAUCUUCAUUUCUAGAAGCGAAAAAUGAAAUAGAAAAUUUGACGGUGAGAAUAGAGGAAUUGUAUAACAGUAAUUUGAAAGGGAAGAAAGUAGCGGCAGAUGGAGCCAUAAGUCCUAACCAAGUUCGUGAUCCAAAUAUUGUGAAGACUAAAGGAAAUCCAGGUAAACUUGCAACUAAUUUUCAGAAGGGAAGACAAUGUAGUCGUUGUAAAAGAGUGGGUCACACAAUUCAAACGUGUACAAAAGCUAGAAUCCCUCAAACUGGUCAUCAGCAUGAUAUGGUAUGUCAGAUUGAAUAAGGAAUUGCCACAAAGAUGAACUUGUUUAGCUAUACUUACAUAAAUAACUAACAUAAUUGUUUUCAUGGCAUUAUGAGUACAUAGUAGGAAAGUAAUUUGUUUUCCUAAUGUGACAUUCAAAUGGAAAUGAUGCCUUCAACAAAUUCAUCAGAUGACAUGUUUGCAACCUUACCUGUAUGUACAAUUGCCUUGUUAUAUAAGAACACAAGCAUUGAUAACAUCUAAUUCAACAAUAAUUGACAACACUUAUUAAUUGAAAAAUGCAGGGAAUACGAGGAGAGCAUUUGUCGAAUGACCGAUCUGACAUAUAAAUAGAUUAUGGUGAAUUUGGCAAUGUAAUCUUGGGAAUAAAAAAAGACUUUUGACAUGAAUUUGAACUUUGCAUUAUUUAAUGAUUUGGUUGAAGUGAUUACUACCAAAAAGUGCUAUUUUGUAGACCUAAUUAUAAUGGUUUUAAGCACCAUUGAGUAGUAAUCAUAUUCAUUUAACUCAAUUAAUUCAUUAAGGUCCUUAGUAAUUGGUUUUAACCAUUUUGUGGCAAGUUUACAUGUUUUUAUCAACUUAUGAAUCAAUUCAAGCAUGCCAAAUGAUGGAGGAGCUACAUGGACAAGUUAUGGCAAAGCUUUUGGAAGCUCAAAUUCAUGAAGAACCAAGCUUUGGAGCUCCAUAGCCCUUUGCCAAAGUCGUUCAAAGUAUGCAAGGAGAGAAGCAAAGUGAAGAGAAGCAAAGAGGACAGCAGCUGCAGUCUUAUUUCACACUUUUGGAGCACUUCCCGAAGUCUAUUUUUUACAUGCUAUAUACCAUUUCAAAUCUCUGGAAGUCAAGAAUCCAACGCUUUAAACCGUGUACGAUUUGGAGCUGAAAUGAGGAAGAUAUGGCCUUCGGAAGCCAACUGCUCCAGGUUAUGCGAAAAUUUCGCAUAACACCUUCAAAAUUCGCAUAACCCAUGCGUGUUGCGAAUUUUCCUCUGCUUUUGCCGACUCCACUUUAGAUAUUUUCCUUUGUAUUUUGUGAUGUAAUUUCCUUUCUUAUCCUUGUAACUAACCAAUCACAAGCUUUUGCUUUUGUAAAGACUAUAUAAGGGGUGGAAAUCACCUCUUGGAAUAUAUAGAAGAUACAUUACGUUUUACACUUAAAAUAUAUACGGAGCUCUCUCGUUUCUCUUUUCUCUUCCCCAUUUCUAUUUUCUUGGAAUCCAAACAGCCUCUAAGGGCUUUUCCUCAGAGGAUGAUUGGCUAAAACUUUUAGUUUCUCAAAGUAUGGAUGUUAUGUGAUGGCUUGGAUGCAAUCCCAUGGAAAUUUCUCGCACCCGGAAGGUAAGGUAGUCGUUUUUCAUUAAAGGUUCAUUAAUGCAAAGUUUGGUUUUUAUUUCCUUUGGACAACUUCCAACGGCCAAUACUUGAUAAGCUUUUGGAUUUCUAUCCAUUAGUUAUCUCCUACGAGCUAUUGGAAGGUGAGGUUUUCAAUUCCAAGUUUUGCAUUAAUCCGUUAGAACCAAUUUCAAUGGCCAUUGAAAGGUGAGUUUAUCACUUGGAAUGACUUUGAGUUGUCAAUAUUUGGUAAGCUUUUGGCUUUAGACCAUUAGUUAUCUCUUACGAGCCAUUCAAAGGAAGUCUAAGGUGAAUAACCAUUGAUGAAAUUCACUACCAUCUGUUUUGCCAUUUUAAAGGAUUAAAACUUGAUUUGCUAAAUCCAUACCGGUUCGGGAAGGAAGCAAGCAUCACCAUAGUUGCAACCCCAACGCGAGGAGCCUAUCCUGAGAUUUCCAAUUUGCAUAAGAGCCAGAGCAUAGCUAUCCUAUCUUUGACAUUUGAUUCGACUCAUGGUAGCUUAGCUUUAAAGGCGUAUCAACAAAAUUUAUACCUUAAAUACUAUUACUAAAGUAGCCAAGCUACUAUAGCAUAGUGGUUCUAGGAUCGUUCACUGGGAAGGGUUUUCACAAACACUAGUGAUAUUCAAAUUAGGAAAAUAGGUGAUUUUCUUAUGGAUGUUAGCUUUAAAAGAAGAUGUAAAUGUUUUAGAAAUAUUUAAACUAAUUUAAGCUAACACUAAAGACUAAAAUGAAAGGGUGUAAAAACAAGUUUCUCAAAGAUAGGAUAGCUAUGCUUUGGCUCUUAUGCAAAUUGGAAAUCUCAGGAUAGGCUCCUCGCGUUGGGGUUGCAACUAUGGUGAUGCUUGCUUCCCGAACCGGUAUGGAUUUAGCAAAUCAAGUUUUAAUCCUUUAAAAUGACAAAACAGAUGGCAGUGAAUUUCAUCAAUGGUUAUUCACCUUAGACUUCCUUUGAAUGGCUCGUAAGAGAUAACUAAUGGUCUAAAGCCAAAAGCUUACCAAAUAUUGACAACUCAAAGUCAUUCCAAGUGAUAAACUCACCUUUCAAUGGCCAUUGAAAUUGGUUCUAACGGAUUAAUGCAAAACUUGGAAUUGAAAACCUCACCUUCCAAUAGCUCGUAGGAGAUAACUAAUGGAUAGAAAUCCAAAAGCUUAUCAAGUAUUGGCCGUUGGAAGUUGUCCAAAGGAAAUAAAAACCAAACUUUGCAUUAAUGAACCUUUAAUGAAAAACGACUACCUUACCUUCCGGGUGCGAGAAAUUUCCAUGGGAUUGCAUCCAAGCCAUCACAUAACAUCCAUACUUUGAGAAACUAAAAGUUUUAGCCAAUCAUCCUCUGAGGAAAAGCCCUCAGAGGCUGUUUGGCUUCCAAGAAAAUAGAAAUGGGGAAGAGAAAAGAGAAACGAGAGAGCUCCGUAUAUAUUUUAAGUGUAAAACGUAAUAUAUCUUCUAUAUAUUCCAAGAGGUGAUUUCCACCCCUUAUAUAGUCUUUACAAAAGCAAAAGCUUGUGGUUGGUUAGUUACAAGGAUAAGAAAGGAAAUUACAUCACAAAAUACAAAGGAAAAUAUCUAAAGUCGAGUCGGCAAAAGCAAAGGAAAAUUCGCAACACGCAUGGGUUAUGCGAAUUUUGAAGGUGUUAUGCGAAUUUCGCAUAACACAAGGUGUUAUGCGAAAUUCGCAUAACCUGGAGCAGUUGGCUUCCGAAGGCCAUAUCUUCCUCAUUUCAGCUCCAAAUCGUACAUGGAUUGAAACGAUGGAUUAUUGANNNNNNNNNNNNNNNNNNNNNNNNNNNNNNNNNNNNNNNNNNNNNNNNNNNNNNNNNNNNNNNNNNNNNNNNNNNNNNNNNNNNNNNNNNNNNNNNNNNNAAAAACCAAAUUUUGCAAUAAUGAACCUUUAAUGAAAAACGACUACCUUACCUUCCGGGUGCGAGAAAUUUCCAUGGGAUUGCAUCCAAGCCAUCACAUAACAUCCAUACUUUGAGAAACUAAAAGUUUUAGCCAAUCAUCCUCUGAGGAAAAGCCCUUAGAGGCUGUUUGGAUUCCAAGAAAAUAGAAAUGGGGAAGAGAAAAGAGAAACGAGAGAGCUCCGUAUAUAUUUUAAGUGUAAAACGUAAUGUAUCUUCUAUAUAUUCCAAGAGGUGAUUUCCACCCCUUAUAUAGUCUUUACAAAAGCAAAAGCUUGUGAUUGGUUAGUUACAAGGAUAAGAAAGGAAAUUACAUCACAAAAUACAAAGGAAAAUAUCUAAAGUGGAGUCGGCAAAAGCAGAGGAAAAUUCGCAACACGCAUGGGUUAUGCGAAUUUUGAAGGUGUUAUGCGAAAUUUUCGCAUAACCUGGAGCAGUUGGCUUCCGAAGGCCAUAUCUUCCUCAUUUCAGCUCCAAAUCGUACACGGUUUGAAGCGUUGGAUUAUUGACUUCCAGAGCUUUGAAAUGGUAUAUAGCAUGUAAAAAAUAGACUUCUGGAAGUGCUCCAAAAGUGUGAAAUAAGACUGCAGCUGCUGUCCUCUUUGCUUCUCUUCACUUUGCUUCUCUCCUUGCAUACUUUGAACGACUUUGGCAAAGGGCUAUGGAGCUCCAAAGCUUGGUUCUUCAUGAAUUUGAGCUUCCAAAAGCUUUGCCAUAACUUGUCCAAGUAGCUCCUCCAUCAUUUGGCAUGCUUGAAUUGAUUCAUAAGCUGAUAAAAACAUGUAAACUUGCCACAAAAUGGUUAAAACCAAUUACUAAGGACCUUAAUGAAUUAAUUGGGUUAAAUGAAUAUGAUUACUACUCAAAGGUGCUUAAAACCAUUAUAAUUAGGUCUACAAAAUAGCACUUUUUGGUAGUAAUCACACCCCCCAACCGACUCAUUGCUAGUCCCUUAGCAAUGGAGGAGAUAAAAACUAAGUAAACUAUAAUAAUAUACAUAAAAGGGAUCAUGAAAAUCACUCCAAAAAAUGAUAUGAGUGGCAUGAUGGACAUCCAUGGAUCAAUAAAGAUGUGAAACUCAACCUAUAAUAAAAGUUGUCAAAGCAUUCACUUGAUCAUAGAGUACAAAGAAUGGAUAUUAUGCAAGUUUAAGCAUCAAAAGAAUUUCCACUCUCAAAAGAUCCAAAUCAAAUUCUUCCACUAAAAGCUAAGUGUUAAUGUGAUUAGCUUCCGAGUAUAGUAUGGAUAACUAUCAUCUCCCCCCAACCUAAGUCUUUCUUUAAGCUUAGCAAAAUUAACCAUCUCUUGAUAGGCUAGGAACGCACCUUUUAUUCACAAUUCUUUUCACUUACUAAACUUAACCAAUUCACCCAUGUAACAAGCAGAGGAUCGGUGACUCCUAACCAAUAAAGGCUUAGGGCACCAGGCUUUAAAGGCUUUCGCCACCCCUUCGGACCAUGCUCAGGUUUCAAGGCAAGCAAAGAAGUUUAUUCUAUAUAUAUUCUUUUUCUUUUUCUUUUUCUUUGUUCUAUUUUUUCAAAGACUCAUUGGUCUUUAUGAGGUGUCCCAACACUAUUAAAGAGAGGUUAAAGGUGUCAAAUUAUAAUUUCUCAAGCUUAGAGGGUGAGAUAGUUUCACAUCUUAUAACCGGAAUCUAAUGUAUGUGUGUGCGAAUAGCUUAAGGUGGAAGAGAUAAGUUUGCAUGCAAUGGGAGUUUCAACAAUUCAUCAACUUUUACAAGAGCAUAAUACAAACUCUAAGACUCAUGUAAUCAAGUUGAAACUCGACUUCUCUCAUUUAAUUUUGAGAGUUAAUCCUUAAUAUCCAUGGAGUUUAAAGCAAAAAUUUUAAAAUUUAAACAAAAAGUAGCUAAUUUAACUAAGUAUGAUAAAAAUUUAAACUAAUACUUACUUCCUCAUCUUGAAGUAAUUGGAAUAUCAUUGGACAACUGAAUUUUAAUAGUGGAAUGUGCAUGUACAGAUAAUAGGAUUUCAGCAAUAUGAACAAACUAUGACAAUAACAUGUAAAGGUGGGGAUCCAAACAAAUAUCCAAAUGAAAAGGAUAUGCAAUCUUUUUUUUAUUCGUUAACGAAGUAAGGGAUGACAGGUAUUAAAUCAGUAUCUAUAUUAGUUUAUGUUAUCACUUUGGCUAAUAUGUACUUUUAACUUAUGUAAUGGAAAGUCUGAAUUUCGAUGCGGAUGGAAUGUUGUGGAUCCUACAUAUAAUCUUUACUUGGGGAAUUUUAUGUUUCUCGUAGUGUAUAAUUGGAUUUCCAUAAUACGGUAGCUACGAAAAAAUUUAAAGAAAAAUAAAACAAUUAAAAUCAUUAUAAAUAAUUUGGGCCCAUUGAUUUGAAAGGUGAGUUACGAAAAGCUUGACAUGAAUGUUUAAUAUCUUGUACAUCAUAUCCAUUGGACAAAUUUGCAAAGAAGCUCCAACCACUUGGCCAUAUAGUCGUCUUCAUCAUCAUGGGCAUCACCAACAUUAUCAUCAAUAUUAUUUGUUAUUGUACCGAUGGAAGAAUCCUGGAAACAUGUAGAUAAUGCAUUGUCACAACCUCUUUAUGCAUUAACAUUAGCAUCUUCAAGUACUGAUUUGUUGUCACAGCUUCUAUGCACAUCAAAUUACUGUGUCAUUGCUGAAUAAUUGGGCUUGACGCCUACUAUAGUUGUAUAUUGUGAGAUGGUUUUGUUGACAAUCCUGGCCAUAUAUAAAAGAUGGAACCCACACCCAAACAUUUUCAUUGGUUUACCACCAAAGAAACCUUCAAAUGCUUCCAUUCAUUUGACCAGUACUCAUUCUUAAUAGCAACCUUUGGAUAAUAUGCCACCUACACUCCAUUUGAUUCACCCCCAUUAUGUGGGAACAAAUAACUACGUUCAAAUAAAAAUUAAUCCACAGGCCAUCAAUCAGAUGAUAUACUAGGCAAGGACCACAAGUGAGAUGGGAAAUCAUACAGAAAUUCUAAUUGUUGAGCAUGGAAAUUCAAUUCACAUUGUAAACUACAAGGAUCUUCCUCUAAUUCAAUAUGAAAUGGAACAUAAACCUAGCAUAAGGCAACUCCCAAUAAGUUGUUAUUCAGGUACAAAUUCAUAUGAACCUCUAUUGUUAUUUGAGAUCCUUUGUUAAGGAAUUCCAUUAUUUCAUGGAACAAGACUUUGGAAUUCCUUCAUCAAUUACCCGCAUUCAAACUCCUACAACAAAGAUUACUAUAGAUCUUGUGUUUUCAUUAUAAAAAAUGGGGUUAAAUGUUUUCAAAAUCAUACCUCAAUUGCUGACAUGAAACAUAUAAACAAAGAAAAUUGAGAUCUUCUUCCAAAAUCCAAAAUCAUCCUAAAUAAUAGUAGUAAUAAUAAAAACAAUAGACAAAAUAUGUUGUUUGGUUGCUGAAAAAAAAAACAAAAAAGCUAUAGGUAGUGGAACCAACCAGUGGGUUCAUGAAAUAAUAAUGACAAGAUCGAUAACCCAAUUGAAAUAAAUUUGUCUUGCCACUCUUGAUACACAGGGCUUGAGGUUCUCAUCAAAGGCAUGUAAUUUUCAAUGAAAUAUACUUGUUUUCAUAUUCCAGUGAAUAGUGUGGUUAUGCAGGUUAAAAUAAGUGCCUACAGAUAUAUAGUUUAUACUUUGACUUCAAUUGGAAGUGCUAUCUAACCUUACAAAUUAGCUGGUUACAAGAUUGAAAAACUUUUCAUUUUAGAGAAAUUUAUAGAUGGAGUUUGCAAGUCUCCAUAUUUACUUGCAAAUUUUAUUUGUUUCUACUUUUCUGUUGGUAAUAAUUUCAAAAUCAGUUAUGAGAGGAUUAAGGGGAUUAACCUUUUUCUUGAAAUAUCCUAGAUCAUAGCUUUUUCAGGAGUUAGGACAAAUUUAACAUACCAAUAAAAUUGUUCAUCUCUCAUCUCAUGUAUUGCUUGAUCCAUUGCCAUGCAUUUCAUUUAUUUACUAAUGCAAGGGUUUAGAUCUGGCUCCAUGAAGCUUGCUCUCAAAGUCCUUUUUCCAUGCCUUUGUAAGGACUUUUUCAAGUUAUUCCCCCCAAUCUUCCUUAAUGUGGAAAUAUCAAAGAGUACCUAAAAUCAAGGGUUUUGCCUGGUUUAACUGCUAUUAGAAGGCCAUUUAUUGCCCUUUGCCUGAAGCAGGGUGUUAUGCUAUAACAAUGGUGAGAAAGUGAGUCACUCAUUUCUUCAGAACCUAUUUCUUUGGGAUUAUGGCAUAGAUUAAUUCAAUUGAUAGGUAUUCCUAGGGUUCCUCCAACAGUAGUAAUGAUUUGAUCACCAUUGGUUAUAAUGGUCUACAUAAGAAUUCUAGAAGAAGAGUAGCACAGCUGGGAGAGAAGUUUGUUAUCCUCUAAAUGAUUUGGCUAGGGAGAAAGGGGAUUUCUAGGAUAGACAAAGAUCCCCUUGGUAGGUGCAGUACCUUAUUGGUUACAAAGGAUUCUUUGGACUUUAAGGGCAUUUCCUUGAACUGAACCAUGCAAAACCCUAAAAGGGCAUGCCAUUGGAAUCCCCUUCAUGUAGCUGUUGUAAGCCUAAUUUUGAUGAGUUUUGCUGAUCUAUCUUGGGAAUAUGUAAUCUAGAGCAUUUUGAAGGAUCUUUGUAGCAAUGUGUUGAGAGGUUUUCCCAAAGUAAUUGGUUAUGGUUUAGCCAAAAUGACAAAAACCUCAUCCUUAAUAGAAAGUGUAAUGGAGGACAAAACUUUGAGCUCUUCAACAAAUUUGCUAUGUGAAAAGACACAGCCACUAUUUAAGGUGGCGGUCUGAAAAGGUAAGAGAGAGACUUGAAGUCCACAAAGUUACUGAUCUUUCAAGAAGCUCAAAUGGUUGUUUAAAUCAGAUUAAUAGGAAGACCGUUCAUGAAACUAAUAGGUUGACAAAGAAUUAGUCGUUUUGUGCAAGAUGUUUUACCUUCCAAGCAGGUGGACCAAUCAUUUUAGCAUAACUUUUGUUUCACUUGGAAGACAACAUAUCAUUAUUGUACCUUUAUGUAACAAAAUGUUGUUUCCCGUAAAUAAAUAAUAUAUACCAAAAUUUGAGCUGGGGGUUAAAUUAUUAGAAUUUAGGAUCAGUUUAUUGAUACUUUAUAGAUGUGGUUGCUAUGUUUAUUCUUCUACCUGUCCUCUUCUUGUCCUUAAUCUCUAAUUCUUGGCAAUCUUAGAAUCAAUCUCAAGGCCCAACCAAUCACUUUUUCUUUAUUUUUGCUAAUCUCAAACCCUAACUCCCUAAACCUUAAACCUCCUUUCACCUUAAAGUCUUCAAAUGAAAACCCUAAAGCUUUUGCCUCAAUCGAUUGAGAGAAUUCCUCUACUAGUAGCCUUCAUUCCUCAACCGGUUGACACUGGUUAAAAAAUUCCUCAACCGGUUGAGAAACUUCCUCUACCGGUAGCCUUCAUUCCUUAACCAGUUGACAUUGAUUAAAAAAUUCCUCAACCGGUUGACACUACAUCAAAAGGGUCAUUAUCCGAUUGAGGAUAGUUCUCAACCGGUUGCCAUAAUUCCAUUGUUGGUAGACACUAGACUAAGCUGAACCGGUCGACCGGAUCUUAUCGGCUAAACGUCAUUCCUCAACCGGGCUCCACUGCCUUCACAAGUCGUACCUAUAAUUCACACCGACUAAAAAUAUUAGUCACCUAACCUAUACUCCUACAUGUACUAGCUAUAUAAUUUUGAGCAUAGAUAAAUGAAUAUAUAUAUAUAUAUAUAUAUAUAUUUGAAAAGCAACCCAAACUAUAUAGGGACAAAAAAAUCUAAUUACCUAAAAGAUCGUAGAAAAUCAAACACGUCGAACAUGAAUGAUGCCUAUAUAUUACAAUUUCAUUUUGCCUACCAUAUUGAAAGAAGAGUAUAGCAUAUUCAAAUAAAACGGACUUAAUCAUGAACAAUGUAUGGUCAUCCAAGGUCACAACUUCCCAAUAAACAUGACGAUAUGUGGAGAUGGAAAUGAUAAAUAUUAGAAAAACAACAUAUAUCAUAAUAAUAAUUUUUUCAUUGCUCGUGUCGACGUCUUUAUACAAACAAUAGCCACAAUGGUUUGUUUUUCUCUAUUUCCCUCGUGUAAAACUAAAUCACUUGCUAUUUCCCGACAUAGUUUAACAGAAUUACAUAAGUCGGAGCCCAUCAUCGAAUCACCAUUUUUGAAUGUCUGCAUAUGUUUAAUGACAUGCACAGUCCCACUUAAGAAAAAAAAAAGAAAAAAAAAACAACUUAUUGAAUGGUGUAUAAUUAUAGCUCAGAUAAACAAUAUUAAUGUGAGUUAUGUAUUCAUACUAACCCAUUAUCUUGGGUCGGAAUCAAAGGAUCCCAAUCAAUGGAGAAUUAGAAGACAUCUUUCCCCAUGUCAUACAGUUUGAAGAACGUUUGACAAAAUUCAACCUAAUUUAUUAUGAAAGUGUUAAUAAAUAUGGAAGAGAAAAAAAAAAUUAAAAGGAAAACAAAAAAAUGAAAGCAUACCACUGUUUUAACACUCUUAAACCAAAACUCAUCCCGACUCUUCAAUCGCAAUGAAUUCAAAAUUUGGAUAUGAGAGUUUUUGAAGUCAAUGACGCACAGAUACCAAUGACCGAGGCAAUCGUCACACAUUGGAAUAAAUAGCUGUAAAGUUAGAAAAACAAUAUAUAUGAGUUGGGGCACAAAAUAUCUACUAUAUUAUAGGUGAAAACAAUAUCUACUCUAAAUUUCAUAUAUGCAAUUAAGCAUUACAAAUAAUUACUAACCUUCUCACAAUCAUCCAAUUCGCUAAUGUACUUACUCACGAUGGAUGUUUUUCUAUCAAAAAAAGGAUGAGGACUCCCACACAAAAUCAUUUGCUAAUAAUAAAACAUAAUACAAACAUUAGUAUAUUGUACUUAAUAUGUAAGUAAACAACAAGAGAAAUAUGAGCUUAUUGAAAAUGUCGUGGGAAGAUAGCAUCUUAUACUUGUAAUGCCUAUAAAUUGCCUUUGGAAAUAAUUUAGCUUUGAGGCUUCUAGAUUUAUUACCUAUUGUUAAACAAUAACUCCAAUAAAUUAAUUUAAUUAAUUUAGCACGCAUUUGAUAUAAAUGAAGUAGGUACUUACAACAUCCAUCAAGUUUUGUCUAGGACAUAAGCACUCAAAAUCUCCACGAACUCCAUGUUCAUGAUCAAAGUCAAUAAGAAGCUCACUAAAAUAAUAAUAUGCUAAAACAUUCUUCACUAAAUUGGAAGCAUAUGAAGGCUAAAAUUGUAACAACACAUCUAUGAAUGUUCUAAACACUACAAACCUUUUUGACAAUGCUUUAUUGAAAACAUAAUCAGCAACAAGAGAUUGAAGUACAUUGAAUGAUUAAGCAUCCACCACGUCUUCAAGAAUGGACAUGGGGAUUGACUAAAUUAAAAACAUGACAUAAUUAUUAGCUAUAUAUGUUGAGUAUCAAAAAUAAGAACAUGAUAUUAAACUAUUUGUAUUAUACCUCUAAUGCCUGACGUUUUCCCAUCUUCCUUAAAUUGUGUACAAACAGGGAGACCUUGAAUUUACUUGGUUUCCUCUCCCUUGAUGUACGUGUUUUCAUGACAUGAUCGGGAUAACCACAUAGUGCUCGUAAUGGUUCCUAAUAUGGAAAAUGCCAUUAAUAUACAUCUAUUUACUAUGUAAUGGUUAAGUAGUUGUAAAGAAAAUAAUUUUUUCUUUUAUAUGAUACAUACCUUUCCAUAAUCUCUUCUACUCCUUUUGAUUGGAAGUGGUAAAAUAUCUACAUUUUCGUAUGGAAUGAUAUGCACUUCAAUUGAUGUAGCACAUGCAUCUUCAUUCUUUCCAUUCAAGUCCUCAGUGCAUAACUUCUCAAUUGAGAAAGUGUGAACAUAAUGUUCAUUUCCUUUCUUAUUGUCAUUAUCUUCCAAACUUCUCUCGCAUGAGAGAAUGUCAUUCUUCGUUCCCUCCUCGUGCAUUCUCAAAGGUCUUCCGCUUGACCAAGGAAGAGACCUUUCAGUGUAGUAUAUUUCUCCUCAAAUUCAGUCAAAACUUUUUCACAACUACUACUACUUGCACCAUGACACAAAUCAAUCAGAUGUGUCUUUAAUUGUUGAAAGGUUUUAUCCAUCUCCAUUAAGCUCCCACUGUGUUCCUAGUGAUAUAUAGGAACUUCAUUAAUAACAUCAUAAUACAAGGGUUCACUACUAAUAUUGAUACUCAUGAUGAAUAUUGUAAAACUUACUCGUUUAAUAACAUCUUUCUUUGGAUUGAUUUCAAAUUUCUCAUCCUCCUCAUUCUCCCUCUCCAUUGUCAACGCAUUUCUAUCAACGCAAUCCCUUAUCUCAUUUUGUAUCACCCAUAUUUUGACCUACAAUAUAUUCAUCAAAAUAUAACACAUAUCAUAUUUAAAAUCAAUAAAAACUUAAACCAAUAUUAAACGACUUUUGAAACUAUAACUUACAUUGUCAUUUGCAUAUCCACCGAGUUUUUUCAAUCUUCGUUUCAUGUCUAGUACUUCAUCAUCUCCCCAAGCAGUAAUCCGAGGACAAGGUCGAGUAUAUAAUGGUAGAAAUUUCUCUUCGAACGAUAUAUGCUCGUGGUAGAAUAACUGCGAUUAUAUUUGACAUAGAUAUAUAGUUAGUUGACAAAUUUUAUUAUAACAAAUUAGAAAUUCACUAUGAUGUAGAUUAAUUACAAGGACAUUACCAUUAAAAACAAUAAGCAACCACAAACCCCACUUUGUUGUUUCAUCUUAAACUCUUCAAUCCUGUGCACAAGAUAAGACAACACAAAUUUAACCCAAUUCAUCUUCUUUAUUGAAUUGAUGUCUUCCACAAGAUGUAAGAAAAAACGUUUCACAAAAAGCUUCAUUGUUAGGCACAAUAAUGCACCCAACAUAAAUAAUACAAAACAAACUUUGAAAUUAUUUCCACCUUCUUUAUCCUCCCUAAUUUGAUAUUCUAACAUCACUAAUGGAAAUCGCCCCUUUUUAUCAUAAUAUUUUUUACAUAAAUCAUUCCUAUGGCUAACAUCUUUGUUCAUGCCAAUCUUCAACCCUCUUACCCUCAAUCACAUAAUAAAUUCAACAUCGAUGGAGGAUAAUUUGAUACAAGUAUUAUACAACUCUAACAUAUAAGUGUUCGGGUUGAAACUAUUUAUCAACCAAAGACAUAACCCAUGAUCAAUUUUCCUACAUUGAAGUUGCAAGAGGCUACCAAAUCCUAUUUCUUCUAUGACUGCUCUUUGCUUUGGUUCUAAUUCUUCAAUAACUCUAAUCACUCGCUCAGGUGAGCAUCGACUCUGAAGAUAUAACUGAAAAGAUACACAAACAUCAAACAUGUUUACAUUAAUAUAAUUUCCAACAAAUACAUAAGUAAUGAAAUUAAAUAUUCAUUACAAAAAAAUUACCUUUGGAACCACACCCUUUUGAAGUGAAUAUUGUUUUGAACUUUCUUUGGACUUCGCCAUGAAAUCUUCUUUUUCUACUUUUGAAAGUUCAUGUCACUUCUUGCCCAAUUUUUUCCUCAACUACAUUAAUUGGUCACAUACUUUAAAUUCUAAUAUUAAAAUCUAAUUAUAUUAGACACAACAAUAUUAUUCCUUACAUAAUCAUUUAUCUUAACUCCUUUAUCCUUCUCUUUGAUCAUGGCCAAUUGAUCAUUGCUACAAAACAAUUUCAAACAAAAUUAACUAUAACAACCACAAAAAAAUACAUUAAAAAAUAUAUUCUUUUACAUAUUUCUAUUUUUCCUUACUAGUAAUGUAUCCAAGCUCUGAUAGGCCUCUUUGGAUUUCUAAAAACUUCAACAACAUUGCGUUCGCUCCUAAAAAUUAAAUCAAAUCAUUUAAGUCAAUUUUUAUAAUAUGAUUUCAAAUAUAAUAAAUCAAACAUACUUUCACCACCGCUACAAAAUCCUCCCUAAAUCUUUAUACAUUUUAAAUGGUCACAAAAUUAGCAUAUCAAUUUUUUUCAAUCUCCAAUUAUGGAUCUAAUCACAUUAUUUUUCAUUAAUGUGAUCAAUCCAUAAAUCUAACAAAAAACAUGAAAUAUAAUGGAUACAAUAUUGUAAAACACAUUAUCAAUACUCAUAUUUUUUUCCUUAAUAUAGAACUCGACAAAUAAUUACGACACAACCGCCUUUUGAUUAACAAAAAAUUGUGUCCUUUUUAGCUUUCUUUCUCUUAGUACUACACGUCUUCUUCUUCUUCUUCUUCUUCCAACUAUGUCUUCAAUUUGGGUCUUCAAACCAUAAAAUUUAGAAGUCGAAAACACCCCUUAAACAAAAUAUAAAAUAUGAAGAAAAUACAAGGGUUAUGGAGAGGAGAGGGGAGAACGGGAAUAUCGCACUCUUUACUUCAAAACCCGAAAAAACCCCAAAUAUGAAAAUUAAAUAUGGACAUAAACAGAGGGGAUAUGAAGAAAAGACAGAACUCAAAAAGAUGCCACUCGAAAUGGUUACAAUAUUUCACCCAAAAACAACCAACAAUACACAAAGACAACUGAAAGCACCUGAAAAUAACAGUCGAUGGAGAUGAGCAAAAAACACAAGUACCCGAAGAAGAGCCGAGUAUGGAGAAGAGAGGAAAAUAUCGAGAAACUCGGCAAAAGAGGAAGAAAAUAGAAACCCGACCUGGCUAUCGAGGAUGAGUGGAGAAGAUACCAAAUUAGGGAGGAAAAAAUGGGAAAUGGGUGAGAGAAUAGGAUGGGGAACAGCAGCUACACGACCGACUAUGGAGGAUGAUGAGUGGAGAUGAGAGCAUGGGGACACAAGUGGGGGGAAAAUGGGAAAUGGGUGAGAGAAUAGGAUGGGGAACAUAAGCUACACUAGCCGACUAUAGAGGAUGAUGAGUGGAGAUGAGAGCACGGGGACACAACCGACUAUGGAGGAGAAGACGGUCGGCUAUGGAAGAGAAGACGGUCGGCUAUGGAGGAGAAGACGAUCGGCUAUGGAGGAGAAGAGAGGGGAAAAGGGGCUGAGAGGGGGAGAGAACAGGUACCCUAUUUUUAUUUUUAUUUUUUCAUUUUUUCUUUUUCUUUUGGAUGGCUGAGAUUUAAUCUCUUUCAUCCAAUGGCUCAAAAAAAGAAAAAAAAAACGAGGCAUGCUACCUUCCCAGCACCAUAGAAUUUUCCAUAUAUAUAUAUAGAUUACUAAAUAAUAUAUAAUAAAUAAAUUUAAAUUUAUUUAUUUAUGAUAUUAAAAUUAUUUAGUUUUUACCAUGUUGAAUUUAAAUUUAUAAAUAUAAAAAUUAUUCAUUUUUUACCAUAUUGAAUUUAAAAUUAUGAAAUAUAAAUUCAUUAAAAAAUAUAUGUGUAGACCCCCAUUUAGGUCAUUCUUUGCUGCAGCUGAUUUUGCCACGUGGAAGAGCCUUGGCUAGCCACGUGUCGACUCCUGAGGGGCUGCUAGGGAAUCAUGGUAGUGACUUGAGAGAACCUAUGAGAGUGCGACACCUAUUAAGAAGGUUCUAGAAGGAGAAUCUGCUGGCCGUUAGAGGAGCAGAGGCUGCCAGCUGCAUGGCAGAGAGAGUGGAGGCAGGGUUUCUAUUACAGAGGGUAGUAGUGCUUUUCAGAGUUGGUUAAGAGAUUCCGGGGGGAACGGCAGAGAAGGGGAGUUUAGCUUAGAGGAGGUGAGGUGCUUUUGAGAGGAAGGGAAAAACACUAGAGAGAAAAGAGUUUUGGAGAGAUUCUUGAGGAGCAAGCUGGAUAUUCAGAUCCGGAAGAGCUACAGAGGAGGUUUUUCUGGAGAGUAUUCCUGGAGCUUAGGCUACUUUGGAUAGAAGGCUGAGGGAGGUAAUAUAAAAAGAAAAACAGAGUUUGAAACCAGGCGAGUUCUCAUUUGUGAGGAGGUUUUUCAGUUUCAAUUCACUCUUCCAUGAGCCUAUUGACUGAUGCGGGAAAUGAAGUUCAUGGGGUUCAUUCAGUGUCCAUUAUGAGUACUCUGUUUGCGGUUUCCCUCUGCCCUUGAUGCUUGGUUGUUGACUGUAUCGGUUUUCCCAUCUCCACCUGAAAAGUUUGAAUCAGGGUGGUUUUUCCUGAAGGCUAUAUGCAAGCCCCUUAUGAGGCAUCCUGAGUUCAUUCAAUCUCAGGGUGUCUUUACUGUUGAGACCCUUUAGUUUCUGGUUCAUUUGAUGGCAUCUGGAUAAUCAGUUGGAUUGAAGGGACUAUUGUGGUAUAUUAUAAUAAUUCAAAGGUGGCUGAAAAUUCCUUUUGGACACAAGAAUCAUGAUCGGUUUUAAGAUCGGGGGGAUGAAAUGAUUGAAAGAUGAAAGUCAUAGAAAAGAUGCACUGAGGAAGCGAAUGAGCGAAUUGAGAAAGAUAAGAAUACAAGGUUUUGGAUAAUGUCAUCAGAAGAUGUAAUGAACAUUCUUCGUAUGUUAAUACAGAAGGCUCUGAGGAAAACAUCAGAGGAGAUGAUAAAAAAGGGUUAUUCUUCUGCUAAUCUCUGGAAGAGAUCCUGGCAUCAUUUUCCACAAUGACCGUCCUCCAAAGCCUGAGGGUUAUGAUGGUUUGCCAGUGACCUAUCUGCAUUCCAUUUAUAUCUGAUCAGUGCCAAUCAGAUUACUGAUGAGAAUUUCAGAUACUGAUGUGAUCGACGAGCCAGCUUGCACAACAGUUGAUCAAAGAGAAAAUCCAUGGCAGCCUCAGUGGGAUACAUUAUUAUGCAAUCAUCUAUGCCGCAAUGUAACCUUCAUACCCAUGCUCAUACUCACCAUCAUUGAAAUAAACCACCUUAUUCAUUUCACCAACUCAUAUCCNNNNNNNNNNNNNNNNNNNNNNNNNNNNNNNNNNNNNNNNNNNNNNNNNNNNNNNNNNNNNNNNNNNNNNNNNNNNNNNNNNNNNNNNNNNNNNNNNNNNNNNNNNNNNNNNNNNNNNNNNNNNNNNNNNNNNNNNNNNNNNNNNNNNNNNNNNNNNNNNNNNNNNNNNNNNNNNNNNNNNNNNNNNNNNNNNNNNNNNNNNNNNNNNNNNNNNNNNNNNNNNNNNNNNNNNNNNNNNNNNNNNNNNNNNNNNNNNNNNNNNNNNNNNNNNNNNNNNNNNNNNNNNNNNNNNNNNNNNNNNNNNNNNNNNNNNNNNNNNNNNNNNNNNNNNNNNNNNNNNNNNNNNNNNNNNNNNNNNNNNNNNNNNNNNNNNNNNNNNNNNNNNNNNNNNNNNNNNNNNNNNNNNNNNNNNNNNNNNNNNNNNNNNNNNNNNNNNNNNNNNNNNNNNNNNNNNNNNNNNNNNNNNNNNNNNNNNNNNNNNNNNNNNNNNNNNNNNNNNNNNNNNNNNNNNNNNNNNNNNNNNNNNNNNNNNNNNNNNNNNNNNNNNNNNNNNNNNNNNNNNNNNNNNNNNNNNNNNNNNNNNNNNNNNNNNNNNNNNNNNNNNNNNNNNNNNNNNNNNNNNNNNNNNNNNNNNNNNNNNNNNNNNNNNNNNNNNNNNNNNNNNNNNNNNNNNNNNNNNNNNNNNNNNNNNNNNNNNNNNNNNNNNNNNNNNNNNNNNNNNNNNNNNNNNNNNNNNNNNNNNNNNNNNNNNNNNNNNNNNNNNNNNNNNNNNNNNNNNNNNNNNNNNNNNNNNNNNNNNNNNNNNNNNNNNNNNNNNNNNNNNNNNNNNNNNNNNNNNNNNNNNNNNNNNNNNNNNNNNNNNNNNNNNNNNNNNNNNNNNNNNNNNNNNNNNNNNNNNNNNNNNNNNNNNNNNNNNNNNNNNNNNNNNNNNNNNNNNNNNNNNNNNNNNNNNNNNNNNNNNNNNNNNNNNNNNNNNNNNNNNNNNNNNNNNNNNNNNNNNNNNNNNNNNNNNNNNNNNNNNNNNNNNNNNNNNNNNNNNNNNNNNNNNNNNNNNNNNNNNNNNNNNNNNNNNNNNNNNNNNNNNNNNNNNNNNNNNNNNNNNNNNNNNNNNNNNNNNNNNNNNNNNNNNNNNNNNNNNNNNNNNNNNNNNNNNNNNNNNNNNNNNNNNNNNNNNNNNNNNNNNNNNNNNNNNNNNNNNNNNNNNNNNNNNNNNNNNNNNNNNNNNNNNNNNNNNNNNNNNNNNNNNNNNNNNNNNNNNNNNNNNNNNNNNNNNNNNNNNNNNNNNNNNNNNNNNNNNNNNNNNNNNNNNNNNNNNNNNNNNNNNNNNNNNNNNNNNNNNNNNNNNNNNNNNNNNNNNNNNNNNNNNNNNNNNNNNNNNNNNNNNNNNNNNNNNNNNNNNNNNNNNNGUCUGUGGCUGUUGUUUCCGAUUUUGAUGCGAAGGUGUUUCGGCACAACUUGAUGAGGAGUAAGGAUUAUAAUCAGAAAGGAUUUGGACACAAAGAUGAGACUCUAGAGCUCAUGAAUCGCGAGUAUACUAGUGACAUCAUAAAGACGAUUCCACUGCUGAUCAUUCUGAUUGUGAGAACAAGGCUGGAAGUUGUGAUAACCAGAAGGAAAAGUUUGACUCGAGGCAACCUAUCAAUUUCAGAUUCAGCAGAGUUGCAUUCUUCAUUAGCCAUGAAGUGCCUUGCCUCAUUGUAACAGCAAAAUGUGAUAUGGACCCUUGUCCGCAUGGCAAUUCUCACUUGCAUGCUGGUCCCACACACACCCGUAUCCAAUCGCGUGGUCCCCCUUAGCAUGGCCAUCCUUAUGCCACACAUCACUUCCUUUCAAAUCCCUUCCCUGUGAUUUCAAAAUAAAGAUUUCCUAACCCCGUUUUCAAAUGAUUUUUCAAUUCUCGGUUUUUGAAUGAUUUCAAGUCAUUAAAAUUUUCCUCCUUAGAGUUUAGGUACCAAAAUCAUCUUUUCAAUAAAAUUUGGUUGUCAUUUUCAUUCCGGCAAGCCACUUUCAAAUCUUUUUUUUUAUUUUCUAAAAUGUUUUAAAAAUAAGCAAAACAUUAAUUCCGUAAUUCCGAAUAAUGGAAUUUAUGGAAUUAAUUCAUGCAAAAAUAAAAUGGGCUUUGGUGGGGGCCCCACAUAUGAGAUUUCAUGAUCGUUUAAUUGAUUGAUUGAUUGAUUGAUUUGCCAUACAUGAUUGAUUUACUCUAUUCCUUGGUAUGCACUUAAUUAUACCUGUUCAUUGUUCACUAACCAUGUUUCAUGAUAGCGCAUUCGUGAUUGCCGCCCAGGUACGCAUCUAUUCAUAUUUUGCUCAUUCUUUAUACAUGUUUUGUUUCUCAUAUUGUGCAUGAUCGAUUUGAGUAUCCAUUGAUUUUCCCAUAGAUACCAUGAUUGCUUCAUUUUAUUAGUAGAGACCCGUUUUUAGGGACUUAGAGGGGUGCUACGGUCUUUACCGUACCUUCCUGAUAAGUAACCUGACCCCCGAACCCGAUCCGGUUUUUCACAGACCACCUUUUCCAAAACAAGGAGUCACACUUAGGGUUUUUCUUUCUUAUUUUGUUUACCCUUUAAAAAUAAAACAAAAAUAAGUGGCGACUCCAAGUCAUUUCCAAAUAAUCAAUAAAAAUCAAUUUUUCAAAUAAAAAUCGAGCUCACCAUCGAGUGGGAAACGCAUGAGCACGAAAUGUGGGGUCCACAAUAUGUUAAAUAUUUAUCUAGGAAAAAUCAUUUGCCAUAAAUUGAUAUUGUAAUUAAAUUUGGUUUUUAUUAUGAAUAUAAGAUUUGUACUAAAAUAUUAUCAAUUUUUUUUUGUCACAAAUACAUUAGACGGUUAAACAUGAUUUUUUACUAUAAAUAAAAAUUUUAUCCCUAAAAAACCUUUUUUAUCAUACAAAAACUAUUACAAAAAUCUAUUUAUUUUAUUUUAUUUUAUUUUAUGUCAUAAAAUACAAUUCAUGCCAAAAAAUAAUAAUAAUAAUAACAAAACGAGAAUUUUUGUAGUUAAUAAUUGAGAAAUUAAAGACUAUCGAAGACUUUAAAAGGAUGACACUUGUCCUUAUCUUGAGGAAAUAAAAGUCUUAUAGAUUUGUCGGCCUCUAAUUCCUGGCCAAUGAAUCCGAUAGGAUAAAGAAGUCGUGGGGCUACUCAUCUAAAUUGAUUUUCUCAAUGUGAAGCAAUUCACAGAGCACUCCUGGAAGUCUUUUCCAAACUGGAAAUGGAGCUUAUCUCAGUUGCAAUUUCCUUUGCUUUUAUUACUCUCCUAAUAUAUGCAUGGAGACUAUUGAAUUGGGUGUGGUUGAGACCAAAGAAGCUAGAAAGGUGUCUUCGGCAGCAAGGUAUAACGGGAAAUUCCUACAGAUUGUUACAUGGGGAUGUUAGAGAGAUGUUAAGGAUGAUUAGCGAAGCAAAUUCAAGACCCAUCAGCUUAUCCGAUGAGAUCGUACAGCGAGUUCUCCCCUUCCAUUAUCAUUCCCUCAAGAAAUAUGGUAUAGCCGGUUUUCUGAUUUCAUUUUUUUUUAUCCCUAAUUGUCUUUCCUGAACCCUAAUGAUCUUUCCUGCCGUUUCUUCUUCUUCUUCUUCUUCUUCUUCUUCUUCUUUUUAAUUAAUUUUCUGAAAGAAUUUACAGCUCAAUGAAAUUUCAAUGGUACCUCUAAAAUUUUUUCCUUUAUUAUCUUUUCACAUCUUUUCAAAUUUUGCAUGAAUUGCUAAAUUAUAUACAUAUAGAUAGCAAUUGGAGCUCUUUCUUGAUGCAUAUGAAAGAGUGGCGUAAAUGGCAUAUCCACAAGCUCAAACUUAUGGCAGCUUAAACCAUUCAAAUAUUAGAAACUUUCUUGUGAGCUCCUAAUCUUCUCUCCUCAAAGUUGAAUGGUAUAUAAAAGAUCAUUACCAGCAUAUUUAUCAUUAUACAUUUACUCUCAUAUUUACUAUAUAAAAUUUUAAUAUUUGAAUCACAAAUUUGUUGAAGCGAUGUGAUGCAAGUGUGACUGAGAAAAGAUAGUAAUUGAGAACAUAUUUAAAUGUUAAUUUCAUUUCCUUCCCUUCAGUUUCGGUAAAAUACAACUAUUCAAUAUUAGUCUUAAAUCUUACCCUUCUUCAUUGUUAUUUUCUUUCACCUCCAUUUGGUAUACCAAACAUUCCCUUAACUAACUUGGUUUAGUUAUUUCACAUCAAGGCUGCAACCAAAGAAUCUAGGGGAUUUUGGGAAGUAAAAAUUGAAUUUGGGCUAGCUUUGAACAUAGUAACUACUUAGUUGUUUGAGCAUGCCAUAUGGUAUUGGCCGGAAGUGAUUUGAACAUGUUAUAUGGUAAUGGUAUUCUCUAGGCCUCUUAUUGAGAACCAUUAAGAAACUUUACUUUAGCUUUACGAGUCUAUGAACUGUUGGUUCCUGCUCAACACGUACCCUCUGGGCAGCUACUCCAGCCCCUCUGCUCUCCUAUAUUCUGUUAAAAAAAGGCAUUUCUGGAUGUGUUUCGGACAGACCUCUCUAAUGGCCAAGUUAGCUUAAAGGAUUUUUACUGAAUGAAUUCUUUAAUUGGCAGAACAUCUUAGCAAGAUGCAUGGUGAAAUACUACCGUACGUGUGGAUCUAAUGGUCAAUUAAUGUCUGGAUAAUUUCAUCUUUGAAACACCAUAGAUAUUCCGAGAAAUUGAACAAAUAAAAAGUCAUUGAUGAAAAUGCAUUAGUUUCUUCCUGUAUUUCAUUGAUCUUCAUUUCCUACGAUUACUUCCAAGCAGGUUUGUUCCAACAAAGACAAACAAGAGAAUGAGGCAAAUUAGCAAUGAAGUCAAUGCAUUGUUAAAAGGCAGCAUUGAGAGAAGAGAGAAGGCAAUGAAGGUUGGCGAAAUGCGAGAACAUGAUGAAAGGAAGAAUGUUGGAAUGAGUAACAAGGAUGUCAUCAAGGAGUGUAAGCUUUUCUACUUCGCUGGCCAAGAGACUACCUCGGUUUUACUUCUGUGGACAAUGGUUCCAUUAAGCAAGCAUUCAAACUGGCAAGGUCGUGCAAGAGAAGAGGUUUUACAAGUUUUUGGCAAUAAAAAACCAGAUGGUGAUGGUUUAAAUCACCUUAAAAUUGUAUCAACCCAGUAUUCAGCUUAGCUCUACUUGGUAAUAAUAUGUUACUUGUAUUUUUUUCUUGCAAUCUUAAGGAUCGAAAAAUAUGUUUUGUCUCUGUAUCUUGUUUCAAACAUUUGUUUUAAUUAAAACCCAUUUGAAAAUACUUCGUAUAAGAGCAACAAAUAUUAUUUUCUUUGAGUUAGUUUUUUUAAUUGCUUGUUGCAAAGAUUGUUUUUUAAAUGUAGUGAAACCUUUAUGGAAAUACUUAAUUAGUGUCAUAUCAUUUACAAGACCCUGAGGACAAUUGCAGUAUUUCCUCUUACAAAGCACAUUUUCUAGAAAUUUAAACUCUAGGCUAUAAUUAAUUUUCAUGGGGUUCUUAGUUUGUAAGCGGAGUUACUGUAUGGUUCCAUAUGUACAUGAAAGUAUAUUUGGUGUACAAAUUUAAACAAUCUCUUACAUAGCUACAUUCUAAGAAUUCCUUCAUAGUUUGAUGCAUGCUUCUGAAUGAUUUAGUGUAUUUCAAUAAUGAAUUCUCAUGAUAAAACUAUUUUCUAUAUUGCAGGUUACAAUGAUUUUUCAUGAGGUCCUUAGGUUAUAUCCACCAGCAUCCAUGAUCUGUUUAUGCUGACACCGAAGUGGGAGGAAUGUAUUUACCAGACGGAGUGCAGGUCUCAUUGCCAAUCCUCCUAGUUCAUCAUGACCAUGAAAUUUGGGGAGACGACGCAAAAGAUUUCAACCCGGAGAGAUUUUCUGAAGGAGUUUCUAAGGCAACAAAGGGCCAAUUUGCCUUCUUUCCAUUUGGUUAUGGUCCUCGGGUGUGCAUUGGACAAAAUUUUGCAAUGAUGGAAGCAAAAUGGCUUUGGCAAUGAUCGUACAACGUUUCUCAUUUGAACUUUCCCCAUCUUAUGCUCAUGCACCUUUUAGUGUUAUAACUAUACAACCCCAAUAUGGUGCACACCUGAUUUUGCAUGGACUUUAGUCUCAGUGUUCCUGGUAUCAAUAGUUGUUAAUUAGCAAGACCUUUGAACCUAGCUAGUGUCGAAUUUAAAUUGUCCACACUCACU
rnacentral:lncRNA from 1 species